rnacentral:lncRNA from 1 species
UUCAAUACAAUAAAAUAAUGCUACACUUCUCGAUUAAGUUAACAAAGUUUUUUUUUUUUUUUUUUUUUUUUUUUUUGUAUGGCGGAUUGAAUUUUCUUUAAUGAACAAUUAAUAUUAUUUAGUAGAUUAAUCGAGAAUGAGCCAUUAUUUUAUAGUUUAUAUAUAUCAGUUAUGUUUGUUUUUGGCACUAUCGAGGUAAGUAGAAAAUGUAAAAAAGUUCAAAUGAAAAUGUCGCAGCCGCUGCCUUGGACCAAGAUUUGAUUGGGUCAAAGUCAUGCAGGAUAUUUAUAUAGAACCAAUGCUUUCCCCAAAGCAUCAACCUCAAUGAUUUUUAAGCCUUUUGGGUUUUAGAAGAAGCACUCAAACGAUUCUAACAAUGGCUUCGCCGUUACAAAGUACACGAUACCUCUUAAUUCUUCUCUCCUUUGUCUUCUUCUUACUACAAUCUCAAACUGCAGAAUCAAGAACUCUGAACUAUAAAUGGGAAGUGAAAUCUGAAUUGAAGUCCCCCGAUUGCUUUAAAAAAGUUACCUUGACCAUUAAUGGCCGAUCUCCAGGUCCCACUAUCUACGCCCACCAAGGUGACACCGUCAUCGUUGAGCUCAAGAACAGCCUCUUUACCGAAAACGUGGCUAUCCACUGGCAUGGAAUUCGACAGGUACCCCUAAAUUUUCAUUUCUCUCCAUAUUUUUCUUCGUUAGUUUUAUAGUUCUUCUUUCUGACGUGCUCGUACAUUUGAAGAUCGGAACACCAUGGAGCGAUGGAACAGAAGGUGUCACUCAAUGCCCUAUUUUGCCUGGUGAAACCUUCAGAUAUCAGUUUGUUGUAGACAGAGUAAGAGAUACUUGACUUACUCGUUUUGUUUUGUGUCUCUCAAAAACUCCAUGCUUUAAUUUGAGUUUGACCUUUGUGAAAUUUGAAAUCUGCAGCCAGGAACUUAUCUAUACCAUGCCCAUUAUGGUAUGCAGAGAGAAGAUGGUCUCUAUGGAUCCAUUGUGGUUUGGGUUCCAGAAGGACAAACAGAGCCUUUUUCCUAUGAUCUUGAUCGUAACCUCAUCCUCACAGAUUGGUAUCAUAAAAGCAGCCACGAACACGCCACUGGAUUGGCUACCCCUGGCUCUGGAUUCAACUGGGUGGGAGAGCCUGAUUCACUGUUGAUUCAAGGAAGAGGGAGAUUCAACUGCUCUAUUCUGGGAUCUUCCAGUGGUACCUGCAAUUCAUCGAGCACAGAAUGUGUUCUUCAUCCAUUAACAGUCGUACCGGGAAAAACUUACCGAUUAAGGGUCUCCAGUCUCACUUCUCUUUCAGCUCUCAGUUUCCAAAUUGAGGUAAUUACAAGUUCAUCUACUUGAUUUCAUGUACUCUCCUUGAAAUUCUUCUUAAAUGGCUUAAACUGAUAAACUCUCUGUUUUGGAAACAGGGUCACACCAUGACUGUGGUUGAAGCUGAUGGGCAUUACGUUGAGCCAUUUCAAGUAAACAAUUUGUUCAUUUACUCAGGAGAAACAUAUUCCGUUUUGAUAAAAGCCGAUCAAGACCCUUCUAGAAACUACUGGAUCACAACCAAUGUGGUGAGCCGAUCAAGAACCACCCCCCCUGGAUUAGCCAUUUUCAAUUACUACCCAAAUCACCAGAGUAGACUCCCUCCGACAACUCCUCCAGCACCACCUGCUUGGAACGAUGUUACUCCCCGAUUGGCUCAAAGUCAAGCCAUCAAAGCCCGGCAAGGUUUUAUCCACACGCCGCCCAAAGCCGCCGAUAAAGUGAUCGUGCUUCUCAACACCCAAAACACCGUGAAUGGCCGUCGCCGGUGGUCGUUAAAUAACGUUUCCUUCAAUAUGCCUCAUACCCCAUAUCUUAUUGCUCUAAAGCACAAUCUUCUCCAUACAUUCAGCCAGGAAAAACCACCCACUGGAUACGAUUUCAAGAACUACGACAUUUUUAAUCCGGCGCCCAACCCUGAAGCGACGGUAAGCGACGCCAUAUACCGGUUGGACUUCAAUUCAACUGUGGACAUCAUACUACAGAACGCCAAUAUGAUGAGCCCAAACAACAGCGAAACACAUCCUUGGCAUUUGCACGGACACGAUUUCUGGGUUUUGGGGUACGGAGAAGGGAAAUUCGAUCUUUAUAAGGAUCCAAGCAAGUACAAUUUGGAGAACCCGAUCAUGAAGAACACGGUGCCGUUGCAUCCAUAUGGAUGGACCGCUUUGAGAUUUGUGGCGGAUAAUCCUGGUGUCUGGGCUUUCCACUGUCACAUCGACGCGCAUUUCUUUAUGGGAAUGGGUGUAGUUUUUGAAGAAGGGAUCGAGAGGGUUGGAAAAUUGCCUACUUCCAUUAUGGGAUGCGGGGAGAGCAAGAGGUUCUUGAGACCUUAACUCAUUUCCAUUCCGAUUACUAUUCUUUAGAAAAACACAAAGAAUAUUCUUUUAUGUUUAGCCAAAUUUUUUGUGCUGAUUGAGAGUCACUAUGAGUGUAUAGGUAAAUGUUAUUGCUACUUAAUAAGAAGAAAUCGUAAUAGUUUCUUAAAUGAUUUAAAUAACAAUACCAUUGUUAUGUUGUUUAUUUGGACUACUAUUGGGAUGUUGUGUGUGUGUGACUUUUGUUGAUAUCAACUGCUCCUUUUAUAUAAAAUUUCAGUUAUUCAUUCAAUUAUGACAAUAAAGUUUAUCAUUUUAGAGGUUUAGAUAUCACAUCUCAUUCCACUAAAGAAAAAGUUUUACAAUUCACCUUUGAUUUGUGAACAAUGAUUUAUCAAUUUAGUUCAUUAUUUUGUUCUUUUUACUAAAUAUAUUAUUAAAUGUUAAUAGAACUUUUGACCUGUAGUUAUAGUUAACAAGUGCAUUGAAAACCAAAUUUUUGUUUUUAUAAACUAUAAAGACUACACAUUCAUACGUUUAAGAUUUCACUUAAUUUUGAAAAGAAAUUUUUAUGUAUUUAAUGCCAUAAUUAAAAUUUGAGCCUAAAAAGCGUUAAGGCUUAAACUUCACAUACUAAAUUAUGAGUUCAAUGUUGGAAGCCUUUUUUAAAAUAAAAAAGUUGACCAAAAGAAUAUGACUAAUUUAAAAGAAGUAGAAGAAAACAAUUGGAUGUUUAAUUUAUAUGUAUUUUCAUAUUGAAGUGCAAUUUGCAAAACGUAACUUAAACAGGUUUUUUGCUUCUAAAAGAUGGAAAGUAGUAGGUUUUAAGGAGGGUGACAAUCACAGCCCACAGGAAUGACCAAAUGUUUAAUAUUUAUAAACUAGAGAUGAAAGGCAACAGUAGUGACCAAAUGUUUUAUUUAUUGUUUAUUUCAACUUUAUCCUUUACAGUAAGGGACACUCUUUUCCUAUUUUUUUAUCCUCAAGUUUUUGUAGUAUUAGAUCACUAAUAUUCAUCCCUUUUCAGUAUAUCAUUUGGUCCAAAGUGUAGUAACUCUACCAAUUAAUUGAUAUAUCUAAAUAUCAACCUUUAAUAUUCCACUCUCACAAUUCUCUCUUUUAUUUUUCUUAAUUAUGAUUUUUCUCUUCUUCUAAUUUUAUUUCCACUUCAAUUUCUUUCAUUUUCGCCACAAAUUUGUUAUUUUAUUUUUUCAUUUUCUUUUUAUCUUCUCACAUUUACAUAUUUUCGAUUAUGGAUAUUUCAAUAAUGUUAGUCUUGCUAAACAAUCUUUAAGUAUGUUAGUCGUAUAUCCAUAGUGUAUUAUCAAUUUAAUCCUAAACCAUUAUUUGUUUUUUUUUCCUUCUUAUAUUUUUAACUUAGUCUAACAUCUAACAUGACCAUCUAUAAAUUCAAUUUUGAGGUUGAUUUAAAUAAAGAAAACCCUUUUCUUUCUUCUUCCUCCUCUCUUUUUUCUUCUUGUUGAUUGUGGUUGCAAGCAUACGACGAAGAAUAGGGCAAAGCUUCUAGUAUCGGGUAUGAGAUGAAGCUUUCAACGUUAUUUUUUUAUUGGUCAUUCAUCCAGUUGACAACAUAAGUUUUAGAUGAGAUAAAGAUUGAGAGAGUUCUAGAUAUAAAACCAAUGAAUAAAUGUACAUAUGUAUAAUCGUUUAUUUUAUAUAAACGAUAAUGGUUAUUGUCGUUAACAUUUGCGUAUAUUUUUAAAUAAACAAUAAAAUAUUUUAUAGUCAACUUAAGAAAUGAAAAAUAUAUAUUUAUUUAAAUAUUUUUAAAUAAACAAUCAAACAUUUUAGAGUCAACAUAAAAAAUGAAAUGGAAAAUAAAAUCAUGUUAAAUGUCAUCUUAUCUCUUCAAAUGAAAAUAGAAAAAAAAUUAUAUUAAAUGCCUUUUCACUCAAAAUAAGAAAAUAUUAUACUAAAUACAUUUACUCUCUUUUUAAUAAACCCUUAUAAAUGUAAUUUGUGUCUCAUCACUAAAUAAACAUUGAAAAUAGGAAAACAUAUAUUAAUAAAGUUAUUGUGAAACUAUAAAAUCCUUCCUCGAAGAUUUUGAAACUUAAAAUGAGAUUUUUGGAUUUUUAGGUAAAAUAUCUGAUUAAUUAAUUUAUAUUAUAGAGAAUAAGUAUGAGUCUGUUGGCCCAAAAGCCCAAAAGCCCAAAAGCCCAAAAGCCCAAAAUCUCAAAGGCAAUCUUCUCAAUAGGUGGAGGCUCUUAUCCAAAUCCAAUGGCCCAUAUUUUGCACUUGUGGGGCCCUACAGUUCGCCAUAUCUAUCCUAAGUGCGCAUUCAUUCAAACCACUGCCUCAAACAAACAUCACACUGUUACAACUUACCAUUGCCACCUUCACUUUAUUCAAGCUUCACAUACACCUCAAUCUGAUCAUACUAAAAUGGCACUUUCCCCAUUAACCUUCACAACCCCAAGACCUCAAGCUUCCCAAAUUUUCUCCCCCAAGUUAUCUUCCACUGUUAAACCCACAUCUACUUCUUCUUCUUCUUCUUCUUCUUCUUCUUCAGUUUCUGCUACUAAGAAGGCAAUAUCUAACAUGGGCAUUGGCCUUCUUGCUGCUUCGGUUUUGGCUCUUUCGCCCUUGGAUGCAAACGCUACCAGAAUUGAAUACUAUGCCACUGUUGGAGAACCCCUUUGCGAGUUCAACUAUGUGCCUUCCGGGCUUGGCUAUUGCGACAUCGCCGUCGGAUCCGGUGAGGAAGUUCCUUAUGGUGAGCUUAUCAAUGUCAGUUCCGAUCUUCAAUCAUCCACUUCUUGUUUCUCAUUUUACUUUUCUUCGCAUCAUCAAAUUCUACCCUGCUUUUAUAUGACUGCUUGUUUCCGUCCAACUUCUCCUGCAUUGCUUCGUUGCAGUGGAAUGUGCAAUUCCCGCCAAUAGUAUAUCAAUCUAAUAUGUGUCUCUCGUUUUUUGCUGAGUUUGCAUGUGGGUUAUUUUUCUUAAUAUGUAUAUGUUGUGUCACGUGUUGCAAUGAACUGCAAUUCACUACGUUUAAUUUCCCCAUUCCACGCAUAAGGGAUUUUAUGAUAUGUUUUUGCGUUAUUUUACCGUUCAAAUGCAGGUUCACUACACUGCAAGGUUUGCUGAUGGGAUAGUGUUUGACAGUAGCUACAAGCGUGGUAGAUAUCUCACCAUGCGUAUUGGUGUUGGCAAGGUAUUGAUCAAGUGUUUUGUACAGCUUCUUAAGGUGCAUAUGGGCUUGAAAAGUUUGGCCAAUUUGUUUAAGUGCGAGCGGCUACAGGCUUUGAGAGUAAUGAUACUGUUUAAGAGAAAAGUGAUGAAAAUAUAUGUAUUUUAGGUCAUUGGUAACUUAGUCCAUUUCUGCACUUUCCAGAUCAUGUCGUUUCUUUAGGAAAACGUAGUUGAGCAGAAUUCAAUUGUACUUAUAACUAUGAGAAAAAAAAAAAGCAAAUUUAAUUAGAGUAAAACGGUCAGCAGAAUAGCUUUUCUAGGAUUGAGGAACAUCUCUCUUUGUCCCAUCUUAAUAAAAUACGCACCUUGCUGCAUCAACUUGGUUGACAAUCACCUCCCUAUAUGCAACUAUCUUCUAAGAGACCUUGUGUGGAGUUAGUUCUCCUACAAAUCCCAAUUGUUUGUUGACGAGGAUGUAGAAAGAAAGUGGUGGGUUUCUUUAACGAUUUGACAAGGAAAGAGCUGGAUGAGAGUGGAGGCAAGUCUGUUACCAACAUGGGAGGAUCAGGGUACUGAGAAUUUUCCUUCUCAUGCCUAGAUUAGGAGCAAGAUACUAUUUGUAAAACAAACUUUUAAUUUACUUGCAACCAAUCAAUAGCCAUUAUAUGGAUAAAUAAUUCAUUACCUUAGCCACUAACUAUAACUACAUUCAUUUCACCUUGUGGUGAGUGUGGGACCGUGGGUAACUGGGUGGGUGUAGUUACUUACCACAUUGACUCAUCGGAAAGGGACUAAAGUUGAUAAGAUUGUUGCCAGGUAAUAAGAGGAUUGGAUCAGGGAAUAUUAGGGGGUGAAGGAGUACCACCAAUGCUAGUAGGUAUGUCUACUGACGCAAUGAGUAGAAUUUUGUGGUUUUCUUUUUUUGCUGGUUUGCUUCUAAGAAAUUAUUGCCCCUCUGAUUUUGCCUAGGUGGCAAACGUAAGCUUCAGAUUCCUCCACAUUUAGCGUAUGGACCAGAACCAGCAGGCUGUUUUUCAGGUUGAAUUCUUUGAACUGAACUGCUUUGUUUUGCGUGUUGGCUAUCUAAAUUUUCGUGACAAUGUUGCAAGCUGUCUGUAGUUGCUUCUGUUGGCAAGUUAACGGUAGUUUAUUUUGUGCAAAUGCAUUAUAUGUUAGUGUGUAGUUGCUUUGCUCCAGAUAUCUCUUUUUGAUACUGGUGAAACCCAAGUACCAAUUAACUAAUGGACUCUGUUAAUGCCAUUUGUGUUGCCUUUACAGGUGAUUGCAAUAUACCUGGAAAUGCAACUCUUGUGUAUGAUAUAAAUUUCGUUGGAGUCUACUCAGGAAAUAGGAAGUGAUGGAAACAAUACCCAAUUUCCUACAAAAUUCUUGUAGAUAGACAACACAGAGUAAGUGAUUUUCUGACUUUUCUAAAUGUUCAAUCAUAUCAACCUAUCCUUUGUUUGGUUUCUCUUUUAAGUUGUGUUCACAGCUCAGCUAUCUUAACACACCCAUUUGUUUUUUGGUCCAUCUCAUACAGUAGAAUCACAACAAUUAUCUCAGUAGUGUCUCAGAUUCCAUUUCAUGCUUCCUGCUUCAUCUAUUGUUCAUCAUACACUUUUUCCCUCUUGGUUUCCCAGAACUUAAGUUGAAGCUAAACCACGAGCCAAAAGAAGUGCAUUUCUCUCUGGAUUUUCCAAGUAUGUGGAACUCAAGCUUGACUCUUAAGGCAGAAUACUUGGUUUUCUCCAACUAACCACCAGCAGGACUGGCAAUCCUUUUUAGGUGAAAAUCCAGCUAGGCAUGGUUGAAAUUGCUCAAUUCAAACGUAAUUGACCAAAACUAUGUAUUUGGUUGUUUUACAAGAUUAUGACUGUAUUUCUAUGCACGGAUACUAUUAUACUUUGUAAAAGCACGUCUUGUUUCUGAGUACUUCAGUAACUUUAUGCAAAUGGAAUCUAAUGACCGCAUUUUCUUUGAACACAUUCUUUUUUAAUAUGAUCGAAUUGUCAAUGAACACAAAAUUAUUAAACAUAGAUCACCCUAAUUUUUUCUCACCGCGAUUUUUCUUUAUGCUACCUUUGGAUAUGAGAAAAAGGUUAACGGAAAAAAAAUGUUCCGAAAGCCAAAAGCAAAGAAAGCAGGAUUCUUUCCUCACGUUUGGUGAAGAGAGAGAACCGGAAAGGAAGCCUUGGCUUGGCCUUUUUCUUCGUUUGCUGGGACCAAAUGCCGUUUGAAAUAAUUUGAAUUUUGUGUUCAAAUUUUUAGGCUCUUUUCCAAACCGAAAGUAAGUGCAAAUGUAUAGCCAUACUGCUCCUUCACAAUUCAUUAACUUAAUAAUUUCCAGUCCUUUAAAAUAAAGCGACUUUGGUUUUCUUCUUUUUUCCUUUCCUCUAACAGUUAAUAACCAGGUUGGAAUCUUGUUUUCUUUAGGUGAAAGAACAGCUGUGGGGAAGCCAAAGUCGUCUCACAAACAGAAAAUUACAACAUCAUGAAAUAAAGUAAUCUCUUACAUCAGCUAGUAACAACUAACAACCCCAAAUAUUCUAAUUACUCAUCCAUCUAGUUGACCAUUUCUUCUUCACAAAUGAUUGAACACACAGUAAUAUAUAUCAUUACCAUAAUUAUUGAGGUGUUUGACAAAAAUUUAGCAGAAGAGAGAUAUAUAGAGAGAGGUACAAAACAGGAGACUUGUUUUAGCUGCAAAGAAUUACAUGACAGAGCAAGCAUUUGGGUUGUCAUCACUGAACAUGUUGAUGUAAGGAUCUUCAUAUUUGGUAACAGAAGCAGUAGUGGCAGUUUGCUCCACAUUUCUUACAUACCCCGGUGGUGCCUUCUUAUCAUAAGCCUGAGCAAUGUAAGGCUGUGACACUAAGCUGUAGGGAACAUAUGGCCAUAUCUCAGCCUUUUUCCCUGUAGACUUCGCCUUCUUCAGUAUCUUGCUUGCUUCAACAUACCCCGUAACUGUCACUUUCUGCUGCUUCCUGUUUAUCUCCACAGAUUUUACCCCUUCCAAAGUUCAAAAGCAACUGCAUUUUGUUAGAUAGAGAGAAAAGGAAGAAGUAAAAACACAAAAGGGUUGAGUUUCUUUAGACAUAACAUACCACUGAGUGAAGAGAGGGCAUUCUUGACCUUAAGUUCACAGCCAUCACAGUCCAUUCUGACUUUCAACUCCACGGUUUGAAGCUGUUUCUUCUUCUUGUGUUUAUGGGUGUUACCCACCAAAUCUGACAAGUACUCCAAAGUCCCACCAACACCCAUUUUUCACUCUUUAAUCGAUGUAGUUGAAAAGGGAAAGGGACAACAGAAGCUCACAGAAGCAAAAACCAGAGUUGUAGAAAGAAAUGGAAACGUAAGUUUGGGUAGAAUGAUGGAUCUUUCUCUUUAGUCUUUACCUUCUCUUCAAGCAAACAAGCAAAGAAAAGGGCAUUAGAAACAAAGGCUGCUUUCUCUGGUUUUGAGAUGGUUAUAUGAAAGGAAACAGAGCUCGUUAUAUAGCCAUCUGGGUUACAUUUUAAAACUAAAGGAAAAAGGGUUGUGUUUUGGUUGUGGCCCCCCAAUCACCAAAAAUAAUUUGGCUUAGGAAGCUUGGUUCUUUUUUGUUGCUGUGGACGUUGCAUUUUUACUUUAAAAUGGCAAUUCUUUUAAGAUUAUGAAUAUAUUAAAACAAAUCUAUAUGCUUUUCUUAAUGAAGAGGUACUUUUGGCUCUAUCCUUUGGAAGAUUGAUCGCCUUUAUUCCAGUAAUAAAAUUAAGUUUAAUUUACAAAUACCAAAACAAAAAUAUAGAAAACAAAUUUGCAAUUUAACCUAAAACUAAAACCAAUUGGGCUGUCAUUUAUGGAGUGAAGCUGAAUUCAACAAGUUUUAAAAACCAACGCUAUACCAAAAAUGUCACCGCCAUCUUUACCUUAAUGCAUGAGGAGUCUUCUUAAUUUAGUGGUUUGCAUAAUUUUAAUUUAAUCUCAAUUUUUUCACGUAACUUUUUAAAACUAUUUCAUCUUAAACUCCAUUAUAAGAAGCUUGAAGGUGCAUGGUGGUCGGUAGGUGAUUAGAUCAAUUUCAAUUUUAACCUUAGUUUUUAAUUAAAUGGGUUUGGCUGGCUUAAACAACAAGUAGUAACAACAGACAGAUAUGUUGUUAGGAAGAGAAGUAUGUUAUGUUAUAAUAGUUGAAAAGAAAAAGUAGUGGUCAUGUCGUUUUCUGAACAACAUAACACUAAACAUAUAUAUAAAAAAAUAAAGACUUGGGAUUAUUUUAGUUUUCAUAAACAAUAAUUUUAGUGUUUGUUUGAAAAGUGUUGUGUUGGGGACUUGGGGGUGGAGAGAACCCGAAGGAAGGAAAGUGGGCAGCAGCCUCCUUCCUUGUAUGCAAUUGCAAAACUUAAGUCUUUUUCAAUUGUAUUCUUCUAAAAGUUUUAUAAUAAUCUUUCCCUUUUCAUUUCUGUUUUUAUUGUGUAUAUUUAUUGGUUUUUCACAUGGACAGGUUAAUUGGCUUUGAUUAAAUCUUUAAUACUACUACUAAUCACUGAUUGGAGCCACAAAUGUUGAUUACUUGAGUGAUUUAGAUGAUCAAGAUUUUUCAAAAAUUAAGUCAAAUUAAUUUUGACUUAAUUUGUGAAUCCAGAAAUGUGGUUUGGGAUGUGUGUAAAAAGAUCAUGAUGCUGAUUCUUUAUUCUAAUAGAGGAAGGAAGUAAAAUGGGUGUGGCUAAUCUUACCAUUUCUUCCUCUAUUCCUUUUCCUCCACUUUCUAUUUUGUCUUCAAACUUCUCCCCUAAUAAGCACACAUUUAAUAAAGUCACUCUAUCACACUAUGUACUUUUUUUGGCCACGAAUAUUUUUCAUUUCAUCAUGCAACCUCUUUUUUUAUAUAUAGUAAUUAUAGCUACAUUAAUAACUUUGACGGGACCCCCAACUUAUAAUUAAUUAAUUAGCUUUCUAUCAAAUUAAAAAUAAAAACGGUAUUAGAUUAUAUCUAUCCAUGAAAAAAGAUAAGAAAAUUGUCAUGAUCUUUAAAACAUAAACCGACACUAGAGAUCUAACUUUACAUCUCAUAAAAUCUAAUAAAACUAAAAAUGAUGGUAAUUAUAAUUUGGUGUUUAAUUAACUUAGAAUAAUAAUUUGUCCAAAAAGGUAGACAUGAGAUGGGAUAGGACAAAGGCCUGUGCAAAGGAAAAACUGUUCCAACUCUUACACAAAACUGGGACCUUCAAUGUGAAGAUAAGAAUAUUAUUUCUCAUUAAACUAACCACCAUUCUUAUUCUUCAAAAUAUUUAGUAACCAAAGACAGAGAUUUAAAUUAUUGGUUACAAGUUAUUAUUAAUGCAUAUGUUUAAUAAAGAAAAAAAGAAAGAGGAAAAAGGGGAUUCACAAACAAUCCAUCUUCUUGUAGCUUUUUUAUUUUGGAGGUUUGGUUUUGUUAGACAAAGAGCAUUGUCUUUUUUAUUUAUUCUUUUCAAUGGAACAACAACUUUUUAGAAUUGGGAAAAUAAAGGUGACUUUCUUCUUCACCACCACCACCACCUCUACCUCCCAAACACAAUUAUUGCUAUACAUUUUAGCUCUCAUUCCUAUUCCUAUCUAUACUAUGAUUAAUUAUUCAACCUUCUCACUUUCCUUUUUCUUUUGUAAUAUUUGAAUUUACACAAAUUUGACGAUCUCACAAUCUCAUUCGAUAGUUUUUUCAUUUUUCGUUCUGGUGUACUUUUUUCACUUAAAACGCGUAAAAGAUAAUGAAAAUGGAGGGUUAAAUUUGUAAAAGAAAUUAAAUAUAAAGGAAAAACCCUUUAGUGUAUGAGGUAAGUAUCACAUUGUACUAGUCUUUUCUAAUGAUUUCUUUUUAAGAUGACGACAUAAUUUAAAUGUAUCUAUUCUUAUGAAGCUUAAAUUAGUAACAAAAUCAUUCCAUGGCCUUGUUUUUUUUCUUUGGAAUUGUUCAUUUGUACUUUAGAAUAAUUAUAGAACCGAAUUUAUGUAGUCUAAAUUGAUUUGUGAGAUUAUAUUAUAAAAAUUUAUAUAGUUUAAAGGUCUAAAUUGAUUUGUGAGAUUAUAUUAUAAAAAUUUAUAUAGUUUAAAGGAGAUUUUAUAAUUAUGAUUUUACAACAUAACAUGGCAUAGCUAGAAUUAUAUUAACUUUUAGCAAUGGCUUAAACACAAUAACCAAAGUUGGCUUUGGACAUUAUUUCAUGAAAAAAGAAAGUUUUGUUUCUAAUGUUUGUUUUGACCUCAUGAAUAAGAACAGCACACGACUCCUUUUUAUAACGUUUUGGUUAUAACUUUUUUGUACUUUAAGGGAUUGGGCUUUUUUUCUGCCCUUGAUUUCUUGAUUUAUGUUUUUACUUUUUCAAAAAAAGAUUAGAAUUUAUAUUUGAUGCAGAAAGUCAAAAUUUAAAAAGAAAUUGAAAGCUAUUGUUUUGCUAGAUUGUCUUUUUCUUAAAAAAAAAGAAAAGAAAAGAAGAAGAUUAAGUGAAUUAAUAAACAAAUAUAUUUGAUAUUGAAAAAGAAGAUAGCUGUAUAACACAUGCAAUCAAUUAUUGUAUGGUGAACAGUUUGGGUAUUCAUCUAAAAUGCUUAAUUGUUCUUACUUGAUUUAAAUUAAUAUAUAAAGAAAUUGUAAAAAAAAUAAUUAAGUUAGAAGAUAACAAAAAGGGGAUUAGUAAUAUGGAUGUAGAAAUGAAUUAAAAAGUGGUGUGUUGGGGAAAUGAAUAGAGAAGGAAUUGUUGUGUGAAUGAAAUAAUUAGAAGUACUUUGGUGUACGCGGUGUCAGGUAAUGAAGUUCACUCAUUGAUAUAUAUAAUAAUAAGAUGAGUCCUCUUCCCUACAAUUUCAAACAAUAAUUGAAAUUUGGAAACGAUGUGGCCUUCACGCACACGAAGGAACCAUAAUCUAUAUAUAUAUAUUAAAAUGAAAUAUUGGUUAGUUCUAAAAUUAGUUUGUAUUAUUGGGUUCCUCAACUUUAAAAAUUUAUAAUAAGUCUUUAACAUUGAAAAUCUAAAAUAUCUAUUUGAUUUUUUAGGCAUUGUUAUCUACCUUUAUUAAAAAAAUUAGGCCCCUAUGAUAACUAUACUCAAACUUUAUUACUUUCUUAUCUACAUUUUAUCUAUGGAUUAAAAAUCAAACCAAAAUUUGAAAAUUAAAAAGAAAAAAUAACUGACAAAAAAAAUGUUUUCUGUUCUUCAAAUUUGACUAAGAAUUUUAAUCUUUGUAUUUGAGAAAGAAUGCAAAUUAUUGUAAGAUAGGAAAAGGAAAUAGGUAUAAUUAUAUAUAUAUAAAGCAAAGCCGAAAGAAGAAAUGGUUACGAAGUGAAAUUAAAAUAAAUAACAAAUAAUAAGGUUAGGAGAAAUAAAGAGUAAAGAUUAAGAAGGUAGUAAACUAACGGUAAUAUAUAUCAGAAGAGGAAAACAUAUAGAUAGAAGAAUGUAUAGCUACAUAACCAAAAAUGCAACGACUAUCAUCGACCCCCAUUGGAUGGCUCAUAUAAUGCCCCAAAAAAAAAAAAAAACUAAGAAAAAAGAAAGAAAAGAAGGAAAAUGCCAUUGAUGGAACUUGCAAGGACACAAGAUCUACAUGUCGUCCUUGCUGGGGGGAAGAUAGAUGUAAAGAGACUACCUCCAUUUACAUGUAAAACUUACUUAGAUAAAGCUCAGAAUCUACAUCACACGCAAGAAGAAACAAGGCAGAGUGCUAGAAGAAGCAGGUGCGGCAAUCUGAUUGAAUAAAAUCUGGAUGGGAUGAAGCAUGGGGUAGCAGCUGAUGGUUUAGAAGGGGCCCUUCCAGCUACGGCAGGAGCCACCGCGUGCCCCCCUGAAGCGCUCUGCUGUUCAUCGGCUGGUAAUGGGUUUGGCGGUGUCUCUUUUGCAGGAGUAAGAGGCAUUUUCUUUUCGUUACUGAGAUCUUGACCUUCGACAUGAACAUGGUAGAAAUAUGAAUGGAAGUUCAUGAAACGAGUUUAUAAAACAAUGGAAAAGCCAUACUUUCAUUUAACAAACGAAAAUAAUAUACAAUGAACAAUACAAAAAACCAACCCAUAUGAAACGAAGCAAGAAAAAAAAUGAUGGUUAAGACAGUUCAAACAUUUUCUUUCGGUUUUAUCAUGCACAAGAUGUGGGCAUCAGUUAAGAAGCUGCAAAAUCAUGACAAGUAACUACUAGGAGAUGGAAAUCUUACAAUUUGCGUGUGACCAACCCAACUUCAAAUUAUCCCUAUCAAAUACCAUCCGGUAUCCAGUCAUGUAAUUUUCUGCACAAGACAGCAAUACAAAAUUACCAUUUUCAUUAGACGUACGAUUUACUGCACAUAUCGCAUAUAUCAUAUUAGCAAUCUAAAUUUGAGGAGACAUUGUGAGCUUACGUCCCAAUAUUCCGAUAUCUCCAUCAGCAGGUAGUAUAGCAAAACAAAAUCCAGCUAACCCCUGUAUGCAUAGUACUGUUUAGUAUUAACACAGGCAUUAUUUUCUUGUAUUAGAAGUGAUGCAUAGCAUGUGACUUCUUCAGGAUACUUAAAACAAUUAUAUCAUCUAUUGGAUAGUUAGAACUAGAGACUAACUGCUAGGCUGUAUCAAAGAAGAGGGCCCUACCUCAGCUUGAUAGUUUAAGCACACCUUAUUUUUUUUCUUUUAUUGUUUUAGUUCUUAUUCUUCGUUUCCUUGUAGUCUCUAGUUUCUGGAGUAUCUAAAGCUAUCAACUUCACUACUAUGUUUCACAGUUCGAUUUUUAAGUACUUUUAUGCCCACUAAAAGUCAAAGCUAUUCCAUUAAUGGCUAAUUAUGACAAAUUUCAAAGAUCAAGUCCACAUCUUCACCCAUAUUCACCAAAUCAAAUCAUGCACACUUAAACAUUCUUAGAAGGAAACUUCCAUCUACCUGAUCGCCAUAGAUAGGGAAUACAGGAUCAUGAACCACAAAACUAUUGUUUAGUGGAAACAACAAUGUCACAGAUGGAACCUUUGGCAUUGCGUCUGCACUGUUGGAAAAAACGAUAACAUUAAAGUUAGACAUGCACAAGGGUGGGGUUUAUGAAGGGAAAAGGAUUUUACUGGUUAUCCAUCUCAUCGAUAUCACCUGAUCUUAUAGCAAUACUUCCAUGGAUAUCCUUUAAAGGAGACGGCGCUUGUAGUGUUUAACCUUUUAUCAAACUAUGAAAAGGGGAACUGGUUAAAGGACAAACGAACGAUAAAUUAAGUACAAAGCUGAACUACAAAAUGAAUGUACCUCAAUCACAAUAUUUUCAUAAGCUUCCUCUGGAAGAUAUGUAAACGAUGUCCCACUAUCUAUCAAUGCUUUAAAACUUGUCUGCUUGAGGCACGAAUUCUCAAUACAACAUGCUUCCACCCCAACAAUGUAGGUUUCACUGAAAGAUUCAGGUAUCACAAGGACUUCAGUCGGCAUAUAUAACAAAACAUGAUCAUCAUAAACAUGGAGAUAAUUCAUUAUGGUAAUUACUAUUUCCCGUCUAAUGGCACAAAUGAAGUUGUUUGCUGACUUGCAGGUCCCUCGUCCCCAAAAAAGAUUCUUCCAGAUCCAUCCUCAUUAAAACACAGCGAGAAGGAAUUCUGCACCAAUUCUUCUUUCGCAAGGGAACUAAGAACAGAAAUUUCUCCUAACCCUAAUCCAAAAAGACCAUCUGGAGCGACUCCACUUAGAUAACCGCCGCUUUGUUUCAUACCACACCUGUAUUAGAGAGCAAAAAUGGGUAAUAUAAAUACAGUAUCCUUCCUUAUUGCUGCAGUUUACACACAGCAAACAAUUGGAGGAACAAAAUGUAGGAACAAUGGAUCAUACCCUAAAAUGACAGGAGCCUGAAUCGUACAAUUAGAUGAAUUCUCACAACCGGAUGAAAGAUGCAACACAUCCUGAAUUAGUAGUCCUGAACUUGAAGUAUUUUCAGUAAUGUAGUCAAUAACAUAAGGACAUGACUGCUUCGGACUUUGGCAGCUUUGGCCUGAGUCGCACAAAUUAUGGCUGCAAGAUAUAUGCUUGCUCGUGCUUGAACUGGAUGGACGGUAUUCAUUGAGAUCUUUAUCCUGCAUUAUAAAUAAUGCCCCAAACAUGAGGGAGCAGGAGCACCUGCCAAUCAAUCAUCGGAAAUAAGUGCUAAACUUGCUGUCUUAUUAAAAAGACUUCAUAAUCCACUAAUACAUUCGCGCCAAAAAUGAGUUAGCCAAUCUUUCAUCUCCGUCUCCCCUCGGGCAUUUUUUAUUUCCCAUUGGAACUGGCCAUGCCUUUCUUUUCCGCCAAAAAUCACUACAAGACUUCGAAUUCCAGAACACAAUUUGUCCAAGCAUAACCCUUGAUCUAACGGAAAUAAAAAGGCAAUAUGCUUGGGUAUAAAGCAUAAGUCGUGGAUUAGAAGUAAUUAAUGUUUAUGUGGAAAGAACAGAUUCUGAAAAGCAGGCCUACCAGACUGCCAUAGUAACUUGCAGACAAGGGAGCACAUUGUAUGCAAUUACAAGGAACCCAAAGUAGAUCACUCCCAGCAUCCAAUGCAACCAGAAAAGAAACACUCGGUGUCCCGAUAUCAAUCCAGGUGUAAUGCAACCUAUAAUACGUAAACAACAAGAUGAUUUACAAGUGCAUAAGAUAACAUUUUAUAACACAAAAUUUUCUCAUAAAGGUGCCACUAUGCAAAAAGCUAUUAGAAGAUGGUUUUUUUUCCUUUUUUGGUGUGUGGGGGAGAGAGAUUACUAAAAAAAAAAAAAAAAAAAAAAACAAACAAACAAACAGAAAAGUAAUGCAAAACGGAAGAACAAAAAAUAGCAAGAACAAAAAGGAGAAGGAAGGAAGAGUAACGGUGACCAGCCAAAAUCAUUUCCGAGCGCAAUGGUUUUACUGCCUUCAGACGGGAAAAGCAACUGAAACCGAGAACCAAGCUUCAUCUUCUGCCUCCGAAAGUCACCACUAACAAGCUCCUGAUAAUACUCCAUACUCCCCUUCUCAGGCCAUGAUACUCGUACACUCGUAUUCGUACUCCCUGAAGCCCUAAGGGCCUUCAUCUCCUCAGAGAACCUGUGAAGUAUCCUUGAUGUGAACGUAAUAGACACCACCUGGUGAACAAAAAUCACCAUCAGCAGCAACAAAAGCAGAUUCCGAAGCGACAUUGCAACUCAGUCCUUGAAAGGACGAAGGAAGUAGCUCGAAGACGAGAUCUGGAGGUUCAGAAGAAACCCACGAACAAUUCGGAGCUUUAGUUACCCGCCGGUGAACCAAAAUGAAAAACAGAAACAGAAAGAAUCUGAGGGGUAUGAAGAAACCCAAGUUACGGGACAGAGAUCGGAGAAGAAGGCGAACGAGUUACGACGGAAGUAGGAAAGAAGAAAUGAAGUGAAGUGUAAAGAAGAAGCGAAGUGAAGUGAAGUGAAGUGAAGUGUAAAGAAGAAGCAGAGGGAGGGAGGGGGAGAGAGAGAGAGAGAGAGAGAGAGAUAGAAGAGGGCAAAAGAAGAAAAGGAAGGGGAGGAGGAGGACAGAAGGGAUUUGUAAUACACGGGGAAAAUAGCGCGUGUUAUAAAAUAAUUCCUUUUCAGUGUGUGCGCGCCCGUAAGAGAGGUUGUCGUUUUCUUAAUCACCGUUGGAUACAUUUCUUCUGCCUCUUUACUUUUCUUAUUUUUUCGUUUUCGUAUUUUAUUUUUCAAAAUAUAUCGAUGCUUUUGUAAAUUUUUUAUUUAAAUAAAGAUUAAAUGUGAGCUACUACUUUUAGUUUCGGAUAUUUGGACUUUUCAAAUGAAAUAAAUUAAAAUUCAAAAUAAAGGAUAAAUAAACGAAAUAAAUUAUUUGGAGAUUUUAUAAAAAAAAUAAGUUCAGAUUUAUUUGAUUUCUGUGUUCGAAUUAACCCUUUCCAAUAUAAUAAAAAUUACAAACAUAACAUAAUUUAGAUUUAAUUUUUAAAAUUUAUUAAUACAUUAUUAGAAAGUUAAUAGAUAAUAACAACAUAAUCUAGUGAUUAAAGUAUUUGUUAUUUUUAAGAGUAAAAAAAAAAAAAAAGUUGAAUUUUCUACAUUUACAUUUAUUGGUAAGAAAAGUUUCCUAAAGCAAACAUUCAGAUAGAAAAUGUAUGCCUCAAUUAUUGACAAAAUCAAGAAAAUAAAAAAGGUAUCCCAAUAAAUCCCUUUCAUGAUUAUUGGUGGUCUUGCAUAAGAAAUGUAGUUGGGGAUAAAGUUCUAUUGAAGAUAGGACUCUUAGGUAGAGAGACCAAGACUUACUAAAAUUGUAUUUGGUCAAAAUGUAAACUUUUGGUAGGUACAAAAUCUCCACUCUUCUUAAUUCAAUUGGUCCAAAUUAAAAUGUUUACCCAAAUAUGCAUUGCUCCUACUCCUAACUAGCUAAAAUGUUCAGCUUAAGUGACUGGCACUUAACAUCUAUUUUUGUAGGUGUGAGUAAGGUUAGCCACAUACUCAUGUUCAUUUAGUAUUUAUAUUCCACCUUGGUUCGAACAUUUUACCCUAUAUGUAAAUAGUUUCAAAACUUUUGACAUUAAAAAAUAUAUAUAUUUUUAUAAGAAAAGAAAUGAUAUGUGAAUUAAAAGUGAGGAGACCUAAUUGAAGGGAAACAAAGAAAUUGAAAGAUGAACUUUGUGGAGGCACCACACCAAGAAGGUGGUCCAAGAAUUACUUACGUGUCGAUUAAAACUAAAAAAGCGCAUUCAUUCUCAUUGGGCGGCGGCCCUUCACUUGCGAAUUUAAAUGAUAAAAUUCUUUUAAAUAAUUCAUCGCAUUACGUUUCAAAUUUCAAACCUAUCCUCUAAAUACUACCAACUGCUGGCAGUGGCAACCCACUCAUUGUCAUUCACCUGCAGCACUUUUCACUUCUGAUUUCUGAAUAUGAAAACUCCAAACCAAACCAAACCAUUACUAGAAAGAAAAAUUAUUUAUUUCAGGGUAUCCUAAUAUAUAAUUCACAAGUUCUGAAACGAGAGAAAAACUAAGAAAACAGAGAGAACGUCCAGAACAUGUGUUUAUAAGAGGUUCCUAUGCAUACAUUCUUUUUAUAAUAAUAAAUUCACACAAUGAGAAGUUACAUAAUUACAUUAUACAUUACUUUUCCUCAAAAUUGACAAGCAAUUGAAAUCAAUGAAAUACAAACAAGACCAAACCCAGAAAAACUAGUGAAAGGAAAUUUCCAAUUUUCUAUUUAUAAACUAAAAAAAAAAAAAAAAAAAAAAGAGAAAUCUGGAAAGUAUAUUAUAUACACUAUCAUGAUAAAUGCUCAAAAUUGAAAAAAUAAUUCCGCAAGGGGAAGGGGAUGGUCUCCUACUAAUGCAAUGGUGUAGCUUACUUGUUAGACCACUGAAAUUCUAUUUCCAAAUUCCGAGGACCGCUUUUGCUUUCAGGCAACAGGGUGUACUCGCCGGCAACCGCUCCCAACAUUACAACUUUGUCAAUUUGAAUUGUUACUUUCCCGAAAGAGCUCUGUUUUUGUUUUAGAGUACAUGAAAAGAAAAUUAGUUGUGAAGCUUUCAUAUGGAAACAAAUGAAGAGAAACAAAGGAAACUUAAAUGAAACUCGCCUUCCCCAUUUUGCUUUUGUUCUUGCAAGAAAUAUGAAGCUUCUGGCCUUUCGGUGGACUCUCAAAGGACCAUGCAAAAUUCUCAUCCCAUUCUGGAUUUGGACCGGUUGAUACAACCUGACCAAAAUUUAAAGAGAAGUUACAGUUUAGAAAUCUGAGACAAAUUGGGAAAAGGAUCAAAGAACAAAAGAAGCGAUGAUAAUAUUGGUUAUGAUGGAAUAAAAUAGGACCACAAAUUUUCUCCUAAAACCGUUCUGCCAGUAAAAUUUUAAUAAGAUACGGGGGCAUUUCGUCCAUGAACUGUACAAAAGAAUUAUUCAAACAUGGUGCAUAUGCAGAUGAAAAAUGAUAUAUGGAGAUGGACCACACAUGCGACAAGAGAAAGGAACCACACUACUCCAGCACACAACAGACUAUAGUUCCGAUAAUUAGUUAAACAUAGCCACUAUAAUUGACUAAUAUAUAAAUUAUCUUCCAUGGAAUAUUUACAAGUGUAAAAACUAUGAAUAAAAGGAAGAUGCAGAGAUGGAGUACAUUACCUUUGUUUGCCUCGGUGGAGUAUUGCCAAGGGUGAGCUUACAAAACACGCUGGGGUUUCCUACUGACUGCUUCAUGUUGUUGCCACGUUUGAUUAUAACUAAUAAUGUUCCUGGCAAGCACUGUAACAAAAAUUCAGCCUUCUCCUGGAAACGAGGAGGACCUGACUGAAUUAGAUACUGAAGCAAAGGAAUGGCAUCUGCAGCAGCAACAGACUGAGCUCUUGAAACCUCCGCUGGACAAGCUGACCAAGCUUGCCUCAAAAGAAACAGGGAAUCUAACGCAGCUUCUUGAGUUGCCUCAGUACCAGUCUUUAAGGAUGUUACUAGAUGAGGAAUGCUGAGUGUAGCAGGCUCAGUAGCUCUCAAUCGUGGGAAGUUGCUGAAAAGAGAAUUUAGGGCUUUCAGGUAUUCCUCAUUCACGGUUCCAGUGGCCCACAAGUCCUUUUCAAUGGCAGCUGCAAGACCAAAUUGUUAUGACACUAUAUCUUCCGAGGCAGGUAAGUAAAGUUUAUUAGGCAAGCGUCUAAGAAAUUGUUGUAAAAGCAGAUGAUUAAUUCUAGAAUGCAGUCUCCCAAGGGGAAAAAAUAAAGGAAAACAUUCAAAAAUAUAUUCAAUCGUGUAGCAGAUGUGCGGAGAUGAUUGAAAAGGAAAACCCAAUUCUAUCAAUGUUAUUAUGCAUGUGGAGGGUUUAGGGAAAUUACCAGUGAUGGCCCUAACUGUCUCACUGGAUGCGUAUUCCUGAAUGGUAUGAUUUGAGAAAAGGAGUUUAAUAAACAUUGCAGCCUGCACAGAUGUAUCUGGAUCACUGGAUCCAAUUAGGUCCAAUACCACCUGAACACCACCAGCCUCUGCAACUGCUCUUUUGUUUGAUCGACUGUACAUAACAAGAUUUUGCAAGGCACAUAUUGCUACCACUUUCAUUUCUUCUGUUGGUUGGUCCUCAAGCACAUUGACCAGAGCACGGCAAGCUGAAACAGCAUCCGUGCUUCUAGCAAGAGCUUCAUUCUGGAACAAAUCACCAAGUGCCAAAGUUGCCAGCAACCUUGGCUGUUGAGCUUGAGUUUGAGGAUCCAAGAGAUACUGGGAUAAUGGUACAAUUGCAGAUUUAGUAACCUUGGUUUCUCUGAUCUUCACAUUAUUAAGAAGUACUUCCAGUAGUCUAGCUGCAGUUUCCUCACAUUGAUGGCUUCUCAGAAGUUCCAACAGUGCCUCAAUUGCUCCACUUUCCGCCAUUGCUUCAGCACUCGUUGCAUCAUCACUUUCAAGUACAAGUAAAGCAUUCAGUGCACCAACCACUGUGCUUUCCAAUCCAGAACGAAGCAACCUGACCAACACCGCAACUGGGACUUCCAGAUAAAAUUCAGAACUGAACUGUAGAAUACUCGCUAAUACAGUGGCAGCAGAUUCCCACAAUGAAUGAGGAAGUGAAGGAUCAGCUUGCAGAAUGACUUUGGAUAACUCACUGACACCACCUUCUUUUGCUAUUUCAUUUGGCCACGUUAGUGCAAUACUAACAAGAGCCUUGACAGCUCUCUGCUGCAAGAUUUGAAUACCAGAACCAAGUACUCGUAUUAGAGGACCAAUCACUUGCUGCGUAACUGAGUCCUUUUGCAAAUGUUCUUCCACAAGUAGGUGUGAUAGGAGCUCAGCUGCCAAUUGUUGCACAGCUGGAGCAGGGGAAUCAAGUAAAGGAAUGAGGGGUUCAAUUGCUUGGUGACAGGUCAAUGUAUAGUCAGCACGACACUGAGGAUGCUCUAAUAUAUUAACAAGAACCUGCAGUGCACUAUGCUGUCCAUCAGGUCCAAAUUCUGGUCUUGUCAACAAUAGGAAAAGAGGUUCAACCACUUUUGCAGCAGAUGAUCCCUUAGCAAUGUUAGCAUUAUUAGUCAGUAUACGUAGCAAUUCUGCAAAGGCUGAACAAAGAAAAUCAGGUGCUUCAAGGAGGAUAUCCAAAAUGCUUUCAAUUACUCCAGCUUUUACCAUUUCCAUCUUACAAGCAGGUCUAUCUUUUCCUAACUUUACAAGUGCUCUAGACACUGCUUCGUGAAGCAUGAAAUUUCUACCAUAGAGGAGGCCUACAAGAGGGAUAACAGCUCCAUGUGCAGCAACUAGUUCUGCUAGUUGUUCAUCAUCAACUAGUUUAUCCAAUGCACGGACAACUGAUUGUUGAGCAGGACUAAAUUCAGUCACAAGAAGCGAUACCAAAGGCUCGACACAUCUCGCAGCAGCCAUUGUAGAUCUGAUUCUUGUAUUUCCAAAAAGUACACAGCACAACUCAGCAGCAUCUCCCUUCAAGUCCAUUGUACAAUUUGUUGACAGAAUUUUGCAAAGGACAUCAACUGCAUUCAUUUCAACAUCUGCAACUGCAAGGGCUCUUGAUGGGUUUUCACUUAAUAAACGAACUAAAGCAGCAAUGGCAGCAUGUUGCUCCCUCUCUGAGCCAGUACUGAGAAUCUCAACUAAGGGUUGCACAGCUUGUCUGGACGAUUCAGCAUUCCUAAUAUGGUCAGCAGAAAAGAGGCUCUCCAAUGCUUUAGCAGCACUAUACCUUGCACCCCUUCCACCCAAACGCAGAACUGCUACAAGCUGACUGACAGCACCAAAUGCGGAUUCAUGCCUACGUAUCUCAGAACUGCUGAAAAGAAUUCCUAACAAAUCAGUAGCAGCUUCUUCAGUUGCAUCUUGUGGUCCAAGUGAAAGAUAUUUGGUCAAUGCUUCCAAAGCCCCUGAUUCUACCAUAACAAUCUUAUUUGAUGGGCAGUCUUUCGCUAGCUGGGUCAAAAUUCCAAGAGCUAGAAAAGGUGCUCCUGGGCGAUCAGGAAUUGGUUUUAAUAAAUCAACAAGAGCUGGAAUUGCUUUCCGAGAAGUAGCACCAGUCCUUAUGUCAUCUACCCGAAACAAUCUCUCCAAAGCAACUUGCUCAGGGUAGCGAACCAGCAUGAAUUCUUCUGACAGUUCAAGAAGAUCAUAUAUGUCAGCAUCUGCACACCCAAGUAAAGAUAUUAAUCCCCCUGCUGCACCAGAGUUUGCAACUGACAGCAGGGUACCCCUGCUACCAUUACAAACUAAACUUGCAAUGGCCUGGGCUGCAAAAUAUCUAUUUGCUGGCUCCUCUGCUUUCAGUAAAUUUGCAAUCACUGGUAUAGAUUUCAUGGUUGCAUGUGCUCGUAUUAUAUCCCUGUCUUGAAAUAGAAUUGCAAGCAAUAGAGAAGAUAUCCAUAUGCUGCUGUCUUCUUUAAAAUCAAUCUGUGUAAAAAUUGAAUAAGCAAAAGAAAAUUAAAUGCAAUUAGUUAUGAAACCACAAUGAGUAAAAUAUCAAACAAAGGACCAUAAAUCAUGGAAAAACUAAAGGAAGGUAAGAAGUUGAGCACCUGAGCAUACUGUGAGGAAUAAUUGGAUAUUCCCUCUGUGAGAACUUCAACUGCUCCAGCCUCCAUGAUCACAGUCUUACUUCUUCCGUCGUGGCAGGCAAGAAGACAGAGUAGCCAUAUUGCGAGGUUGACACCAUAAACAACAGCAGUAGCUUUAUUGCAUUCUGUACCACAGCUGCCUUCUUUGGGAAGUCUAUAUAUGCUGAUAAAUUCCUUAUCAGUAUCACUCUGAUUAUCCAGUACAGAACUCUGCGAAGAGCUUAACAUUGCAACAAGAGAUUGAAUCAGUAGACUACAUGAACUUGAUGCGUGAAGAUCUUCCAACAGCCUGUGGUGAUUAACAUUAGCGGCACAUACGAGAAGGGCAGUUCCACCAAUUUUGACCUUAAUGUUUGUGGAAUUGAUCACCCUCGUAGAAACAGAAGCUAUGCAUCCAGAUGCAGUAACUACUUCUUCUCCUAUAACACCAGGUUGAUCCCGGCAAAGUCGUGCUAAUACCUCAAUAGCCUUGUCCUGUAGUAUAGGAGUUGCGUCAGUAAUGGAUGCAACUAUUGGGGAAAUGCUUUGGGGGAAUUCAGCUAAGACUGCCCAUGCAGGCUUCAUGGUCCCGCUAACCCCUUCAGAUCUAGAUAAAAUAGCAAGAGCAUCUAGUGCUUCAGAUGUGGAAACAGUUCUGGUGUCUGCAGAUCCUAGAAAUGAGACUAAUGCGAGAACAGUUCCUGCACUAUUCACACAAUCAGUGAUGCUAUGGUCAAUUUUCCGAGAGCGAAGCAAGCGAGCAAUUCCUGCUGCUGCAUGUGUCUUUCCAGACAUUGUGCCUUCACGCAAAACCCUAGUGGCAGGCAAAAUAAUUUCUUCAGUAACAGCCUUCUCUUGGACUUCACUAUCAAGUAGAAGAUUUGCCAGAGCACAGGUUGACAGUUCUGUAACUUCCAGAACUGCAGACUUUGCAAGCACAACUAAGGGAGAUAAUACAUCUCUAGCAGCAGCAGCCACGUCCCUGUUCUCCUUGAUUGACAGAAAUAUGGCAGCAAGGCACCGGGAAGCCUCUGCCAGAAUACUGUCGGAUUCAACUUUAAGUAGUUUUAUGACUGAUAAGAGAGUCUGAAUAGCAAUGCUACUUUCACGCAAGUCUUUGCGGAUUUCAAAUAUUCCAGCUAAAGCUGAUGCAGAUUUGGCUUGGGUCUCUUCUCUAGUAGAAUUCAAUAUUUUAAUCAUGGUCUCAAUUGCAUCAUUAGCAGCAGUACCUUCACGCACAAUAUCAUUGAGGGGGACCACAGAAAGCAUACUUCUAAGAGCAUCCAAAACAUAGACUUUGGAUUCUGGUAAAUCACUGGUUAAUAAUGCAGUAAGUUGGCUGAUGGUUGCUGUAUCAGAUUUAUGAAUCAAAUGAUUCAAAGUCUUUGCUGCAAUUUCUUUUCCAUUAGAGCUUCCAUUCUUAAGCAACCACAGCAGUGCAGGGACAGCAUCAGCGCUUUCAACACAUGCACGUAUGUCUUCACUGUGAUUGCAUAAGUUUCUAAGAAUUGUUGCAGAAUCUUCUUUUGCCUUUGCAGAACCAGUCUCUAGAAUUUGAACUAGUGGAGGUAUGCCACCAGCAGCCGUUAUAGCCCAUUUACUCUCAUCAUUUUCGUUCGAUAAAAGACAAAGCAAUGCAACCGCACAUUCCUGUUGCUGCUCUGAUGAGAGUCCAAGAAGUGAAAUCAACAGCUGAACCCCCUCACGACCUUGCAGGGCACGCCAUAGACUACCUUCAUUGUUGCAAAGGGUAAGAAGGGCUCUUACAAGCUCUUCCUGAACUUCAUUGGUUGCCAUUGUGAUCAAACCAACUAGUAAACGUUUUGCAUCAGAAUUUGCAAGUUUGACAGCAAGUAUGGGAUUACCAUACAAACUAGCUAAUGCUUCUAUAGUUCGUUCCUGCACAAGAAAGGUUACACGGGAUCCAAACUGCUUUACUAAAGUCUGUUCAAUAAUUAUAGGAUCUGAUGCUCUGGUGGCUUCUUCUUUGCUAUCAUAUAUCAUAAGAGCUGAUGCUAAAGCCCCUAAUGUGUCGGCAGUUUGAGCAGCUGAUGAGCAUGCCUCAAGGCUUUGUCCAAGGCUUGAGAUAACAUAAGACAAACCACCUGAAAUGUUUGCUAAAGCACACAUAGCAUUCUCCUGCAAUGCCUGAGCAUACUCACCUUGCAUGAACUCUUUCGAGGGAGCUAUUGUUGCAUUUAUCAAGGCAGGGAUACCAUUUGAACUUGCUACCUCACGCCGUGCUUCUUUGCACUGAGCAGAAAGAGAUUUAAGAGCACCUGCAGCUUCUGCUCUAACAGAGGCUUCAUUUCCAGGUCCUAUUAAUUUGAGGAGCUUUUUCGUAGCCUCUGCAGCCAAAACCUUGGAGCAAAAAGAUGCAUCUUCCAUCAUCACAUGUGCCAGGAGAAAGCACACAUUUGCUUGUGUAUUUGGCUCUCCUGUUGCCAAUAAAUUCACAAGUAUGUCUACACCGCCUGCAUUUAUAGUUGCAGACCAAAAUCCCUCAGUGCUGCUUGAGAGGUUUCUUAAAGCUCCAGUCAGUAAGCCAACAACAUUUCCAGAUUUGAGCCCAUUGUGUAGCUGCUCCCAAAGUACCGGAACAACUCCCUCAGUAGAAAAUAUUUUGGAUCCAACGUGAUCCCUAGCACCACCUUGGGAAACAGCAUAAAUGGUCUUUGCAGCAGCAAUUUGACCCUCUGACGAACUUGAUUUGAGGAGACCAAGCAAUGGGGGGAUGCAUCCUCCAAGUAGAACCUUUACCCUUAAUUCAUUUUCCUUGCACAAGGAACCUAAAACAGUAGCAGCUUGUAUUUUCACCCCAAGGGAACCUGAACGGAGAAGAGAAACUAGUACUGGAACUGCUUGAGAGUGAGAUCCAACAGCACUGAAUGCACUCUCACGUGUAUCAAUAAGUUCCAGCAAUUGCCUCAAAGAAAAUUCUUUCUCCUGCACAGAGGAGGAACUCUGCCGCAGCUGCUCAAUGCAUUGAGCAACACUUGCGAGUGUCCCAUCUGGAUCUUCCAUGCUAUUGCGAUCUCUGCAAGACAUAUGAUCAAAGUAAGUCAUCUGAUCUGGGUAUUAUUGUUCAGCGAUACACAAAUUGAACAAUAACACUUGUAUUUUACUACUUGGAUCGACUCACACAAAACAAGACUGAAUUAUAUGCUAUCCUCAUUUACUAUUGGACUCAUUCAUCAUAUGCUGUCCUUUAAGGAGGCUUGGGCUCUGGAAAGAUGGGGAAAAUGAAGUUCAAACUGAAGGAGAAGUGGACAGCCAACUAAAAUUUAUUAGGUCCAUUCACAUCCGUGUUCUUAAAACAAGACAACACACACACAUACCUAUGUCAAAAAUUAAAUGAAAAAAAUGUGGAUAUGGUAAAACCUCUAAAAUAAAAUAAUGCAUGCAAGUGAAGUGUAUACAUAAAAGCAUAUUGGUUAUCAAACAAAAAUGAGUCUUUCAUAAAUGCCAUGAAAUGACAAAAGGAACAAAAAUUAUACAUACAAGGACAGCCAAUAAAUAAAACCAUAUGGAUUAUCCUUAGAAGUCAGAAUACACAUCUUCCAAAUAUAACAUGAACUUGUUAAAAAAAAUGAAAUAAAUAAACAUUCAACUUUGAUUUUACCUGGAGCCCAUCUUCAUAAUAGAAUGCGGAGUAGGAGGCUCUGAAUCUUGAAUUUUUCCAUCCAUGUUUUUCUCCUACAACAAUUGAACACAGAAAUGAUUAGUACAUAACUAACAUAACAUGUACCACAAAAUCGAGAAAGUAGAAUACUUUAAAGAAAGCAUAGAACUAUCUUAAGCAGCUUAUUUUGUUUUUCCCAAUACAUAAACACUAAACAGGGUACAUACUAAACCACUCGUAUCAAAUUGAAGAUGACAUCCCAAAGAAAACUGCAUUGACUAAGAUUAUCUUUGAAAUUCAGUUAACCAGUCCAUCCGUCUGUCCCCUCUUAAACCUCAAACAAUAUUGAGCUUAGACAACCAAAUAAUUAAAAUAAGCAUACUCAUGAGUCCAUAACCCAAUUUUCUUGAUAUGCAUCAGAAUCACACUCACACAUGCUCACAUUUAAAACAACUAUUGUUUUCAUAAGCACUCCAUGCAAGAAUUGGUAAAGGGAAAAUUAAUUUACAAAUCUAAUGACAACAUUUAAAUAGAGGCCACAAAAUACCAGAUCAUUAGUAGGAUGACUGCUACCGUUGCUGGCAGCUAGUCUCCAAGUUAGUGUCGCCGCCAGUUUCUCUUCCUUUUAAGUUACAAUGAAGAUGAAACAGAACGUCAGAAUUCUACAGAUCUAUGAAAGAAAGGCAAUUAAUAGCAUAGCAUUCUCCUGCAAAACAAUCAUGAAAAAACCAGAUCAGAGACAAUGAUUAAAAUGCCGCGAAUCCAAAUAUUUUAUAACACUUGAACCGUUUCCAUACAACUAACAAAUAAAUAACAAAACCAGAAAAACAGCGAUGCUGCUGAAGUAGCGGUUCUAAGACUAAUUGAGCCAAUUAAAGUUCUUCAGGACUAAUGUGAAAUUAAUUUCACAUCACGCAAGGACACAUAUAAACUGUCUAUACUCCCGACACCGCCUCUCUCCAGUAAAUCAAAUUCCAUCAACAAUUAAAGACGGAAAUGAAAUCAAACCAAGCAACGAAAAUCCACAGAUUUACAUAAACACCGACCAACUAAAAUAAAAAUGACGCAGAUCCAGCAACAAAGAAUCAAAGUACAACUGAUUUAGUGAUCAGUCAAACAAGUCUAUAAAUGCACAACACAAAUAAAGUAAAUUAUAAUAGCAUUUGGCUAAGGCAAAAUCGACAAAUCGAAAACAGGAAUUUCAGUGAAUUUUUUACAUCGUGGCCAAUGCAAGCAGCUCAAAUCCAUUUCAUGCAUCAGAAAGAAAAUGAUAGAGAGAAAAAACCAACCUAAGAAGAGACUGGAAUGAAGAGCAAGUUUCUUACAAGAGAAGCGAGCAUAAAGAGAGAGUGAGAGAGCUUAGCCUCUGAUUUUCCUUUUUUUCUUUCUGGUGCUGUUGCUCUCUCUCUCUCCUCUUUUUUCCUCUUUCUCUCUCUAAAAAAUGGGAAUUACGUCUCCGAAUAUACAGAGAUUGGAACGGAACCAAGCAGGAGACAGCGAUGAAGCUUUAUGAGCUUUUUCCACAUCCACACUCUCACUAAUACACCACCGACAAGCUAAGCCGCCGCUUUCCCGGCUAACCUCGGCUCGGCUCACAUAUUCCUCCAUUUUUUUCUUCAUUUAUUUUACAAAUUAUAAUUGUCAACCAUUAAUUAAUUUUUCUAACUCUCUCUCGUCUUAAAAAUAAUAUAUAAUAAUACUAAUUAUUAAUUAUUAUUAUUAUUAUAUAACUCUCUUUCUCUGUCUACAAUUUAUCUCGUGGUGACUUUACAAUUAAUUGAGUUGAGAAUUUCUUCUUUAAAAAAAAAUUUGGCUUGAAUUAUUAAAAAGUAGAAAAAGAAAAUUAAAAUCAAGAGGAUGAAUUGAAAUGAAAUGAUACCUUAUCUCUCUCUAGAAAUGUUUUAUUAUUAUUUUAUCAUAUAAUAGACAGGUAUUGUGGACAGUGAGAUACACCUAAUAAAGCUAAAAUAGAUUAUAUAAGAUUUGUCUAAUAGUCCCUCUCACUUAACUGAAUUUGAUUUUCACUCCCUAAUCAAAAUGCAUUACGCAUCCCAAAAUUGAACCCAGAAAAUAUAUAUAUAUAUAGAAUUCCCCUUUUGUAAUUAAAGGUUAUACGUCUGAAAUAUUUUACCCUCGAUGAUAAGUCAAUUUUUAGUUUUACAUAUUGGUGAAGCACAUGAGUUUAAUGAAAUUGUGAGUAAGAUUAUUGGGGAAGAAUGAGAAAUUUGGGAGGCAGAUAAGAAAUAGAAAAGACUUGAGGGAGGAGAGUUUGUUGGUAAUUGUGAUGAGAAUGAAAUGAUUGGGACUGUGUAGCAGCCGGUAUGAUGUUAUGAACAAUAUUCUCUGGUGAUUUAUAGCGACAUUAUUUGUAGUUUUGUAUUUAGCUGUGCUGUCACCUCCCACGUUCUUUCUCUUCAUUCAGCUAAAACUAAAACUCUCUCUCCCUCUCCAUAGCCAUGCCCCAUGUUCCGUCAUCUAAUCUCUUCUAUGUCUAAUCUCUCUCUUUAUAUAAUACAUUAUAUAGCUGUUGAUUUGGCAACAAUUGUGAUUAGGGAUAUAAGACCUCCAUUAUGUGAUAACAGUUGAUUAAGACUGUAAUUUGGAGCCAACUAAAGCAAUUACACGAUGAUUUGGUUCGCUGUCACUUUUUAUAUUAUUAUAUCCAAAGAAAUGUGCACUCUUUUUGCACAUCAACGGGCAAUCUUAUUUGAAAAGUAAUAGUAAUAAUAAAAACAAAAACAACACAAUCCAAGGACUGCCUAAAGCUGAUGACGGUAAUUUCAUGAUUAAUUACAAACCACGAUGGGAGAAAAAAGAUAUUUAUUAAUUCUUAAUCCAUCAAACUUGGAUUUGAAGAAUCCGAAAGGACACUUUAUUAAUUGGUCAUCUUCUAUUGGUGCAAAUAUGGAUGAAAUUGCCAGCUAAAGGGGCCGGCUUUGGUUGGUAUGUUUAGAAUUUUUUGCAGUACUUUUAAAGCAAUAUCGAAUUUUAGAAAAUCACAACUUCAACUUCACCUUACCCUUUUAAAAAGAGAGAAAAAAAGAACAGAAAAAAGAAAAAACUUGGUCUUGCCCAAUCCCAUCAUUUCCACCAUACAAAUUAGAUUGGGCCAAAAUGGAGAGAUUACACACCUACUAGUAUUAGUACUAAUUAGAUAUCAAAUAAAAAUUAUGAGUAAUUAACUAACAAACUUAAUCAUCCUAGCACAAUUUUGUCACAUUUCAUUUUUAUAUAUAAAGUAGGUUGUUAUAGCACUCUCAGAAGGUUAUCUUGGAUGAGGAUUUUUAGGUAAGGGUGGAUUUGACUAAAGAUGUUGAACAGAAGCAACAUGGAUUUAUGAAGUCCGAAUUUAUUGGAAAUAUCCAUAGGUUUCCUACCACAUCAAAAUUACUGUUAACAAGCUCCAAAGUGUUAUUAUAACUGAGGUUUUCUAGAUUCACUAUUUAAACCCCACAACAUACUAGACUUGAUGCCAAACUCAUGCCUCAAAGGGCCCCUCAAAUAGUAUCCUAUAUUAAGAAUAUUUUCCUCCCCCUAAUUUUGAAAAAAAGGGUCCGACAAGAAUCAUCUAUUUCUAAGUAAGACGAUUUCUUCAACGAUUUCUUCAACAAUUUCUAAUAGCAGAUCUCCGACAUGAGAAAUGUAUAUCCUUUGAGAAUAACUAUUCAUAAACGUAAGUGCUGAAAGCAAAAUACUACCGCCAAGGUCCCUUCAACCAGAUCUGGGAUAACCACCAAACAUGCUUAUAAUCAAACAUGUUAAUGAAAAGCAAUGCCUUUCGAAGCAAAGUAAUAAAAGUGCCUCUCAAGUGAAAACAAGAACCAGGUAUUUGCAACUAACCCACUUUGACAAAAGGUUGCAAUAUGAGUUUGGCAUUGGCCUGAGAAGUGCCCGAAUGGCUGCAGUUGCUGUUCUUGGCGCUGCAGCAGAAGUAAAAUCCGUUACAAAAUUUUUUAUCAAGGUCAAUACAGAAAGAAUGGUGCUAUCCAAGAAUCGUGCGUUCCUCUUGCCUGAAAACUUGUGAUCUUUCUGUUCCCUGGGUAAACAUAGAAUUUUAGAUGCUCUGUAGAUAGAACCCUCAACUAAGAGGUGCGACAUGAAGCUAAUAAAUAUGUACUACAAAAAAAAGCACACAACCAGUGCCUGUAUACCGGAGACAGAGAUGGCAAAUUACUUUGAGGUGUUAGGUAAGGCUUAUUGAUGAGGCAUAUAGUUGAAGCAGGGUCAGGGCUUGCUCCGUAAUGGCUCGAUUUCUUGCUUGCCUUACCCAAUCAUGAACUACCUCUUCUGCUUUUGUGCCUUUAACACCUUCUUCAAGAGAAUGUGCUGCUUCAGCCAAGUUUCCUUCAGCCAGGCAGGACUCCACUCGGUUGAUGAUAGAUUCGAUCCCAGUACCAGAUUGGUCAGCCUCCUUCACCUAAAGAAGGUCAAGGAAAUUUCAGAAACUACAGCAAUAGGGGAGAGUAAAUGGGAGAUUUAAAGUUCUCUCUAAUUUACCUUAAUCCAGGAUGCUACACGAGCUAAAGAAUGUGCCAAAAUGCCACCACCGCCUGGUGGGAUAAAGCUCAAGUGCCGUAACGGUGCUUUUAAUGCAUCAAACUGCAUGCAAGGAGAUGAAUAAGUUAUAAGCCAGAUACUUUCACCAUCAAAGAUGAACUAGACUACCAAACAGUCAAUAUUGUACAACAAUAUUCCAGAACGAGUCAGAUUUGAUAAAAUCAAAGAAUUACGACGGUUUGAUAACAUUCAAUACAUUUUUGGGGGAAAGAACAAAGGUAAAAGAUAAUAUCUGAUUUCCUCCCCAUAAAGUAAUUCAUGUUGACAGAUAUGGUUGAAAGUAGUAAGAAUUUCUUCGAAAUCAACAACAUUGCUAUUCAAGAACUUUUUUUUUUCUUUAGUUGCCUUUUCUCGUACUUCCAAAUUCCAUCUGACCUACACCAAACUUAAACAGCUAUUCAAUCACGUUUUCACUAAACUUUUGUUUUAAAAAAACAAAUAAUAACUCUUACCAAUGCCAAACAGCCCCACGGUUUUUCAGUAAAGGAAAUGACACUGAUUAUAAUUAGGUAACCUUUUGAGAGAGAAGUAUGCUACAAUUUAUCUUCAAACCAGGGAGAACUUAAUGUACCUUUUGUGUCAUCUGUAACAACGUAUCUGAGCCAUGAUUCAAUAUUUCUUUAGGAAUGGAUGAAAGGAUCAGCUCUAAGUUAGAAUCUUUGUCAAUGCCUUGAAGAUUAACACGUAAUGCUUUUAUUUCAGCCUGGAUCGGUAACCCUCUGGAAAGAGCAUCUUCAAGUGCCAGUGCCCCCUAUAAGAUCGAUGACUUAUAGUUGAUUAAACACUUUGAGAUAAAUUGGAUUGGCUAUGCGCUAGCAAAAUAUAAAAAGGAAAAAAUAUGAUUUACAACCAUGAAAGUUCCUGAGACACCUUGUACUUGAGCACAAUGCUCGUUGAUGGAUUUAUACAUAUAUAAACUUUCUUGACAAAUGAAAUACAAAAGCAAGGGUUUAAAAAUCCUUAGAAAAUGCCAAGUUUAUAAAAAAUACUCUACUGCAGAUUCAAGGGAAGUUUUGGAGAAUUUCCUCACUCUUAAGUACAAUUCUCUCACAAGAUAACUGAGCAAAAACGUACUUCCCUGGCACUUUCUUACUUACAGACUAUAUAUUGCUCAAACCAAAGCUCAUUCUCACUAUAUUCUCAGGGGCCCAUCCCUCUAACUAACUAAUAACAAUUUAAUAUUCCUCAACUGCCUACACUUAUACACAUGCUUAAUGGGGGGGUCUAUCAUAGACUCAUAGUCAGCACAAAUAACCAAAAGAGGCUAAUUACAGAAACCUCGACUAAGGAAUCUCCAAUUGAAUCUUACAGGCUAGAACAUCCACCCUUGACAAAAGAAGAGAAUGAGAUUAUUCAAGCAAGAAUACUAUGACAAGCAAUUUUACAAUGUCAAAACCUGUCUUCAUUCUAAGAACAACCUCGGAUCUUAUUUUCAAAAGAAGCCUCACAAAACGUAACUAAAAAAAAAAAAACAAAUACCGUUUCCAAAUUUCAGCGUACACCCUAAUUUUAUGUUUUUUAUGGAAACAUACUGGUUUCAAACUUUCUAAAAUGCCUACAAAUAUGUAUGUUGUUGCGGAGAGACCUAGAACUAUUUUAACCUGGAAGAUUUUAAACGUAGUUUAAUCCCAAUGUUCAUCAGUUUCCCUGUUCACAUGCAAAUGAUGUAAAUCUGAUAGAAGAAUGAUCACCUUCAAUAGUACCCAAACUACUAAUAUUAGAUGCACAAACGUGCACCAGUAUGUAGGAAGACAAAUCUUUCUCCAAAAGUAAGUUUAACUUCAGUUUCUUCUAUACUACAAGUAAGAAAUGAAAACAUCAAUAAGUAGAAGUGCGAACUUACCAAUGCAAGUUUCUGAGCAGAGUGACUUUGACGAGCUUCUUCAGACCUUGCAUAGAAUGCCAUGCAAAGGGCAUUAAUCUGCAAAAAGAAGUUUCACACAUAAACAGAUUAUUGGUGGUAGAUUGAUUGCCUGGAUUCAGGCCAAAGGACAUGGAGCUAUAUUGGAACAUGCACAUCAUUGACAAGAAAAUAAACUAUUAUAGCAACAAAAGAAUUGCCAAAUUGAUGUACAGUUGACGUGUUUCUUCAUUAUAGUGUAAAAUUUUCAUCAAGCAAUGUCCAUAAAAAUCGGUGAGCAUCUUUCAUCCUAUGAAGGAAAAACUUCCCCCCGAAUGGUGAUAUCGUAAAUGAAGAACUAAACAUUUUUUUUCAACUUUUUUUUUCUUGUUAUGAAUGUCAUUUUUUAAGGAGGCAUGUUAGGUCCUAAUAUUAUCUAUAACUUCCACUUUGAAUAUGCAUGAUGUUUUUAGCUCAGGUAAAUCAAUAGCUUGUGCUAUAUUGCUUACAUGAAGAUUUGCUUCAGCCAUUUUUUCUAUCUGGGCAGCCUUCUCACUUGCAAUUGCUGCAGCUAACUCUGCUUUUGCCAGAUCUUGAAGUUUUCUCAACUUUGAUUCUAACUCAUUUUCCUGCAAUGAAAUCAUUUUUAAAAGUAUUGGUAAAGGGUCAGCAACUUGAGCUUGUUUGUCAUUUAAGAAACACUCCUACCUUCUGUUCAAGUUCCUUCUGAAAUUUAUCUUCCAAAUUCUCUUGUAGUGACAUCAGAGCAGCAGCUGCUUUUGUUUUCUCUCGUUUUAACUCCUGAAAAUAGUUAAAAUCCCAAGAAGCCAAUUAUAAGAAUGAGAGAAACACAACAACAGUGUACAGAUGUACGCUCUCUGUUCAGAUGAUACAUCUAUAAGAGACUCCACGUGCGUAAUUCAAAAAUUGAGAAUUCAACCUUGUCCAACAUAGCAGCCUUUUCUGCAUGCAUAAAUUCCCUAACCCGAGCAUCCCUCAAUGCUUCGUCCAUCUUGUUCUGUACAGAACAGAAACAUAAAUCACAGUCAAUAAUAGUCGCAUUUCAUAAAAAUUACAAUCGUUUCACGUACGAUAUAAAAAAUAUCUAUCGAUCCAUACCCACAGUGCUGUCUUUUCAUCAGCAAAACGACGAUAAUCCAGCUCAGCUUGCCGCUUUUCAGCAGCAUGAAUAGCUUCUAAGAAAUCAAUGACCAAUUUCCCAUCCUUGGAUAUGAAGCCAUCAUUCAACUCCUCAAUUUCAGCAAUUAAAGCCUGGCAUCUUGGAAACAAAACUUUAGAUCUUGUCUAAGACUCCUUUACUCAAUUCCAGAAAAAUGGACAUCCAUCAAGAAGAAGGAAAAAGUAAAUGACCUCUGUUCCUUUGUAAAACUUGUCAGUUCCAUCUUUGCUACCACCACCCAAGGAAGUCAUGCCAGCCUCACCCUUCAAAUGGUAGGCCUCGAGAAGAGAACUUGGCUCCCCUGUAUCUUCACUUGUAUCAUUCAACUCCUGGAUAGAAUACGAGCAGAGACAGAUUCACUUUAAGUUACACAUCUUUACUAGAAAUGAAUAUAUUUGGAUAAGAGAUUAAUAUAUUUAAGAAACAAAAGUUCAGAGAUGAUAUCCUGUGAAUCUAGAAUGUCUAAUUCUAAUGAACCAAUCAUCCUCAUCAAACUUCAUUUCUGGCCCGAAUACUAUUAGGCAAGGGAUUCUAGGUACCUGGUAUUUUUUCUAACUUGCCUCCUGUAAUAAACGUUUCAGUAAUCCCUUUCUGACACUGGAGUGGACGAAUAAUAAGUUGGAAUAGACCAAAUAGGUUCGUCUGCUGUAUGAUGAGAGGCUAGUCAUCUUCUUCAACACCCUAUGCAAUAUUUACAAAUUUUAACCUUCUUAUUAAUCCAUAAGGAUUAUAGACCUAUAAUCUGGUCUCUCCUUCUGCAAAGUCCUCAUCAUAUUUGAGAAGAUUUUUAUCAUGAGAGAUGAUGACUUGGUUUUGCCACUAUCUUGCUAACACGUGUUUCAGUUUCACCCACGUAUCAAAGAUAAGGGGGUUUGGACAUUUGAUUGUUCCAAGUCUUUCUCUUGUGAGCUGGUUUCUGGAAGGUUACACUCAUGAAGAAAACUAAAUUUUGCACGCUUGAUGCCUGGUGAUUUAUAGGAGGAUUAAUCCCAAAUCUCCACAGGUGUUCCUAUUUUACCAGUUAAUUGAAGAUUAAGAGGAUCUACACAUUUUUUUACUUUUCCCUUUUCCCAUAAUGAUUUGGUUUAGGUUUUGCAAUUGUUUGGCAUUAUUUUGGCCCCAUUUUGUAAUUUUCAUUCUAUGAUUGAAGAAGUUCUAGUAGAUCCUUCAGUUCAGGAAAGAGAAAUAGACAAUUGUGGUGGCAGGUUUUUAAUCAACAUAAGAUAUAUUUGGUAGAGAGAAACGUGAGGAUGUUUCAAUUAAGGGUCCUCAGAUAAAGUGUAGCCAGACUCAAAAUUAAGUUCCUCAUAGAGGAUUUUUUGUUGAAACAUUUUUAGUGAUUUUACUCUCAUUUCAAUUACCAAUAAUUAUACCAAUUUUUUCUAACUGUUUUCCUUCUCAUAACCCUUUUAUCUUGGCGUGGGCUUUUUUAUAUACAGCCUCUGUUUACUUUCUUCCCUGCCUCUUAAUAUAAGCUGGUUCACUAUUAAAAAGAAUUUGCAUUGAGCACGUGCAUUGUAUUGUAUGACUUAAACCUUCAAGCUACCAUUACAUCAACAUUUGAUCUGAAUGGAUAAAUUGAAGUUACCUUCAGUUUCUCUUCUGCAACUGUAUCUUCUUGUGGUGGUAUUCUGAUAUCAAUCUGUGCGGGUUCUGCAUCUGUCUUGCUAGAUAUUGGUGAAGUUUGAACUUCAUCGUGAGGCCAAUCCCUAGUACAAGACUCUGCGCUUUGCAUGUUCAAGUUUUCAUCUGUGGAUAUUUUAGAUCCAAGAUUCUCAUCCUCUACUUGACUGCCACUUUGAGUAAAUUCUGGCAAGUUUUCCUCCUCGAUCUUUUCAUGUGGCAGUGUCCUGGAACUGUCUUCAAACUGACCAUCAUCUUUCUCUUUUCCCCAAUCUUCAAGAUGAGGAAGGUGGGUAUCUGUCUCAACUUUCUGCUCAGUAGACUCCACAAUGGGAUUUGAGCUCUCGGUUUCUUCUCUAACACUAUUCGAUUUUUCGGUUUCCUCACUACUCGGUAAAUCAAAUUUCUGCACCACCAAAGGUUGGACAUUGUCUGAAUCACUUUUCUGAACUGUUUUAGUUGACUCUACAGAAGAAUUCUGCUCUAUAUCAACAGUUCGUUGGUCUAGAUAGCCGGCUUGGUAAGCUGCAAAAACAGCAGCACCAAUAACAACACUGCCAAAGACAACUUUUGGGAUGGAAUUUCCAGAAUUAGGUGGCACAUUUGUAGGUUGUGGUUUCAGAUUUUGUUUGGGCGCAGAUGAAAAUUCCCUUAUCUUAGAAAUACAUUGGGGUGUAUGCCAACAUUGCACCUGCAACAAAAACCUGUCAAAGAAUCAGAAAAUAUUUGAAAAAGUACACCAUUAAACCACAAAAAAUAUCAGGAUUGCAUAGUUUGGUCCCUAUAUUUUAUUAUAGACUAGUUUUGCAACACACUCUGUUCGUCCUCCCAUUUCAUUUGUCUCACAGCUUUUGGGCACAGUAAAAUUAAACAUAAGAAUAGAAACAUGUCAAUGGGUUUAACAUUUCUUAACACUGUCAAUUAAUUACAACAGCAGAAGAAAGAAUGGUAUAAAUAGAAAGUUCGUGUAUGUUAUAUGAGAAGGCUUCAAGUAGUCAGUUAAUAAAGACAGCACAACUGCAUCACAAGCACGUAGCAGGCAGAUGAAAAACUAUAUGCAUGUCUUUGCUCCCAAGUCAAAAAUAAAUUUCCAAGCAUUUAUUUUGCAGAUGCUCGUACUACCAAGAAAGAAUAGCAUAAAUAGCAAUUUAGUGUAUGUUAAAAGAUCCCAAUGUUGUACAUUUCCACCCAACUGCAUCUACGAUAACAUAUGUGAAGAACCAAGCAUGUGGAUUUAUAUGCUUAUAAGUCGAAUACACACUUCUCCAAAUAUCUGUUUGUAAAUUAUCUCAGCGUUUGGAUUGUACAAAACGAAUUCUGAUCGCAAAAAUGGGAAAGUCUUAUUUACGAAAUUCUACUUGCCUGGGGUGAACUCUGCCUCGGAGUCCUUCCACCAGAUUGACGAGAUGAUAAUUUCAGAAUUGACCUGCAGACAACAAUGCGAUAAAAAUACUAUCUAUAAGCAUCACCCGCUGUAACCGAACCCAGCGAGAUCCAAAUUCAUACAUAACAUGGCCAUUGACAUUGAGAUUUAUUAUCAUUUAUUAGUAGAAAAUUCCUAUUGCUGAGAAUGCCAAAUUAACCCUCGGGAGAUUAAAGAAUAAGAAUCUGGCAAUUUUCAACCAUUCAAGAAAACACUGCACUCGAAGGACAAUCGAAAUGACUAAUUAACGAAGAACAUCAACAUCACGAGCAAAAUAAAACAUAGUUGAAACAUAGUUCAAGAACAUUUCCGUACCUCCGCCACAUAGCGUAUACCUAUUCAGUGAAAACGGCGAGCGACGAAGAUAUUUGAGCGAAUAACCAAGUAAGCGAUUAAAUGCAAGUUGGGCAGUGGGUGAUGGAAAGUCCGGCCUGGUAGGAGGGUGGAACAACGGGUUCGAAAACUCAAAUUAACAAUCGGUUUACCGGAGGAAGAUCGCCGGAGACGAAGGAAAACAUCCGAUGACACCGGAAUUUUACCGCCUAAUUAGAUGUGUCCGACCAUCCGCAAGGAAUUAUUCCGCGAGUUGCAAUAGAUUCUACAAGGCCCAUUUAUAAAGUUGGGCCUUGAGCCCAAUAGAUUUGUAGGAGGUUGAUGAGCUGGGCUGAACGAAUCUGACAAGACUGCCCUUAUUCGGGUCCAUUGUGAUUCUAAAGGUAUGACUCGAUCAAUACUUUGUAGAUGUAAAUUUGAUAGACGAGCUAGUUUUUUUUGCAACAACAAAUACAGCCUUCUUUUUAAAUCUCAAUUGAAGCAAGGUAAUCUUUUAUGAUAUAACAUACGUGUAGACUUGAUUAAAGAAACAAACAAAAAAUUAGGGGAAAAAACUAAAGAGAUUGUAUUUUCUUCAACUCAAAGUUUCCCCAACUAAUAAUACUGUUGUUGCUAGUUAGGUUUCUCCCACCACAAGAACUGAUAAUGAAUUUAAUAACUGUAAAAAAAUAAAAUUUGGGAUAAUUCUUCUGUAAUAGUAUUUCAAGUGACCGAUACCGUUUUAGGCUAUUUUUAAACAUAGCAUAAUGAAUAAACAUAUAUAUUACACCAACACAAAUUACUAUUUUGUAUUUAUCAUGAUAGCAGUUUAUCUUGGUAUAUCACAUGUAAACAGUUAUAUUUUUUUAUAUUCAUAAAUAUUAUAAAAAAAACGUGCAUUAAAAACACUUUAUCCUUUUUCAAAAGUAACAAUAAUAAAUAUUUUUCUCUAAUAAUAUUCGAAAUUAUUUCACAACCUUUAAAGAUUGUGUGGAUUGCCCAUGUGUUCAAGCAUCUUUAUGUCUAAAAUAGAUUCGACUUAGUUAAACUAUAAUUGACCAAUCAUUUCUCUCUAACAGUCAAUGAUUUGAUUUUUCAUUCUAUGAAUGUUGAAAACAUAUACAAGGGUGUAAAAAUUUGUUUAAAUGAUAAAACGAUUGAAAUAUUUACAAACAUAACAAAAUUUAAUAGUUUAUAAAUUUAUCCGCAUCCAUUUGACAUUUAUUAGAUAAAUGAUAAUAAUCUAUCAACAUUUAUUAUUGAUAUUUUACUAUAUUUAUAAUUUUUUUUUGGUUCAUAUCACUUUAUAGGAAGUGGUUAUAUAUAUAUAUACAUACACUUAAAAGCAUCAAAGUGGAGUGGUAGGGGCCAUGUCACAUGGGAAGAACAAAGAGGCAUCCCAAAUUCAAAGAGUGAACCAUGCAUGUCAUGUCACAUAAAGCAUUAAUUUUCUUUUAUAAUAUUUUGUUUCCUGUUUUUAGUUAAAAAGAGAUAUUUGAGAUAAAAUCCCACAAAAGUGAUAUCUAAUGAAUUUCACUAUCAUAUCCAAAAACUCAAUUAUUAGUUUUCAAAACGCACACACACACAAUUAUCAAAAUGUUUCUAAACAUAUAGAAAAAAUCUACUCACGUUUUUAUACUAAAAUUUCUUUUGAACAUUACUGAGGUUGUCUGUCUCUAAUGGGUGAAUUUCUUUGACAUACUUAUUUCAUUCUUUCAGCAAUCCUUCAAUUUAGAAAUCUAAACACUUUCUCAGAGCUAGAGAUGCAUCAAUCAAAGACUAAUCUUGACAUUUUUCUAAUUCUUUAUUACAAAUUACCAUAUUUUUCACCAAAUAUAGAAUCUAUAACCCAACUAUUUUUUGCUAUUCAAAAAUCGUUUAGAGAGAAAUUGCACAAUUAAGUCCUUGAGGAAAAUCGGCAAAUGGUACAUAACAGCCAUGAGGGUGGAAUAGCUUCCAUAUGAGAACCAAGGCGAUGGCUUCGUUUUAAGAACAGCGGCGACUGUCUUCUCGGCAAACUCGGCAGUAGGGGUGGCGUUAGAGCCCUGCGAGGCAUUGGCCCUGGCUAACAUUGCAGCUUCAAAGGGCUUGAAUAGCUUCAACUCAGGCAUCUGAUUAAAGUUGGCAAUGGCAGAGUUUCCAAUGUUUGAUUUAAUGGCUCCAGGGACAACGUUGAUAACGUCGAUUCCAAAGGGCUUCAGCUCCAUCCUUCAAUGAUGAAAAUAUCGAUCAAGUCAACCAACAUCACAGUGUGAAAUAAAUGCGAAAAUCAAAUGAAAUAUGUCAGCAAAUUGAAUUGGAUAUUCAUUGCGUUUAUUCAAGUUUCUAUCAUGGGCCGUGGCCCCCUAAAAAGCAAAAAGAAAAAAGAAAGUUUUAGAUUUUGAACUUUAAUGUCUUGGAAUAACUUUUCUAAGCAUUGAAAAAAAGAAAGUUUUUUUGGAGGGGUAUUUUUUUGCACAAGAGUUGAGAGUAACAACAUAGAAACAGAAGUAGAAGUGUGGAAUGGUAAACUUCCCCUCUUUAUUUAAACUAAAAAAUUUGUAGGCUUUCACAACUAAAAAACAUCAAUAACCCGUACAUUUUACUCCCAUCAGUUUACAAGUUUCUAGUUUUCAUAACUCACAACUUCACUCUUUGCCUCAAAGAUCGUCUUAUAAAACAAUGUUCUAUAAAGUCAUUUCAAACCGACUUUCAUGAAGAAAUAAGUUGUCUUGAAUCAACAAUAAGUAACCCAUAAAAAUAAACCCAGCAGAAAAAGAAAUAUUUGCUUACCCAUCAGACUUUUGUGGGUUGUUUCUGUUUCUACAGUUCUACUUCAGUGCAUUGUAACUUAAUAUAUUCUAUACAUAUCUUUGAGAUCUUUGAGCUGCUAAAAAGAUACACUAGAAAUUCAAUAGGACCCCGGCACUUAUUUUUCUCAUAUGAAUACUCAAUUUAAACUUUAAGCAUAAAGGUCUCGAACCCACUACAUAAUCAAACAAGCAAAAACAUCAAAAUUUCAAAUCCAACUAAAAAUUAUUCAAAGAUAGAUAAACAAAGUGGAAUGAUGCUCAUCCACUCACAAGAAUGGCUACAAGAAUCGGAACUCAAAUCCAUAGAAAUAUUAAUUUAAUCCCUUGAUUUAAGGUAAGAAUUGCGGUUGAAAGUUAAACUCCACCAACGAGCUUUAUUUGAAUUUUGGUUCUUUAUUUUUAAAAAUUAAUAUUUAUAAACCCUAUUUUCACCUCUAAUUUUCUUCCUAACUCGUUUCUAAAAAAUCUAAACCACUCAAAAACCAAAAAAAUAGUUUUAAAGUAUGUCUGAAAACUUUUUAGUUCUUUUGUUUUUGGUCCUCGAACAAUGGAUUUGUUCUUUUAACAACUUCCCUGUCAUACUAUUUAUCAAGAAAGACCAAAUUUUCUUAGUAAAUUUUCAAAUUGCAAAAACUAUCUUUCUUUACUUUUCAAAAUUUAGUCUUGGUUUUUAGAAUUGCAAAUUGCAAAAACUUUCUCUACCUUUCAAAACUUAGUAUUGGAUUUUAGAAUUAAUGAUAAAAGGUGGAUAACUAAAUAAAAAAACCAAUAGAUGAAAAGUAGAGAGUUUGUAAACUUAAUUUUUAAAAAGCAAAUUGCUAUCAAAUAGCUUUAGUAGUCAACUUUCAUCCCAGAAAAAGACUAGUGAGGUUCAAAUUAACUUAAUAAACUAUCACUAGCGAGGGUCUGGAAGAUCGAGAUAAUUAACUAAGGCAAGGCAAAACAUUUCGUGCAUGAUCAGGAACACAAAACAAUUGUUAAUUAUACCAUUAGAUGAGAAUCAGAGAGGUAUAUACGAACCUCAGACAGUCAGAAAUGGAAUGAAUAGCAGCUUUGGAUGCAGUAUAAGCACCAGCCCAUGGAAGAGGCGCCAAUACGGUGACACUUCCCAAAUUCACAAUCUUCCCCUUUCUUCGUGAUGCCAUGUGAGGAACCACGGUUUGAAUCAAUCUCAUAGUCCCUGCAAAUGCAAUUCUCCAAUUCAUAAAUACUAAUUUAACAUAAUACAAUAAUCCACUCCUUUCCAUAUUGGAGUGUUCAUGUUCAAAUUUUCCCCACCUCUAACUCUGCUUUCUACAUUUCACAUACCAAACAAACAGCUUUGUUUCUAACCAGUGGCGAAUCAGAAAUUUUAUUGACUAAGGCUUUAUAGACUAUUAAAAAUAAUUUGGAAGAAAAUAUAACUAAUAGGACUUGAACCUGAGUAUAGAGGGACUAAAUAAUUUCAUUGUUCACCAACUUCUUAAAUUGGUACUAUUUCAGUUUUCUAUAUAUAUAUAUUGUAAUAUAAAGAUCUUAAGUUGAUGGAAGAAAAUAUAACUAAUAGGACUUGAACUUGAGUAUAGAGGGACUAAAUAAUUUCAUUGUUCACUAACUUCUUAAAUUGGUACUAUUUCAGUUUUCUAUAUAUAUAUAUUGUAAUAUAAAGAUCUUAAGUUGAUGGGACUCGAGCUCCUGUACCUAUGCUAAAUCCACCCGUGUUUGCCAGGAAUACAAUUAUAUACAGUAGCAGAAGCUGACGAACACAGUAGAGCAGAAGAUAGGAUGAUAAAGUCUUCAGCGUUUAUUUCUAACCGACCACUGGAUCAAAUGUUAAUCACAAAACAAUAUCAAACUCAAAUCAAUUCGAAAUCUAAAUAAGCGGCUCAGUCAAUUCACAGUUUCUAAUCCCUAGAUUCGAUAUCAUUCAAUUCUGAAGGAAGAAAAAUGAAAUGGCGAAUCUGAAUAUUGAAAUACAAUUAAUUUCGCUGAUGGAUAAUUUGUUAGAGACCGAAGCUCACCGAAAACAUUGGUAUUGAAGGCGUUCUGCAUAGCGGAAAGUUGAACCUCGGCAAUAGGUCCAAUACAUUGAACGCCAGCGUUGUUCACCAAAAUAUCGAUUCGACCGAAUUUUUCGAUGACAAGAGACGUUAAUCGCUCGACGCUUUGGUCGGACAGGACAUCGAGUUCUUGUAAGAAAAAUCUGGGAUCGUGCUCCAGGUCCGCCAUUGAGGAGCGGGACCUGCUGGUUGCGACUACCAAACAGCCCUGGUCGGCGAAGGCUCGGGCGAGAGAGUGGCCUAUGCCUCCGUCGGAACAGCCGGAGAUGACAACUACUUCUUUUCCGGCAAAUUCCAUAUCCUUUUUAUCUUCUUGAAAAGUGAACGAACCCCGCCCUCCUCCAAAUUAAACCGAUUGAUAAAUCGGAGAUUGAAGUGUUGGGUAGCUCCAAGUACAUCAAUAAGAGCAAUUGCUCACUCGUCUGCACCUAGGCCCUGAAGACUUCCACAUGGCCGGUCUUUGUGGUGCCACUUGGCAACCCCACAUGGACGCUUUCCCUUUUUUCCCUCCUUCAUUUACGGUUAUUGUAUUUCUUGGGUGAUUUUAAAAAAAAAUUGGGAUUUUGGUUUUAAAUUUAUACAUAUAUAUAUGCUCAAUCUCUUCUCUCAUUUAUACAACACUCUUUAUUUUUAAUUAAUCAAUUAAAAAGUAAUAUUUUUAAAAAAUUGAAAUUAUUCUUACCAUGUUUUUUUAUUUAUGUUGCUAAUUCAUUUUCGUUAACUUGUGUUAAAUUGUUUAUGAAUUGUUGAUAUAAGUGGUUGAAGUUUCUACGAGUUACGUGCUGGUUUAUAGGAGUUGAAUGAGUGAGCAUAUGUGAGUUUUGAUUUGAAAGUAUCUGUUGAUAUAUAAAAUCCUAAUAAAUUUUAAACCUUUACUAAAAGUAAAAAUUAGAUUCCUUUGUUGAAGUCCAUCGAUAAUAGACUAUUUUAGUGAGGAGUAUCUAUAAGUAGUAGAUAUGGUAGAAGUCUUUUGGUAACAAAGUUUAACACUUGAUUUUAUUUAAAUUGCAAUUUUGGUUUCUUAAAUUCAAACCAUAGUUGGCAUUGGCUCACCGUUGGAAGGACGAGUAAAUGUUUAACUACAACAUUUAUUGCAUCCUUUUAUUUUAUUUUUCAGUAUCCAUUGUUUGUUUUAUUUGUAAAUUGUGAAUAAAACUAUGGCAAGAGGUAAUUGAAAUGAAACCAUAGCAAAUUUUAUAGAAUUAAAAGCCGUGGCACAAUGCAUGCAUUCAUUUAUCUAAAUAAUUCAAUUACAUGAGUACAAAAAAUAAUACAUUUUUUAAACGUAAAUGUUGAUAGAUUUUCAUUAGUGGAUAGAUUCUCAUGUCACAUCAUACUCUAUAUCGUUCAUAUCAAUAAUAUAAAUUUUUCGUUGAUAGAUUUUGUUAUAUUUUCUAUUUUUUAAAAAUAUUAUUAUACAAUUGUAUACCAUCUCUAAUAUUAUUAUGCCCUCGAUCAUAUCAAUCACUUUUAUAGAUUAAAUAAGUAUACAUCAUUAUAAUAGAAAUAAAAGUUCACUUUGUAUAAAAUUGUUUUAAAUUUCAUAAUACUAUGCAUAGUUUAUAUAUAGUUUAGAGAAUGUGUUCAUGAUACAUUCACAAAUAUUUAAUUGAAAAGAAUGUUAUUAAAAAAUAUAUAAUAUUUGACAAACACUCAAAAUUAGUCUUAAAACAACAUAAUCCAAACAUAACCUAAAUGGUUUUACUAAUUGAUAAUUUGUUUGCAUUUACUUGCUCAAGAAGGCCAUAAGUUUAGAAAUCAUCCCUAGGAACAAAAAAACGAAAAGUUAGAAAUUAUCCAAAGAACUAUUUUCCAUAUUGUUUGUUGGUUCUCAAAAAAAUAUUGAUUAGGUUAUUACAUUUUGGGACAGCAUACAUCUAAACUGACAAACUAAAUUUAGUAGUUUAUUAGUCAAUAAUUGAGUAAUAUAUCAUUAUUGACCACAACAAAUAAUGGCCUACCUCUUCAAAACAAUACUUCAAAUACAAAGUUUCCCCGACAAACAAUUACAUCGAAAAUUACAUCGAACAAAUCCAUAUUUAAUCUCCAUUUUUUUCAAGACUUUAGGAAAUGACAAUGCUAUUCCCCCCAUAAAUUGACCUAUAUAGAUAUAGAUAGAUAGUAUUUAAUUCUAAACCCUCUUAUUUCUAUCUAAACACUGGUACCAACAAGAAGAUGCUGUCUCCUUAUUUCGAGAAAAAAAAAAAGAUAUUGUCGAUAUUGUCUAAAGUCUUCCCUAAACGUGAAUUGAAGAUAAAAAGACGAAAUUUAUCACUAUAAUUGAAGGGAAAUUAAUUUAGUUUCUAUUGUUUCAUAAGUUUAGAUUUAGUCUCUUUUAAGUGCAGAAAGUCUAAGAGAAAUCCUUAUAAUUGAAUGAAGCUAUCACAAAUAAUCCUUGUUAUUGAGACUAAAUUAUAGUUUUCUUAAGUUAAAGUGACCAGUUUUACAAUUUAGAAUAGGAUUAGAAUGUUGGAUCUCAUUACACCAUGGUUGUACUAAAAAAUUACAACUUUGUUUUCAAGAUAUAGGGACAAAUUCUACAAUUGAAUGCAUAAUUACUACGAAUUAAUUAACCAGUUCUCCCAUGUUCAGAAGUAUCAGAAUCAUUUUUUGACUUGUUAACGUGUUUUAAUGAACUAGAACUAUAUUUCAACAACGCUCCAAAAUUCACACCAAAAAUGGAGACGAAGAGAGAAAGAAGAAGAUAUAACCCAUAAUUUGUACCUUCCUUAGUUUGAUUUCUAGCCAGAUCACAUCACCGAAGGAAGUUCAAAAAUUUACACAAGACGUAGAAAAAGAAAAGAAAAGAAAAAAAGCACUAAAAGCUUCGACUCUGGCAUGAAAUUUCUAUUGAGAAAGUAAAAGCCAGAGGAGGCCUGUUUUCAGGAAUUAGAGGUGGCCUGAAGCCCAAAUAGGGUACCCGGAUGGACUUUUUUACUGGAUUUUCCGGCAAUUCCGCCGGCGGCGUGAUGGGAAGUUUUUGGAGGUUUGACGGAAUCUUCUCUCCUGCCAGAUCUCUCCUGCUCCAUCCUCUGCAGUUUUUCCUCUGCUUUCUUUUUCAUUACAUAAACCCUAGCGCAGCUAGCUCCCAUGGAGGACAUGGUUUAUACAGAAGAAAAGGAAAUGAAAUGAAGAAAUUUCUACAAAUGUUUCAGUGGGCUUUUAAUUUGUUCAAUCGGUGGGUAUUGAAUGGCUUAAACCCUUGUUGUAUUUAUAGUGGAAAACGUGUUUGGUGGCCUUGGUGUUUCGUUGGCCCCUAGCGUAGGGGUCAGAUAACCAUAACCCCCAUUUUCUGUACCUUAUUUGGAUUGGACAAUUUCUUUUUAUUUCAAUCAAAUUUAAAUUAAAUUAAAUUUGCAUUUUUGUUAUUUAUACAAUUUUGCGUUUAACUUAAUCAAUGUAUUGUUCAAAAGUUGAGAUCUGCAAAUUCAUUGUUUCUUCCAUUCUAAUUUACAAAGGAUAAGUUUUGUUUUUAAUUUGAUCUGAUUUUUAGUUUAAUUUUAUAGUUUUUAUUUAAUUUUCUACAAUUUAAGCUUCUUUCAAAAUGCUAGCGUAGUUUUAAUUUGAUAUGGUUUGUUUCUUUAUUAAACUUAUAUCACUUCAUUACUUAAAUAGAUAUGUCAUGUUGCAAUCAUGUGCAUAGUUUGUGAAGUAAAAGUCAUGUGAACUUGGUUAAAUUUGUUAUGAACUCAACUUAAAAUUAAACUUUUUUAUUUAUUUGUUUUGACUCCAAUAAUACACUUGCAUAGUUGAGAUGUGUUUAGAUGUGUUUUACUGUUCAACUGUAGUUAGAAGUUUGUAUCUAAAUUUAUACUACAAGACAAAAGAUUAAUAAAGCAAUUGAGAACACAAAUGGAUAAGCAGUUGACUUAAUACAACUCUAAUUAACCAUUACAAGAUCUAAAUUCUCCUAAUUUAAAUGAUACAAGCAUAACAUUGUAUAAAUUUAAAUCUACAACUAAUUUGAAUCUUUCCAUUUACAUUAUGAAAAACACACUAUAUAAAAACUACAAUCUUUCCAUUUACAUUAUGAAAAACACACUAUAUAAAAACUACAACAGUAUAAUUAAUGUUUGAAUUCAUAAACGAAUCGGUUUAUAAUUUUAAUUAGAGUUUCCUUUUAGAAUCGUCAAUAUCUACUUUAAUCAUCUUCAAACUAAUGGAUCGAUGAUUUUCAAAUGUAAUCAUACAUAGAUCAAUUAUCUUUUUAAAAAAAUCUACAAAGUUUGAUACAGUAAUAAAAAAGUUAAUUAUUAGUUUAUGAUUUCACUAAAUUCAAUGUUCAAUUUUGUUUAGUAUGAUACUUGAUAAAAGAUUAUUGUCUUUAUGGAAAAAGAUCACAUGAAUUAUGAUUAAUUAAAUGAAGCUGAAUUUCAAAUUAACCAAUUAAUUAAUCACAACAAUACAAAUGAAUUUACACUAAAUUUUAAAGAGGUAUUUAAAAAUGGGAAGAAAAAAGAGAGAGAGAGAGAGAAAAGAAUUGAGUAAUAGACGCUCAAUAAUGGAAUAUUUAAUUGGAAUCACCAAGAUGGAGAAAACGGUUGAAAGACAACUAACACCGUUUACCGGGAUGGUUUUUAAAAACACAAAGUACACAGAAACGAAUAAAACGGUGGGAAACCCCAAGCUCUGAGGAAAAUAAAAAAAGAAACAAUGGCUUGUAUUAGAUGCGGCACUCACACCACUCCAACUGUGAGGUCGCCCCACGUCAGCUAAAGAUAUUAUAGAUGGAGGCGGCCAAAGGUUCUGCUUACGUGUCUGUUGAUUAUUCGCCCGAAAUUUCCAACAUAACAAAAAAGUGCUCUUCUUUUUUCUUAAUAUAUAUUUUUUUAAAAUUAUGGAAAUUAAAUGUUGGAGAGAUAAGAGUUUGAUUGAGGUCACAAUCUGAGUCGUGGACCGUGAAGGCACCUUUUUUCUUUCUUUUUCUCUCUUUCUUUAUUUACUUUGAAUUAUUUCAUUUGUCAUUAUUACCUUGCACUUACAAAAGUACCUAAGUCUAUUUCUUCAUUAUGCACCCACUCAAAUGCGUUGUGCCGACGGGCUAAUUAACAUCACCAUUCUAGAUAUAUCAUCAAAGAUUUUCUUUAUUAUUCAAAUUCAACAUUAUCCAAGUACUGAACUUUUUCCCCCAUUUGACGUUAGAUACUGUGGGUACAAUUUGAUGUUAAAUCCCACUAUAAUAUUUCAAUUCACCAUUUGUUCAAGUGCUGAUUUUUAUAGGAGUUAGAAGGUUAUAUGGUUGAGUUAUGAAUGGAAGGAGGAGAAAGAUUAUAAUAUGAUAAUGAUUCACAAUUAUAAAGGGGAAAGUCAAAUUAAAGUAAAGAUUGAAUGGUAAUGACGAAAAUAAUAUAAUUUAAUAAUUGAAAAAAAGAAUUAAUUUAAGAAUGAAAAGGAAUUGGCAUUAUGUGAAGAUACUGAAUGAAAUGGAAGGGAUGGAUGAUGAAGGGUACGGUGGUUACGGAGUACGGAAAUUCCAUUAAGGUGAGAAGAAUCGGAGAUUGAGAUUAGGUUGUCUGCCUUUUUCUACUGUUUCGUAUCGUUUUUUGCUUUGAUGUUUGUCCUCACUUUUUAAUUCCUUUUUCUUUUUUAAUUCUUUUUUGGAAGAAAAUUCCUAAAGGUUAGGUUUAAAAAAGGUUAUCUCUUACGUCCCACUAAAACCGUCUUCGGCCGAAAGGCCCAUUGGUUUUUGUCUUUCUCGCUUGGGCCGCACCCAUUUUUCCACUUCUGACACCAAACUCUCUAAACAAAUACAGAACAAUUUUGGUGAUAAAAGUGUUUAACAUAAAUAUAAUAUGUUCGACAAAUUUUGUUAUAUUUUUAUUUUUAAAAAUGUUUUUAUAUAUGUUAAUGCUUUAACAAAAUUUGUAAAAUAAUAAUAAAAAUAUUUUCUCGAGAAAAUAAUAAAUAACAUUUUUUUAAAAGAUAAAUCAACAAAAACAAUAAGAGUAAUUUAGAUGCAUUGAAAGUGCACAAACAAUUUUGUGUAUGUCAUUAACUAAUUACUUCCUUUUGGUAGAAGAAGGACAUUUCUGUAUGUAGUUUUGGAUGCUUGGUACGCACAGGCAUACAUUUCGUUCUUCAACUCCAAAUGAUUUCGUAUAUGAAUCGUGUCUUUUAAACUAAGAGUAUAUGUGUUGUUUAUCUAAAUAGUUGAAGGUUGCUAAUGACAUUCUUCUUCCCUUCCUCAAGCAUGUAUCCUACUAAUUAAGACUUGCCAUACAUAUGUUCAUGCCUUUACAUUAGUAAAGGUCUAGGUUCCUUUCCCUGGUGAAAGACUUGAGGAAUUUUUUUUGAAAUGAUUGAUUCUCAGGUAAAGUGACAUCUAUUUUAUCUAUGUAUAUUAUCGAUUUGAAAAAUUACAAUGAUGGCCUUUCAACAAUACAAGUUAAAAUUACACACCUAAAACUUUAAACUUAAUUCAUCAUCCUCUCAAACUUACAAAGGUUAGUUGUUCGUGAUAACUAUUAAAAACAAAAAUGGGCCAUGCGUGUGUUAAUAAAAUGUUAGGCAUGAUAGUUGAUUUCAUAACAACAUAUAGUUAGUAAUGAAUGAACAAUGAAAAAAAUUGUUGUGUGUGACAGAAAACAAUUGUGAUUUUCGUAGUCUUAUUUCUUCAAUACUUUAUCAAGAAAAUGCCAAGACACGCGUGGUAACAGUUGCCAUUAAUUACCAACAUAAUAUCAAAUUGAAUUCCACCAAAGUUGUUCAAAAGUCAAAAAUUCCACAUUUUGAUUAAAUCCAUUGUUUCCGUACCCAUUUCUAAUAAUUUCGAAAGUUUAAUACGAAAGAAAUAAAUUAAUAUCAUAUUCUAUUAUCUUUUUCAAAUCUUCAAACAUUGACAUCAACAAUUUAAACCGUUCAUCCGAUUAGACAAAAAGAAGGAAUAUAAAGUGAAAUUUUGCGAUGGAGAGAUUUUGUUCGUUUGGGCGGGAGGGUUUGGAGUUAUUAUUGAUGGAAAGGGUAAUUUGAGUAAAAUUGUAAAGUUGUGGCGGGACGGAAAGAGAUGGGCUGACGUGUUGGUUGUGGACUUCGGAAUGGGUCCAAUGGAUCCAGUCUCCUUCAACUUUGUCGGCCCACAAUACUCUUAACAAUAAUAAUAAUAAUAAUAAUUUAUAUUAUUUGAUUAGAGCAGCCGUACGUCCACAGUAAAAUUAGGGUUGUUUUGUUGCUGUUUAUUAAUUCCAUCCAAUUUUACGUCUCUUUCUAAAACUUCAAUUAACACUCACUAAUUAUGUCAAUUUUAUAAUUGAUUUACUAAAACAUGAGAGAUUUCAAUGUUGAAUCAAUUAAGACUAAUUGUACUGAGAUUUGAAAGGUGACAUUAAUUAUCUAUCUGUUCUUUCCAUCUUGUAAAUGGUAAAUAUGAAAAUAAAGAAUUUAGUGGAAACAAACUUCUAUUUCACACACAUAUAUAUUUGGUAACAAAUUAAAAAAUCGAAUUAUAAUAUAAACAAGAUGUAUCGUAAAAAAUAACAAAGCGACCAAAUUGUACAAAAUCAAGUGUAGUAAGUUUUUGUCGUUUCCUUGUGCUAUGGAUUGUGAAUAGUUUAUUUAUUUUGUAAUCAUUUAAAUAAUGGUGUUUAGAUGCAUUUAUACUAUAUUUAUAAAUAAAUAAAUAAGUUAUAAUUGUGAGAAUUGUCAAAAAUAGCAAAUUUGACAAAAUAUUUACAACAUAUAACAAAAUUUCAAAUUCUACUAAUAAUAAACAUUAAUAGACACUGAUAUGAUUCUAUUAGUGAUAUUGAUAAACAAUUAUAUAAAUUUUUAUCUUGGAUAUAAUCCAAAAUUUUGCUAUAUCUUAUUAAUAUUUUGAUAUUUAAAAAAGUGACUGUCAUAGUUACUCAAUAAAUAUUGAUAUUUAUAAAUAAUAAUGUAUUAUUAAUUUAUUUACCAGCCACGUUAAGUAAUUUUUGUAAUAUCAUAUAAUUUAUAAUACAUGGUAUUUAUAUUUUAAUUGAAAAGAAUAUAUAUUGAGUUUAUAAAGUUCAAAAUUUAAAAUCAUGAUAGAACAAAAUUAUUAUUUGUAGAAACAAAUAUCAACAAAAUGUCAAUAAUUUAAAGAUUAAUGGGGGGUGGUGGUGGUGGUCUGGUUUUGGUAUAUUGUUUAGAAAAAGCCAUUUAUGGGGAAAAUUAAUUGUUAGAAAACAUGGGCUUAUUAGGAAAUAUUUCAACUCUCUUUCUUCCUUCUCAUUUCCCUUAUAUGUAGAGAUGCUUUUUUAUUACACCAACUUUGUGUAUUUGGAUAUAUUUGUUAAUGUAUUAAUUAUUCCAAUCAUUAACAGACAAGUUAAUAGAUAUAUAAAACCAUUCUUGUAUAUAAUAAAAAUGGCUAUAGAGUUUGAAGCAGCCUGAAAAACAUCUCAAGUUUGUAGAAAUUAAAAAAAAGAAAGAAGAAUAAAAACGAUAUUCAUAAUUUCAUAUUAAGAAAAGAUAAUUAAGUAUGGAUGGUCUAUGAGUUGGCCAAUCCAACAAGAGAUAAAUAAAUAAACAAAGGAGAGGCAAAGGGAUUGAUUUUCUUGGAAAUUGGGUAAGUUCAAAACCAACUCAUUCUUUUCCCCAAUCAAUUAUUAUUUAACGUCCCAAUUUCCAAGUUGAUCCAAACUCAAAACACAAAACCAUUAUCAUAUUUAUUAUUUUUGUUCUAAAGUUUAGAGUGUGUGUGUGUGUGACAGUAUAUGAACUGUAUAUUCAUAUCUUCAAAUUUGUAUUCAUAUAUGUUUUAUUUGUGCAGUUUUUUGCUUUCUUUAAUUUGUCAAUUUCACGACACCUUUAGGUUAAGAAAUCAAUGCGUCACACAAACCAAACUAAAAGAAAAGAAAAGAAAAAACUUAUCUUUGAAACAGUCAAAAUAGAAGAUUGAAAUUAUAACAAUAUAGUUUGAUUUAAUUGUCCACUUGAAUGAGAUUAAUUAAGACAUCAUAUUGCAUCCUCAUCUACGUCAACCAAUUAAAGCCCACGUCUUAAAUCGACUAAGAACAUUAAUGAAUUUAAACCAUGAUUAUUGUUUGGAAGAAAACUUCUUAGAAAUUUUUGUAUUGAUAUCUUUUGGAAAGUUAAACACAUAUUGGAAUCUUGUUUUAAUUAUUGUAUAGGAUGAUGUUCAACUUAGGUAUGAACUUUAUCUAAUGUAGUUUAAAGAAUAUGAAAUCCAUAUUUUAAUCAAAUGUGUGUGUGAUCUUAUCCAUAUUUAUAUAAAUAAAAUAAAUGGUCAACUAUAUUGAUCAUUUUUUUUUAAAUUACACAAAUUAAUAAAUAGUUGCAAACAUUGAAACACAUAUCGAAACGUUUUGUAAAUUUAAGAUAUUCUUUAGUAUAAAUCAUACCAUAUAAUGAGAUCGACGUUAUUUAUAAUUUCUUUCAGAUAUAUAUCUAAGAUUACUGUUACAUGUACUUCCAAAAGGAAAAAAAUAAACAACCGUAUUAAUAUUUUGAUAAACUAUUAUAUUGUCUUAACUAGUAGAAAACCAAAAAAAUUUAAUGAGUAUGUAAAAGUAAGAGGUCUAUUGAUCGUAGCAUAUAUGGUUUAUCGUUAAGUUUUAAUUACAAAGUUUGAUAUAAUUUCUUAUAUUAGUUUUUCUACCAAAAAAGAUAGAGAAUUGAUGAACUCAAAGGCUUUGCAGAGUAAUUGGAACGAAAUUAGAGGUUGGAAUUUAAGUAUGACAUCAAAAUGAAUACAUUAAAACCCAUUUUGAGCUUAUAAUCAAUUAAUCUAUGUUCAUAUAUAUAUAUAUACAGAGAGAGAGAGAGAGAGAGAGGAGAGGAGAGAAAGAGUAUGAUAUUUUGGUAUAUAUGAAAGUAACACAUAAUCAAUAAUUGAAUGUAAAAUAAAAUAAUAAAAGUAUGAUUAGGGAAAGAAAAUAAUAAUAUAAACGUUGGGUGGGGGUGGGGUAUCCUAAAACGGGGUUUGAGGAAUUCCACGUGUACCGAAGUGAGGUUGGUUGUAUAGAAAUUCUAUAAAUCCCGGAGUUUGAACAUUUUUGUAACUAAAGAAAAGGAAAAGGAAAAUGAAAGAAUUGAAAGGAAAAGAGAGAAUAUAGUGUAGGAUGAAAUUUUCACAAAGCUUAUAAAAUUAAAAAGAAUUGAAUUAUUGGGUAUCUAUCUCUGCCUCCUCCUUCUCCUUCUCCUUCCCCUUCCCCUUCCCCUUCCCCCCAUCUCUAUCCGGACGAAGCUAUGGGAGCUCUCUCCGAGUUCUUCUCCCACCUCCACACAAUGACCGCAGUCUUCUUCACCCUCUUACUUCUCGAAUUCGUUAUUCUCAUUCGUACCAUCUUCGGCUUAAGACCUAACUCCGACAAGCGCGUAAUCACGACCGCUCAGUUUUUCAAACUCAUCGAAGACAAGAAUCCCACCAUCCGUUUCUCAAAUAAGGUCACCCCAAGUAUCGCCGAUCAGUGUGCCGUUUGCCUCUCUGAAUUCGAGGAAGGAGAGAAGGUACGGAAAUUGCAAUGCAACCACACUUUUCACAAGGAUUGUCUCGAUAAUUGGUUGAAACUCUGUUUCGCUACCUGUCCGCUUUGCCGGAGUAAGGUUUUGCCGGACGAUAUCGUCGCCGGCUACCAUAGGCUUCGAGACCGUGUAGAGUACGACGGCAGUGACGAGGAGCUCAUCUUUUUGUUAUCGGCAUUACAUGGUAACAGUAUAUAUAGAUUUUUCUAGGGCGAAACACCAAUUUUAUUUUGUUUUUAAUCACAGAAUAGAAUUAAACAACAUAGAAUGUUGAUUUUCUGUAGAUUAACUAGGGAAAUAUUGUUUUUCUCCCCUUCAUUGACGAGCAAUAACGUUAAGGGAACAGCUCGUUUCUGGUUCGAUCGAUCUCUCUAGCUAGAUCGAGAUAAAUCUAAAUCGUGUAUGUUUCUCUUUACUUGCAAUUACGCAACCCAACUGUUAGAUGUGUUGUUUGCAUGAUUGCUUCCUACUCUUCUUGGUCAUUCGUCAACGAAUCAUUAAUUUUGGAGACACCCAAUUUACAUCUUGACGGAGACCCUUUUUUUUUUUUUAACCCAAUAACGCACUGAAAUCCUCACUAAAAUCAUCCAAAUCACAACAACUUUUUUCCAUCAGGUUAAACUAAUCCAAAUGAUCUAUUGAGAUCUUUAAGAUAUUGGAUGAUCGUCUAUUAGUCUCUCUUGAUGUGGGCUUGUUGUCUCCGUAGGACCAGGAGUUAUGGUGCGAACUUAAUUCUAUAAUUUUAGUGGAUGCGAGUUGGUGAUCUAAUUUAUGGUUCUCUUACAAUGUAAAUAGAACAUGGUAUGUGAUGGCAUUUAUUAAGAACAUUGAGUGAAAGGAGAAGCAUUCAAAAUUUGAUGGAUUCUCCCUUGAUAUUUUCAUGGGGAUUUAGGUGGAGAUGGUAGGAGAAGGACUUAAUGCUCUGUAUCUAAAUGCACAACAAACUGAUUGAGCUCAUUUUCUCUAUAGUUAAACCCCGAUGGCGAAAGUGAAAACUAAUGGAUUGUGUUUAGCUCACCAGCACAUUUAUCGAAGAAUAGGUUUGCACGUUAAUCGAAAAACUUCAUUUUACACCACUACAACCUAAAGACAAACUUACUAAACACAACAUAUUAACUCUAUACUUAAACAAACUUGAAAUGUUUCUCAUUGGGAUGAUCUGAAACUAAAGCCACAAGCCCCCCUCCCUUUUUUUUUAAUGUUUGGAUCUCGUUACUUCCUCGAAGCUUUUGAAACAGUUUGGAGUUUGUUUUCUUCCACUUUUGAACACCCACCAAAAGAUGAGGGCAACUGAGGACACGGUCUUUAAAGAACAGUGAUUAGGUGAGAUGAGUUGCAUUAUUGAAGUCAGUGUGUUUAACUUUUUAGCAUUACCAGAAUCAGGGGAUGGGUGAAAGAGGAGAAGAAGCAAAGCAAAAACAGGUUUUAGAUGAUGAAGCCAAAUACCUAUUUACUGUUGGUGAGAAUAAGUUUGUCCUAAAUGGGGUUGUGGGAGCUACAGUAGUUCGCAUGAUGUACUGAAUUGUUCUGUAUGUCGGACAAUAGCAAUAAGUUGAAAUGUUAAACAGGCAAAAUCUCGUGGUGGAGCAGCGGAGGGUAAUUCAUAAGAUUUGACAUUUAAUGUCAGAUUCAAAAAAGUGGAUGAACAACUUCAAUAGUAAAGUAAUAGUACCACAAACCAGAAGUAACGCAUAUGGGGGAGAUGAAUCCUUAUCUAUUUUGGAAAUGGGGUUUGUUGUUGGUUUGAUUCAUUCCUUUUUCAAUUUUUCAGGGUUGAAUUUUAUUUGGUGCAUAUCCGUUUCCCUUUUUAACCAUGGAAUAUAUUGCUGAAAAUAAAAAAUAUGACUCUGUUUAGGUCAUGAGUUGGUAAGAAAUUAAGAUGCAACAGAUUCGUUUGGGUAAGAGUAAUAUUUGAUUGAAGAUGUGCGCCCAUUUCUAUGUAUCUCUUUCAAUUACAAAACAAAGAAUGAUUCAAACAAAAUUAAAACAACAUGGGGUAUCCUAAGCAACACAUAUAUAUUCAUCUAAGUGUCCAAUCAUGGAAUAUGCUACGUAUUGUUGUUAUUCCUUUCUUCAAUCGUGGAAUACAUCGUGAAAAUGUUAAAGUGAGCCCUGUCUGUUUAGGUCAUCGGUCAUGAGUUUGGUUAGUAAAGUGCAAUUGAUCUCGUUGAAAAAGAGUAAUGUUAGGGUCAAGUGUUGCAUCUAGUUGUGUAGUUCCUUCAAUUGAUCCAUCAAAAGUUGUCAUGUAAUAAAGUUUCUUUAUUUUUGCUUAAAAAAUUAUUUUAAGCCUCUUUUUGUUUGUGAUGGAAGAAAACAAGUAUAUGUAUACAUACAUUUAUACACGAUAAACUUGUAAUUAAACAUUUGAAAUGCGUCUCACCUGGUGAGUUGAGUUUGAAUUGUGAAGAAAGAAAUAAUUUAAUGAAUUGAUUGAAAGCUACAUUAUAUAUAGGUUGGUUUAUUGAAGUCAUUAAAUAUACAUUAUACAAAGAAGUAAUCUUUUAAAAACACAUGGCCACCACCAACUCCUAUCUGUAAGUUUGGUUCAGGGCUCAAAAUUAGAGACAUUCAGGAUGAUCAACAUCAUCUCUCUCAAUAAAUACAAAUGAUUAUAAGUCGAUUAAAUCUUUCUUUCUACAAUAAGAUAGUUAAAUAAAUGAAUUAAAACUAAUCAUUAUUUUUGCACAUCAAAUCAACCACUAUCACAUUAAAUAAUCAAUAAAUUUGAAGGAAAAAAAAGUCUUAAUCAAUAAAUUUGAAGGAAAAAAAAGUCUUAAUCAAUAAAUUUGAAGGAAAAACAAAGUCUUCGUCAACUUUUAUAAUUGUAAUUUGUGUGGGAGUAUGUAUUUAUAAUAUUUGUCUAAAUAAAAUAACUAUUAAAUUAGCAAGGGUGUUUGAGAUUUAUAGUUGCGUAUUGAUUUUAGAAAAACAAAUUUAAGUACAAUUUUUCUUUUAUAAAAUUGAUAUGAAACUUGUAAACAAAAUUUUUAUAUAUUUAGAAAUGAUUUUGAAUCAUUAUUGUUUAGAUUUUGAAUCAUUAUUGUUAUUAUAUUUUUUGAUUUGAGAAAUAGUUAUGUUAGUAUAUAAUUGUUUGUUUUAUAAAUAAUUUAAUGAUGUACAUUCUUUUAUUCCAAUAUUUUAUAAAAAGAAAACUGAAUUAGACAUCCAUUUUGGGAGUGGUUGAUUGAAAAUCACCCAACAAAAAUUACCAAUAACCUAAUUCGUUUUUUAAACGAUUUUAUAUUUAUUUUAGUUCAUGUCAAACAAGAAAAAGUGAUUUUGGACAAACACAAAAAAGUAUAUAUCUAAAUAUGGUGAUAUGGAUAGUUAUUAUGGCAACCAUGGAUAGAACUUGGAAUCAACUACAACUACAACUUUGGAAACAAAACCAAACCAAAACAAAAUUCAUAAUUCAUUAGAUGAACUUCUUAGUAAAUUAUUUUUAUAUACAUCCGUAUAUAUCCCCAUUAGAUGAUCAAAUUUACACUUUAUAUGAGAUUUAAUGUAGAAAUAGACUUUGGAUGUUCAAAACCUAACUUUUAACAGCUUGGACUUGAAAACAAUGAAUUUGAAAAGUACUUUAAAAAGUAACUUUUCCUUCUUACAAAAAAACCAAACCUAAAUUGACGAAAUUUUGAAUAAAUUAAACCAAAAUGGCCUCUCAGAUAAGACACAAAUGUGUCACCAUAACAACCUUUACCAUCAUUUGAUUUACACUCUUAAUUUCACUUUCACUUUCUUUGAAUGCCACCAAAAUUUCAUAACUAUAUAUCAAUUACAUAAAGAGAUAUCACGACCAUAAUUAUAAUUACGAGUUGAAAAGCUCACAAGGUAAUUUAUUUAAAAUUUUGUCUACGAUUUAAUAUCAAAUAUAAAUAUCAAAUUAUUAUUGAUACCAUCUUAGAUGGUGGAUUGAUCCCAAAUCAUAACUAUGAACAACUAAAUUCAUUGAUUUUUCAAUAUGGGAUCUGAACAGCCUCAUCCAUCCACCAUAUCACAUAUUUAAAAGCACCAACUAAGUGGCCAACUCUCGAUGAUUUCUUGAAAACCAAAUCAUCCAUCUUUUCCCAACAUUCAUAUGGUUAAUUCAAACCCUAUAAUAAUCAUCAAAUCAUAAUACAAUCCCACCCUUCUUCUCUCGAAUUCAAAAGCAUUUCAAAACUAAUAGAAUCCAAAAAAGGAAAAAAGAAAAAAAAAAUGUACAGAUUUGAGAGAGAGAGAGAGAGAGACGAGAAACAUUUACAAUAUAUAUAUAUAUAUAUAAACCCAAUAGAGGAACUCAAGCUGAGAAGAACCCAGUGGAAGCAGCUCGACCAAUUUGAGAUUUGGGUUCAAAAACCCAAUUGAAUUCCGACAUCUCAGCAGAGUAAUUAUGCUUUUUUGCCAUUUCCAUCAUCUUCUUCAUCCUAAUUGAAGUAGCAGUUGCAGAUAUGGAAACCCCAGAAGAACCCAACUCUUGAAGCUCUUGCCUGAUCAUCUCUUGACCUCGCCUUGGAUUCUUCGUCCUCCUCUCGUAUUCCUCUGCUACAAGAAUUGCAAUAUCCGCCAUGGCUGUGAUUUUUCAACUCUCCCUCUUAGUUGAUUUUGAGGAGACCCCUUUAGGAGGAUGACAUAAUUUAUAUUCAGAUUGAGGUAUGAUUGUGGAUAAGGCUGACAAGUCGGUGUAGUGUAUAAAAGAAAUAAAAAAAAGUGACCUUUGAUGACUUAGUCUGGUUUUUUGGGCAUUUUGGUUUUACUUUUUCUAUGGGUGGACCCUUUGUGGAGAAAUUUGAUUGUAUUAUAUUGUAUAUCUAUAAAAUAUACACAUGUAUAUUGUAUUUCAUUGAAGGGUCUUCUUUGAUUGUGCCAAUACCCAAAUAAAGGGGUUUCUUGGCAACAAAGUUGGGAUAGUUGUGUGAAUUAUAAUAGAAUAUAUCAGUAUUUCAAAAUUCUAAUGGAACACGUAUUCUUAAUAAACUUAUAAAGAAUUUACAGAUUGUUAAAUGAUACAAGAAUUGUUAAUUGAGAACAAUGAGAUUAUGUAUAUUGUGAUAGAUAGGAUAGAAAACCUAUCCAUUAUAAUGGAUGUCUUGUGGUGUUUUCAAUGAAGUUGGUGGUGGAAAUUUUGUAGGCAAUAUUCUAGUGGGUUUGGUGGGGGGGAGGAAUGGUAAAAGGCAAUACCAAUAGUUCAGGACUUGUAAAUGAUAAAGAAAAAAAAAAAGAAACCAACUCCACAAUGUUAAUUAUCUCAAACUCUUUCUUAAUAAAUGUCUGUCCUAUUCAACCUUCUCCUUCAAACAAUGAAGAGAGGGUAACUCUUCUUUGCUUUUCAAUAAUAAUAAUAAAAAAAACAUAUCUUUCUUUUGAAGCAAACUAGCAAAAUUGUUGAAAAAAAUAUUGAUAAAUAUAGUCAAAUUUUAUAUAUUUCUUAGUGUAAAAAAUAUGGAAACGGAAAAGCAAAAGGAAAGUGGUUUUUGAGAAUCGGAAAACAGCGAAACUGAGCAAAUGGUUUUGAUCUCAAAAACCAAAACCAUCACCGACAAACGCAUAACACAUCAGAUUCAUGUAACUAAUACGUGUCUAAUUACUAUUUGUUCUUCAAAUUAAUUAUAUAUUUCGUAGUACACAAUACGUGGCAUCAUAUUACUGGUUGUGGGCGGUGACAAGUCCACAGUCCACGCAUUUUCUUUUGUUUACUCUUUUAAAUCAUUCAUGCAUCUUAUUAAUUAGCUUCUAAAUAAUUCAUAAUUUAACCAUAGUAAUCAUAAUAAUGUCAUAAAUUAUACACACAUUUCAAUAAAUUUUAUUAAUGUAAUCAAUUUCAGUGUUUGGCAAAUAAAUUUCACUCUUCCAAUAUAUACCUAUUAAUAAUGAAUUUGAUUGGAGUUUUUCUAGUGCAUUAUUCUAUCCUUGUGAUAUUUAGAAGCACAUAUUUUAUAAUUAGGUUAUUCUUAAUGGAAAGUAAACUAAUGUAGUCAUAGUUAGUACUUAGUAAUUAGGCUGCAACUUACCCACUUGUUUAUAAAUCGAUGGUAAUUUUAGUUAGUGUAUUUCAUUUUAUUACACUUUUUUUUAAUCUAUAUUUCGUAAUCCUAUGAAAAUAAUGAGUUCACCUUGAAUUGAAAAAUUGAGAGUACUCAAUUGGACUGCAUUUGAGAUUUAUGUGAAACUCACUUUCGUUAUUGUUACUAUCACGAUAUUAAUUAGAAUUAUGAUAAAUGUUAUAUUCUUAGUUAUUGUUAUUCGGUAACAAUAACUAGUGAUAAAUUAUGUAUAGCAAGAUUGUAACUAUAGAUGCGAUAACUCGUAAUUGAAACUCAUUUCAAUUGAUUCAUUAAUAAAAUUUCAUUUUUAAAAAAUAAUAAAACUUUUUUUAUUAUGGUUUGGUAAACAUAACUCUAAUGUUAUAACAACUUUCUUUACAUCUCGAUUACAAUAACCAAUUUAGGCGAACAUAUUCCAGUCAAAACUUGAUCUUUUUAUAAUAAAAAUCCUAAGGAAAGUCCACUUUUAAAAUGCUAAGAUGUGCUUAAUAUUUACAAAAGUGUCGUUUUAAAAGAAUUGAAUUAUCUAUCGACUCAUCAGCAAGAAUCUCAUACUUAUCACCAUCCAGUUCUUGACAAAUGGGAGAUAAGAAUGAGAAAUAUAUAUAUAUAUAUAUAUAUAUAUAUACCUGCAGGCCAAGGGAGGUUUAGUUAUUUUUAAAAAGAAUGAUAAAAAUGUGCCUAAGAAAGAGGAAGACGGAAGUGAUAGUAGAAAACUCACAAAUAUAAUAUACUUUAUACUCAGUAAGAGAAACGUUAAAAGCAUAUUAAUUUGGAGACAUUUGUCAGUUUUGAUUGUAGGUAUUCAAAUUCGUUCCCAUUCCCUUUCCUCAAACGGAUAAGACGAAAGAAAGUAAGAAAGAUCACGAGCUUCAUCAAGCUAGCCAUUCUAAGAAUACAGAAGAAAAGGCUGAGGGUGUCACACAUCUGAGAGCAUAUGUAUAGGACUUUCUUGGUCCAAAGUAACUUGUAGUAAGUGCAACUGAGCAGCAAAAGCAUAUGGUGAGUUCAAGCUUCAACAGGUGCUCUUCUGGGCAAAGUGAAAAACUGACACAUUUCAUCUCAUAAAAGGCCAAGAGUUUUGAGCUGUUGAACGUGCUCUGCAGGAAGUGGUGGAGGCAACCAGUCAGAUCCUGUCAUCUCCCCAUCUACAUCUUCCACAACAUAUUCCUGUGAGAAAUCAAAACAUCCCAAAAAUAUAGUAAUCAAUCAAAAACCUAACCAACCAACAUAUUAUUCACAAGUGAAACUUUCUAGUCGUAAUUAGUCCAUUCUUGCCAAUUCAAGAAUAGCACAAAUUGCACAAUUACCAUCCGAAAAUUGCUGGUUGAUCCUCCAACCUCCUACAAAAAUGGUCGAUUCACAAUCAAUCCAUCCAUGGGAAUAUGUCAUUUGGUUUUAGUGUCCCCCACUCCUGUUAUCUUUCUCAUCCCAAAGACCAAUAAGACAGCCCUCGUGAAUGGAUGUGCUCGGCCAGCUGGGCAUCCACCUUCAUCCAUGAUGUUUGGCUUUUAUUUUCAUUUUCUAACGGGGUGUGUUUGGACGACUAGUAAUUUUGCUCUCUUUUAAAUCAUGGGAUUUACUGAAAUUUUUUAAGAGUACUUCUAAUCUAAAACACUUUUCUUUAAUCACACGCAGUUUGAAAAUUUGUAAAAGUAGAUAAAAGGCACUUAAAAAAGUACUUUUAGAUGAAACAUUUCAUUAGUUUUGCUUACAAAAUAAAUGCUUCACUUAAGAACACAUUUUUCAAAAUGAAAUCUCAGACUCGCCCAAAUUUAGUUGGUUCUGUUUAUUUCAAUAGCCAGUCUAGUGUACAGAAAAAGAAACCAUAUUCAAGUAUUUACACUCCUAGCUCAGAGUUUGAAAGUUAUGCACAAAUAAAUCUCAAAAGAGAUCAAUCAACUCACCUUUGUUAGCAUUCUUUUCGCAAGUAUGUGAUAGUGUCGUUGCCAUAUUCGUUGGCCAACCAUGGUAGCCACCAAGACACUAUAGAAUAUACCAAUCACUGUGAACAAACCAAGAACAAUCAAGGCCAUUAUAAGUAAUAAUGGCAGUCCUGCUUCACCAGCACCUCCUAGGCAUCCACAUUCAGUUGCAAUGCUUCCACAACUUUCGAAGCAAGUGGUACAGUCGGUCCACAUACAAAGAGUACCAGGUAAAUGACAGUCUGCACAUAGUCUGGAAAGAUGCAAGAAACACAUAAAAAUAUGAUGCUGGUGAAUAAACUAAAAAUACUAUUGUUUGGAAAAUAUUUCCAGCAUUUAUAUAUUAUAAUUUGAUGAAGAUAGAUAUAACGAGCUUUGAUAAGGAUUUUAGUCAUCAAUCUAAAAUAGCUUGAACGAAUUCUUAGCUUGGCUAAAUAUUGAAUAUUCUAUAUUUCCAGCAACAUUCUUUCACUACAAUGGGACGGGAAGCAGAAUAGAGAAAGAUCAGUCGUGUUAGAGAAUCAUCACUGCAUGGCAGCAGUUAUGCCAAAGAAUGAGCCUACGCUCCUCAACAAGCAUUGUUAAAAUUUGAAAACAAUAAAAUUUUAACAUAAUUAAAAAAGAAACUGCAAAAUAUGGAUUUAUACCCAGGGUGGCAACAACAUAGACACAAUUCUCUACAUGGUUGAGCCAAAUCACUCCUAACUCUUCGAUCAUAACAAGUGAUGAAGCAGCCAGAUACGCCGAGCAAUGCAAAAAAUAAUAAAGCCCCUGCAUAGGAAAUAACGCAAACUAGUAAAAACAGAAUUGAAAGAACUGAAAUAUGUCUUUCGAUUUUGUAGAACAGAAUAGCAUCUAACAUAAAGAAAUAAAAUAAAUUAAAAUUGUCUCUCUACUUUGAGGUUUGUUCAACUUUAAUCCACAUACUUUCAAAUAUUCAAUUUUUGCCCAUGUACAAAGCUUAAUAUUUUUCUAAAAAAAUCAAAAUUGGCUAAAUAAUAACAAUAACUUUCACGUAAAGAAAUAUGAUAUGUGAAUAUAUUUUCAAAAUUUAUAGUGAAAAUGCUAAGAAAUAUCAAAAAAUUAUUUUAAAAAAACAUUAAUAAGCAUGCAGGAGGGACUAAAUUAUAGAUUACUUGAAAAAGUUGAGACAAAAAUUGAUCAUUUAAAAGUACAAGGACUAAAAUUGAACCAAAUUUAAAUUAUAGGGACCAAAUUGAUAUUGCAUAUUUCAAGUUGACUCAAUAUAAUACUCAUACAGUGAAGGACCAUAAUCCAUUAACUACUUCCUCCUUAUGAGGUUCAACAACAAUAUGAAUAAAAUAUUGCGAUAAUGUAAUAAGCACAUUUUUUUCAGCUGUUGUUCUUUGCCCUCAAACUUUCAUUAGUUUUCAUUAAUUUCUAUGAAGCACAAAAGAUUUCCCAUCUCUCUACACACUUUAUCUCACAGGCUUUUUUUCCAUACAUAAUCUCACCCUGGUCUCUCUAGUCUCUACACUCCUCUACUACACAGUUCCUCUCAUCAUCAACUUCUUUCUAAAAAGUAAAAACAACCUCUCAACAAUUCUUCUCACUAUCACAACUUUUACAAUUUUAGAUACACCCCGACUAGUAGCUUACCAAUUCUUAAUAUACUUUUAAUUAAAACUUAAAAGACACUCCUUUCUAACUAAAGCACACCGCAAAAGUACUUAAAAAGUUAGAAUUAAAUAAGCAAACGAUAUAUUAUUACUUAUCAUCAAAGUUCUUAUGUUAAAAGUUCUUUGGAUGUGAACCCAUAAAAGUCAGAAGCGCUCUAAGCAGACCAGCAAACAAGGUCACUAAGACAAACUGCUUGAAGCUAUGGGCCAAACAAGAUUAUGCCCUAAUGCUAUAACAUAAAUUGUGCAUGCAAAGCUUGAAUCAGCCAAUUGAGAUUUUACCGCAUAUGUAAUAAAAACUAAUUUUGCUAUCAAAACCCCAAGUAAGACGAAGCCAGUAAUGUUGACAACCAUCUAUUAAGUAUGUCAAAUAUCCCAGAGAAGCAAUUACCUGCACAAAGAUAAACAAAGGAAUAUAAACUAUUCUACAGAAAAAUAAUCUCAUGCUACAACAUAACUUGGUUUGGCAAUAAAUUAAAUAGAAACAAAAUAAAACUUACAAGCUGAACCGCCAAAAAUAUAAAUAUAAUGUCUCUAGUCACAAAAAAUCGAAAUUUCAGGGUUCGCCAUUUUCUGUCAGCAACAGCAUGUACUCUCAAAUGGUAAGGGGCCUUACAUGUGGUACAGUGAGCAAAAGCAAACCCUUCCUGCAAUUUUAAUCACGGAUGACCAAAUGUAACUAAAUGAUGGCUAUAGAAAUUUCCUUAUUUAUUUUCCUAAAUAAACAUAGAACCAGUCUAAGAAGACAAAAACGAGACUGUAAAUAUGACUGGUGCGGGCGGAUACAAAUACCGCCCAAGAGUAGUGAUAUUCUUUAUUUUGUUAAUUACCCUAAAUUAGAGUCAAUCGUGUGAUAAAAAUUGAAACUUAAAAAAUGCUGGUGCAAGGAGAACAGAGUUAAUAAUGGCAAAAUACGAGUUAAUUUCUUAAGCAAUAAAAGGUAUCGUAACAAUCACUUGUUAAGGCUGAACUUAGUCAUUAAGGUGAGGAAAAUAUAACCAUGCAAAUUCAGGGAAUCAUGGGUGUAUUAUCAGCAACUUCAUUUGAAAAUUCAAUCACAAUAACUAAACUUACAUUGAAACCACCAGCAUUCAAGAUAGCAUUCAUACCUUCACGGCUCGCCAAUGAUCCAGACAUUCUCGAUGAACAUAUUUGGAUGUCCCUUUGCAUUUGCAAGGAGCAAUAAAAUCCCUACCUGAUCAUGUAAUGAAACACGCACAUUGGUUAAUUUAAAUACUCCCAUAGUCUCAGUGUGAUACCCCCCUCUCCUACCGUUAUACAAACUUUCAAGUGAACAGUCAACUCCAAAGAAUUCUAAAGCACGAAUGGCCAAGUGGAUGGGGAAUGUUAACAUCGCUUGUCAAACGAUCAAAUUAACGAAUUUUUAACACCGAAGAACCUAAUUAAUUAGACUUCAAGUCUCACGGUAUUGAAAGAAACAAUGAUCAUAAGAAAACACAUCGUAAUUUCGGAAAAUUAAGAUUCUAGGGUCCAAAGAACUUCGCCUAAAACGCUGCACUGAGCCAUUGAUUAUAAAGCAAGCAGAAGAAAUUAGGUUCCACAAUGAUUUCCCGGAAGGAAAAUGUGGAACAUACCCAAACGAAAACAACCCCACCAACCGUACGAAAACAGUCGAAACCUAACAAAAACUGAAAAACAUAGGAACGAGGAAUUACCAUCGGUCUCAAGGCAAAUUCUACACUGAAUUUGUUCCCCUUGACCAGCUUCAAGGUCGAUCUCACUAGGGUCGGUGAUCGGCGCCGGAGGAAUAAGAGGGGAAGAAUCUGACGGUUGACCCGCCAUAAGGAGUUAAGAAGCGGAAAAACACAAAAAAAAAAAAAAAAUGGUGGGAAAAAAGUGGAGGAGAAUUAGGAUAGCAUGAAGAAGAAAUAAGGGAUCUCCAUGUAAAAGAGUUGUAAGCCCAGAGAGAAUAAUAAUGGUGAAGCAGGAAGAAAGCAAGAGAUUGUGUAGAAGUGUAGAGCAGAAAGUGGUUGAAUGUCUUUCUUCCCAAAAUGGCCACAGCCUUCACCAUUUUUUGACCAACUUAUCCUUCAAUCCCUUAAAACUCUUUUCUAUUUCUAUCACAUCAAAUUUUAUAACUCAUUCUUUUUUUUUUUUUUUUUUCAAUUACAAAAUUUUAUAUCAAUUUAGUUCAUAAAUAUUUUAAUACUAUGAAGCUGGAGUAUGAAGUUUUGUUUGCCAACAAAUUGGCUUAUAAACAGUCACAAUCAUAACUACUAUAUAUAAAUUGAAAUUUGAAUUAUUGUUUGUUUUUUUUUAAUUUUUAAUUUAAGUAUUGAUUCGAUGCCUUUUCAAAAAUACCAAAUCCUCACAACUUUUUUCAUUAAAUUUAAGUUUUCUUUUUCUAUCCACAACAAUUCCAACGUAAAAAUGAUAAAUGUGUUGUAACUUCUAUAAGAAAUCUUUUUUAUAAGAAAAACAAAUUAUCUAUACGUUACACGUAAUUUGCAGUUAGUUGGGUUUAUAUGAUAAAUUUACAAUACCUUAGUUUAUUACUUGGUAUAAGAAUAAUAAAAAUCUAUUUACGUAAUAUUUAUAAUAUUAUCAUUAUUAUUUAACAUUUCUUUGGUUAUUUUUAUAAUGUUGUCCUUAUUACUUAUUAUUUAACAUUACUUUGGUUUUUCUCCAAUGAUAAUUAUUUAUUAAUAAAAUGUGAUCUCCUUUCAUUAUCAAAAAGAAAUAUAAAAAAAUCUGAACUCAUAUUACUCUUUUAUUUCCUUUGUUGCCCUUUACCCUUUAUAUGAAAAAUAGGGAGAGAAUAGUUUAAACAAUGUGAUUUGGGCAGCGAAAAGUGAACUCCUUCCAUUAUCAAAUUAAUUAAAGCAUUGAAACUAAUCGCCGUUUAUCACUGCUGCAGCUAAAAAAGUUCAAAGGUACUCUAAAAUUAUGCAGCGGAGACAUAAUUACUAAUUUGGAACACAUCCUAACAAACGUUCUCAAGAAGCUAAAAUAAAAAUUUUUAAAAGAAAAAAAAAAAAACCCAAAAGUCGGGGGAACAAAGCUACAUAUGAAAAGUGUCUAUGUCCGCUUUUUCAUCUCCCUAUUUUUUUUUACUUCUUCCUCUUCUUGGGAGGCUGGAGUGCUUCCUCGUCUUCGUCCUCGUCCUCUUCGUCCUCGUCAUCUGCUACUUCGUCUUCAUCCUCUCCACCAUCAUCAUCGUCGUCGUCAUCACCAUCUUCGUCGUCGUCAUCCUCAUCGCCAUCAUCGUUAUCAUCAUCAUCAUCACCAUCAUCGUCUUGAUCCUCCUCCCCGUCAAACUCUUCUUCUUCCUCUCCAUUCUCUUCCGCCCCACCAGCUCCACCCUCUGGAUUCUUCUUAGAAUUACUUUUGUUAUUAUCGUUGAGGUUGUUGGUGUAGUCAUCUCCAUCUUCAGAUGAUAAAUCCUCUUCACCUUCACCUUCACUCAAGUCGCCAUCCCCAUCACCUUCAUCGUCAUCAUCAACAUCUCCUCCAGCAUCGAGCGGUGUGGACGAGGGGCACAGGGUGGAACUAUCUCCUUUCAUUUCAGGAUUGAUCAGAAAUGCACCAAGAGAAUCCUGCAACAAAAUUCCCAAGAGUACAAUGGUCCAUAAGGUUAAGCAUGUCAGCGACCAAAAACAUCACUUCAAAAAUGGUCGUUGCAAUCAAAGAAAAACAGACAGAGAAACCACACAAGGACUAUCAAUUUCUAUGUUCCUUAUACACUUGAACUCAACAUAGUAGGCAAUAGAUUUUAAUGAAAACAUUAAUGCUAAAACAACGUAGCCGCUACCAGUUCACCUGAAUUUCCUUUUAAAAAGUCAAAUUGAUAGUAAUGCCUCAGAAUUUCUUUUGUUUUACAAUUUCAAAACAUGAUGAUUAGUAACGAUAAGGACAUAUUAAAAUAUUUAACAGAAUAUGAUGGGACAUAUUAACAGAAAUGAAUAGUAUGGCAGGCGUACAUUUGUUUAUUCCCCCCCGUCUCAGUCCUCCAAUUUGACAAUCUCUGUUUUUACUUUAACCUCCUCCCCUUUUUAUUUUAUUUUUUCCCCAUGUCUUUUCUUGUCGGGAUCUGGUCACCAACCAAAGUGAUAAAGAACCCACUUUAACGUUUAAAUUACCCACUAAUUUUAAUCAGCUACUUCAAUUGAAUGUCAUAAAUGGCAUCCAUUAAGAAGCAGAAAGGCAGAGGAUGGUGGGAAGGGAAUAAACUUCCCAAUCACAAUCGGGCGGGCACUAUCAUAAGCUAGAAAUAGAUACAGGAAGAUGAAAAGAUAAUCUUUUGGGCACUAGAAACCACGUAUUAAGAUUGAUUCCUAAUCCAACAAUUCUCAAAAAAGUCGCAAAGUACUCCAAGAAUUAUUCGACACCGAGUCCAAAGCAUAAUAUUCCAACAACAAAAGAAAAAGGUGACAUCUCCCUAUCUUAACAAUUGUUUAGUGAAAUAUUUCACAUGAAACGAAUAAACUUUGGAGCAUAGCUUUAUUUAUUUUAUUCUUAAAUGGAAAUAAAAUGAAAUUCCGUGUCAAUCAUCAAUAGUAUCUUCAACCACUGAAAUGAAGUGAAUUAAAAGAGGGAUAUGGCGUGUCAUUCAAGUUGUCGGUUGAGGGUCAUUUCCGUAAAUUCAGCAUCAAACCUCAACGAACCCAUCAAGUGGGGUCAAGAAAAUGAUGGCCCAAUAGCAAAAAAACAAAGGGAGAAAGAUAAAUCCAAAAGAAUCAAUCCCAUGACGCGUGAUUACAGUAAUUUCCUUGAAAAAAUAAAAAUGAAAAGUUUUCAACUUUUUAUUUUAUUAAUUUGUAGAAAAAGUUUUUGUUUUUUGGGUUUGAAAAGAUCAACCAAAAUAAUCUAAUGGAAGCCGUACGAUGGGAAUCAGUUAGCCAAACGGAAGGAGUGGCAGUGAAUGGAUCUGUUGGAUAUUUUUCUCACCUAUCCUACAGCUUACUUUAUCGACUAAGGCUCAGCCGAAAUCGGCAAACAUCAAAACGGUUGGCCGAAGCCGGGGGACUUCCAUAAAAAAACACACAAAAAACCAUCCAGUAAAAACCCAUUUGAAACAUAAUUUUUCCUCGAUAUGAAAAGCAUAUCAACUAGAAACAUUCAUUAACUGGGCAGAUAGAACUCAGAAAUUACAGAUAAGGUGGUAAUUAAAAAGGUUAGAGACAGAGAGGGGCCUUGCCUGAGCCAGGCGCUGGGUGUUGACCAGAGCCGAAGCUAGUAAAGCAGCUAAGCAAUUACUGGCGCAUGCCAGUGAGCCAUCACCGAGCGUGACACCUAAUGAAGCAUUUGCUAUCUCCAUUCGCGCGGCGACUGUUCCCUGCAAAUGGAUCAAAAAACACUGAUGAGAGAUGUGGUCGCCGUCAGAUCUGUCUCCAAAAAUUCAACAGCCGUUAAAAAAUGAAAAAAUGAAAACCUAAAAAUUAUAACAAAACAUAACUCCACCGGAAAUUCUCUCAGUCUCUCAGUCUCUCAGUCAGCCCCUUCCCCUACCGUGUUGAUUUGGUAGUUUCUACCGCCUAUCCUGAGGUUUGACCGCAGACAAUAAAUCCAAAAAGACUCAUUCUAAGACAUAUUCAAAUACCUUUUUUAAAAAGAGCAUAAGAAGUUUUCUGACGCAUCCUCUAACAAGCAGAGGGACCUAAACUUUCAGUGAAGCAAAAAAUUCCAGUGUUCAUAAAGUCAACGGUAAAUCCAUCCCAAAAGUUACAAAAAGCGUAGAUAUACGAGAAAUUAAACUCCACACAGCACAGAAAUUCAGUUAAGUCGUUCAGAAACGACCCCGAAACACUAGUAAAGUGAAGAACAGCAAAGAAGGUGAAGCAAAAAAAGCAGAAAACAAGAAAAGAUGAAGCUCAAAUAGGGGAAACAAAACAGAAACAGAUAGAAGGAAGAAAAAAAAGGAAUUAAGAGAAAAAGCAUACCGAGAAGAGAGAUCAGAGCAGAGAGAUGGUAGAUCUGGAGGUAUGGAGAUCUAAAACCACAGAAAAGAAGGAGGAGAAGGGAGGUUCAUUGUGGACCGUCGGAUCGAGAUCGAAAAGACAAAAGAGAAACGAAGAUAUAGAAUUAUCGGCGGCACUCAGAGAAGGGGGGGGGGGGGGGGGUUGAGAGGGAAAGAGGUGAGAGAGGGGAAGUGAGAGAAGCGAGUGCGAUUACUGGAGACCGACUGCCCGUAAUUUUCCAGUCCGGUAUCGGGCAGAUCGGGCAGCGUCGUAAUCUUGUAAAAAAGACCGCGUUUUAAGCUGCCCAAUGAGCCUCGAUGGACAGGUGUGGGUUCGGAUAAACUUUUCUCUUCUAUUUUUCCCUUUGGUCCUUUCUUUUUUUCCUUUUUACUUUUUCAGCAACCAGUUUUUCCAUUUAUUACACAAACCUUCCUCCAACGAAAACUGUCUUUUUCAUAAAGUCUUCGUCCCCCCCCUUUUUUUCUUUUUUCCUUCCCCCCCUCUUCUUCUUCUUCUUCUUCCUCUUCCUCUUUUAAAUCAUUCUUAUUUAAAUUUAAUAUGGCUUCAACUUUAAGCAUCUGAACAACUCUUUAUCUUCAGACUAAAAGUAUAGUAUUCAAAUUAUUAUUAUUCCUAAAUAAGAACAGUAUCGUCAGACCAGACUCAGUCCACCAGGAACUCCACAUCCUUGAUUAUAAAUUAAUAUCAAUGAAAGGAUAUUGUUAAUUUAAGAAUAAACCGAUAGAGCUUAGAUUUUAAGCAAGAGGGAGGUAUGGGCCUGUUUUAACAACCAGGCCCAGGCCCAUUCUUGGUCCAAUUAACCAUCUUCUUCUGGAAGGAUCAAAAGCUCCUCCACUUUAAAACCAUGGAAGAUGUUUAAUAACCCUAAUCCAUGUAUUUUCAGGAAUGGGGACACAGAUGGCUUAUAUUUUAAAUUUUCAAAACAAUUACCUUUUGAAAUAUGUCAUUACCCGUAGUUAUAAUCUAUGAACUAAAUGCAGUCAUGGUAGGUUCUUUGGCAAAGCAGAGAACGCCUUCUCUGGAAAAGGUUCGGAUAAAAGAAUAAUAGAAACUACAAAAUAAAUAUCACACGGGAAGCCUCGGUUCUUAUUUUGUUAUAAAUCAAUAGGUUGAAGCAAACUUAGCUCAACUUGCAUUUCCUUUCUUAAGAGAAUGAAGAUUUGAUUCAUUUUCGUUAUUAUACUAAAAAAACCAAUAAAAACUUAUCUCGAGACAACGAUUCAAUGUAUUUAUAAAUGUAGAAUAAAUGUUAGGUGAGGUGUGAUUCAAAAUUUAAAAGUUAAAAGGACAAACUUGUAAGGAAGUUAAAAAUUAGAUAUAACAUAAAAUUGGAGGAGCAAAUUAUGAAAGAAAGGAUAUAAGUUCAAUAAACCACAAACAAUAUGGAUUUUAUUGUUUAUGUGCUUUUGGGCAUAAAUUUGGGAGCUGUCUUUUGAAAUGAACCACCACUGGCAUCUAUCUAAUACAUAUUCUGCAGUAGUCAAACAUAGGAAUGCUGUAAAAGAAAAAAGAAAGAAAGAAAUGUUCUUGUUUGAUUAGUGGACCAAACUAUAUGCUCCCACCACCAAGUGAUUACAUAAUAUACUAAUUGGUAUAGCAAAACUUGGAUGCUUCUCAUACACCAUCUUUUUGGUGUACACCUAAAUCUCAUAACAAAAAAAUAGGUUUCUAUGUAGCAAACUAUAGUUGAACUAGUAGAUUUUGAAACCUAAGAAUCAAAAUAGAUAUCAAACUGAUGGAAGAACUCAAAAUUCAAAAGUAAAAAUAUAACCUUUUGAAAUCUAAAGAUCAAAAUAGAUAUUAAACUAACUCAAAACAAACAUUACUUUUAUUUCUGUUUUUUAUAUAAUACAGUGACAUAGUUAUUAUUUCCACAAUGAAUUGAGGUGUCAACUUGUCACUAAUACAUUGGAGAGAUCGUUAAAUAGACUAAAACGUUAUAAACUCACCAUUUAUCACGGCAGUUUAUAAAAAUGGAAGUUGUAAAAGAGAUCCAAAGAAAUCAAAGUCUUCAAAAGCCAGCAGGAGCCCCACCCUUUCUGGGGUCACUUACAGCAACAAGCUUCCCGAAGCCAUCACCUUGUCUCAAUGAGCUAGAACCUUGAACAAUGAACUGACAAAUUGUUCCUCCGGCAAGCCCUUCUAAGACGUGACCUUUCUUCGCAAGGACUGCCCUUGUUUCAGCCGGAACUUCAAAAUGAUCCCCCAGCACAGUGGUCCAGUUCUCAUAGUUCAAAAUGUUUGGAACCAGCUGUUCGUUUACCAAAUUAUAUUAAUUCCCAAACUUCAAAUUGCACUUCAGUGACUAAUAUUUUAGUGUAAGAAUGUUUGGAUCAGAUGAACAAAUGGAGGAAUAUUAUGAGAUGGGUUGGUGAAGGGAAGCUAGAUGAUGAAACGAACCUGAUGGUAAACUCUGGGAGCCAUCACAGAUGAGAAAGGACUCAUUCCUUUUGCAAAAUGAUUCAACAAAACCUCUGCUGUUCCAGCAAUGAUGAAGCCUCCUCCACUUGCACCGACCACAGCUUUCAGUUGACCAUUCUGUGGAUGAGUUUUACGAAAAUCUUCGAUUAUAACAUAUUUAUAGAGAGAGUGAAAUUUGGAAUUCAAGUUCAUUUGUGAUUGGAGGAAAUUAGAAUGAAAAGGGACCUUUAGAACAAUAGUAGGAGACAUGGAUGACAAUGGCCUUUUUCCUGGCCUAAUGAAAUUGGCUGGUGCUGGUGGAAGUUGAUUAGCAGAAACAUUAGCCGGGAUAGCAAAAUCGUCCAUUUCAUUGUUCAAGACUAUUCCUGUACUUGGGGACAGUAUAUGUGCUCCAAAAUAGUAGUUCACAGUGGUAGUCAUGGAGACGGCAUUUCGUUCUCCAUCGACUACAGACAAAUGACUGGUUCCAUGGUCAUUGAUUGGAUUCCAUCUGUUACAAACAGAAUAUAUGUUACCAACAGGCUCAACUCAAAGGAAGAAAGUAGAGAUAGAAGGUCUUGCUUGGAACGACGAGGAAGCACUUGGAAAUGCUUACAUUUAUAUGAGGAUAUAAAGGAAAUACUAACGGCGAAUCCAUGUAGGAGCACUGACCUGCCACCAUAAUGGCUUGGAUGAAAAGUUUUGUUGUCAUUGAUGGUUUUCUUCAAUUGUUCAGCAAAUUUGGGUGAGAGCAUAUCAGAAAGAACUUCGGUAACAUUGUAGAAAUCAGGGUCACCGAGGUUCGUCCUUACUGCAACCACAUGUUUCAAUGCUUCAAUCUCCCGAUGGAUACCAAGAGGGCCCAAAAGCCCUGAAGGCAGUUUAUAUUGAGCCAGAAUAUUAAGCAUCUGCAGUAGAACGUGGUGUUACUAACAAAAUGAACUUUUAACAAAACUGCUCAUAAAGACAAGACAACAAACUUACAAGGAUCACUCCAGAGCCUCCUGAAGGAGGAGGCAUGGUGGUUAUCUCGAGAUCCAUUGUACGAGAUAAGAUGGGGACUCUAGUUUUAACUUGAUAACUCUGCAAGUCCUUCAUUGACAGUAACCCUCCAAGCUUCCUGAUGUCUCUUAUCAAGUUAAUUCCGAUCGAACCAUUAUAGAAGGCACUGACACCAAAUCUAGAAAUAGUUCUUAGAGUUUCUGCCAGUUUCUGGUUGCGGACAAUAUCUCCCUGUUUCAACAAUUUUCCACCUGAUGUUAACAAGUUCCUGAGCCCUUCAUCCCCUAAGAUCCCUGAUUCUGUUCUAACCAUCUGCAUAUGAAGGUAUGGAGAUAUUUUAAACCCCAAGCGAGCAAGACGUUCAGCUGGUUGAACAAGCCUUGCCCAUGGAAGCUUUCCAUGUUGUUUCCAAGCCUCAUGAAGCCCUGCAAGUUCUCCUGGAACGGCAAUGGAAAGGGCUCCGGAUGCUUUUGAUGCAACAUUGCCAGCAUACAUAUUCUGUAUAUGAAUGCAAAAAAAUUUAAGAAACUGAUUCAAUGAGAAAUUUUGGAUGAGUGAAGUUAUCAGGUUGUGUAUAGCCAAUUGAUAACAACUCAUUAUUCAUCAGUUUCCAAAUGUUAAAACUCAAAAGUUACACCCAAAAGACUUUUAAGCAUAUGCUCGUGUAAAGUUCAACACAAUGAUGAUGAAAGAUAUGAACUACUUAAAUAACACUAUUCAAUGCCAUCAAACUAUCAAUCACUAUACAACAUUUGAAUUUCAGACAUGAAUGAACAACAUGAGCUUUCCAACAACAAUAAAAUGAGCAAGAAGACUAUAUGACCAUUGUGCUUCUUUUUUUCUUCAUGAAAAAUGAUUAAGUUGGAAAUCUAACAAAGAAGAAGAAAAAAGCGGAGUACCAUUUACCUCAGAAGCUAGCAAAGGUGCGGUCUCCCUCAUAUCGAAAGCCUGAGCUUUUCCACUGGCUGAUCUGAUCAGCAUAAAGGCUCCUCCACCAAUGCCACUUGAUGCAGGACUAACAACCCCCAGGCAAAGAGCAGCAGCCACUGAUGCAUCAACAGCAUGUCCUCCUUCGCGUAGAACAUCCAUACCAAUUUUGGAGCAACGGCGAUCAUCUGCGGCAACGGCACCAUGGCUUGCUACAACAACUUCAGGUCGAGCUAUGGAGGUCGGAGUCAGUAACCCAAUAGAAACAAGAACAAUCACAAGCCACCGUAUCAACAUUGCUGCAGCCACACAUGCAAACCAUUAUAGAUUACUCAGUAAAUAAUACUGAUCAGUUUAAUUGGGAAAAAAAAAUGUAAAUCACUAUCAGGAGAGCAUACAUUGAUAUAUUCUUGCUGGCCAAACUAUGUUUAAAGAUAUGAUACAGAAUAAAGGUUUUAAUUAAUUUUUAAAGUUUUUCAAAUCAGCCCAUUUGCCGAGGAUUUAUAAUUAUAUUAAAAGCAACGUAACUAAAACCGUGAUUACGAUCAGGGGCGCAUUCAUUGACUUUUGAAGGCCAAACCAUGUUUAAAAAGAGCAAAAUGGCUUUGAUCUUUUAUACAGUUUUCUAAAUCAGCCCAUGUGGAAUUUGAAAAUAAUGCCAGAAGCAGCACAAGUAAAAUGAUUUCAGUAUCUUUAAGGUGCAAAACAAUUCCUUAGACCAUGUUUUGUUCCUGUAUUGAUGAGAACAAGAUUUUGAAAAUAGAACACGCCACAAAAGAUAAGAUUGAAUUUAGUGCGUUUGUUGGCCUUAGAAGUUCAUUUGGCAGUAAAAUUUGCCAAGUGGAUGUUUAUGUGGAAAUUUCUGUUUGGUACUUGGAAUGAAAAGAAUCUGUGGCAGAAUCUAACUGCUAGAAGUUGACAAAUUGGAAAAGAUUUUCUAAGAGAGACGGUAAGCGGAUGAAGAAAGAAUGAUUAGAACAAUAGAGAAAAUGAACAAAUAGUGUACAAGCUCAUGCCUAUGGAGGGAAAAAGGGUGGCCGUGUUAUUUCUUCUAGAAAAUUUUGAGUGAAAAUGUUUUAGAUGGCAAUGCUAUUGAAAAUGUUUUUUUUAAAGAAGUAAAAUUUUGUUAGAUAUGCUAUAUUUAAAACCAUUCCAAACUAUAAUGUUAUAUUAUUACUAAAACUAAAAUAACUCAAUGUUUAAUUUUAUCAUUUUGUUAAAAUUAAUUUUAAAUAAUUAAAAACCUUUUUUCUAAAAUAAUUUUGAAAAUAACAAAAUCCAUAAAACCUAUACCACCGUCCAAAUCUAAUUCAAAACACCAAUUAUCAUUUAAAUGUGAAUAUCCUUCCUAAAAAAAUGUCAAAAAAGUAAGCCACCACAAAGUGACGGUGAUUAUAAGUACAAAGUUUGUAAAAAUAGUAAAAAAAUUAUGAUAAUAGAGUUCAUGUCACUUAUCUUUUUAAAAUUGUAAAAAUAACAAAUUUAGAUAUAAAAUAUAUAUAUAUAAAAAUAAAAAAUAUGUUAUUAACUGUUUUUUACUCAAUUUUUUAUUAGCUGUUUUUUACUAAAUAUUUUUAUCAUCCAAUCCAAUUUUCUAAAAAUAUCUCCCAAUUUGUAUAGUUGUUAAAAUUGGCGUUGUAACCUUGUAGAAGUUUGACCAAACAUUUGCAAAGAGCUUUCCGGACGAUCUACGCCAUCGUCGUUACGUUGGUCCUCAAAUUACUAUUCUCACUCUUCGCACCCCCAAAUGUAUAAUCAUUCUCCCCACUAAUAUUACUUCAAUUUUCCAUGGAAGAUUGAAAUGAGUUCAAUUUGAGGAAAAACCUUUCCCCAAGAUUCUGCCAUGAAUGAUUUCAGAACGACGAAAUAAAAUGGAGAGUUCUGACUCAAAUCACCAAUUUAUAACCACAAACAAAAACCCAGAAACCAAAAGGCGAGAAUGGAUCACGUUGAAGCAAGAUUGAAAUUACUCAUUCAAACAGUGACUCACUUGGGAUGAUUUAUUGGCUAAGUAAGAGAAUCAGCUCGAAUCCGCCCUUUCUUGUCGUCUUCUUCUUUCCGUAGUCGAUUUAUUUGGCAGCAGCCUUGUUCUUUCCUGGGAAUUAAAGAAGAAAAGCAAUCGCAAUAAGGAAGUUGCAUUGACAAUGGGUGAAAAACAGGAAAGAAGGCGAUAUAUCGUUAUCAUAAUCGACGACUUUCGUGACAAUUUUUGGGCGUUGUUUUUUUAUGAAUCGGAUAAAUUAGGAUUUAGGGUCUAGUUUUCAUCUUUUGCGGUUUCGUCGAAGUUCACUUUACCUUGUAAAUUCUGCACUCCACAUUUCUCGAGUCGUUCGUUUCAGAUAAUUUUCCGAAUUUUCAAGGGCUAAAACUACGUCCUGAUUAUCCAGAGGAAAAGAGCCGUUGAUCAUCCGAUUCGACCCAACUUGGCGGAUUGAUGAGAGAUUAGAGAAGAAUCAAAAGAGGUCGCAUAGUGCGAUAGUUACUCUAGGAAUCUUCCACCAUGUGAACCUUUUUUCCAUGGACCUUUGAAAAAGUUUGAAACUUUCUUUGUUAGAACUUUAUUUCCAUCGUGCGAUAUUUCGUGGAUAAUACUAAGAUACAAAAUCUUGUAAUCUAAAAGUAAAAGAAUCUAAGUCAGUGACUUGAUAAUUUUACUUAUUCUAUGCUUGAAUUUCAUGAGUAACUCAGCAAACCCCGUCUACAAGAUACAAUCAACCAUCCUUUGUGAAAACACUCUGAAAGUUUUGAAUAAAAGGUGAUGAAAAAGUGGUUCUAAAAUGCCAUUUGAAAAAGAAAAAGACACAUUAAUGAACUAUUUGUUAGCAUUCAAAUACUUCGUUCUUAGUUAAUUAUGAAAUUCGAAAAGACAUGUUCAUUGCAACCACAACCUAAAAGUACAUCUUCUGCCUAACUUUAUUUGGGUUAAUCCUAUGCCAAAACGAGUAUCCCCUCCGUCCAAGAAAAAUCUACAAUCCUACUUUACAAUCUCAAAAUGAACCUUUUCUCUCCUUAUAAACAUUAUUAUUUUAUUUCUUUCCACUGAUUUAAAUUCAUUCUGCUAACAUGUCUUUUAACAAUGGAAGCUAUUGAAGAGAUCCAAGAAUUCACAAUCUCAAAGCCAGCCGGAGCCCCACCUUUCCUUGGAUCACUUACUACCACAAGUUUAUCCACGCCACCACCUUGUCUCACUCACCCAAAACUUUGAACAAUGAACCGACGAACUGUCUCUUCUAAGACACGACCCUUCUUAUCAAGGUCUGCCCUUGUUUUAGCAGGCACUUCAAAAUGACCCCCAAACACAUUGGUCCAAUUCCGCAUAGUUCAAAAUGUUUGGAAUCAGCUGUUUGUUUGCUUCAAUUCAACAAAAAAUGUAUUAGUUCCCAAAUGACUAACAUCUAGUAGUGCAAGAAGGUUUAGAUCGGAUGAAUCGAUAUAGAAGUAUUACAAGACGGAUCGGAGAAGGAGCGCAUUAACCGGAUGAUAAACUUAAGGAGUCAUCACAAAAUGAUUCAACAAAACCUCUGCUACUCCAGCAAUGAUGAAGGCUCCUCCACUUGCACCAACCACAGCUUUUAGUUGACCAUCUUGUAGAUGAAAUUAAGUUCAAAGAAAUCUUCAAUUACAAGACACCUAUAAAGGUAGUAACAUUUUGAAAUUCAAGUUAAGAAAUUAGAAUGAAAAGAACACCUUUAGGAGAUAGUAGGAGACAUGGAUGAUAAUGGCCUUUUCCCACAGUCAGCGAGACAGCGUUAUCAAGUGUUGAAUAAAGAAGUUGGGCUGAAUUUCAUCACCUUCUGGGCUGGAGGCCCAUUAUAGGCCCAUAUAUAAUAUCCGACCCGCGUUGUUCGCAUCCCGUCAACAUUGCUAUUAUUCAAUUUCAAACCACCAUCUUUCUCCCGCCCAAUCUUCUUGCCCACGUCUCAACAUCGGUUCUUCGGCAGAGCUCAAAAAGAGGAAGAGAGAGAUUUACCGGUGUAAAUUAAUCCAUUUUUUUCCGUCUCCGGCAGCUACAUUUCUUCAUGUUUUAGAAUCCCACUGCGAACUUCAAUUAAUUUCACUGUGCACUACAUUAGGGUUUGAAAGUUUUUGUACAGUUGAAAAUCCAGUGACGAAGUACGGAUUCAUCUCAGAAUGCUGCAAUCUGAGUAGUCCAGUAAAGCCAAGAAAGACUGGUAGCUGAGAAUGGCAAGGCGAAAGGCGAAGAAAACGGUUAAGAAGUCCAGCCCUUCACCUAUACUAGAAGCAAAGGAUGAAGCAGCGAAUGACGAGGAUGGUAUGUUGAAAUUCGUGGUGAUUUCGAUUCUUUUACUGAAGCCGGAAUUUAAUUGAAAGAAAAUUGUUUUGUUUCUCUUCCCGUUAACAUAAUUGUUCCUCUGUUUUCCCUUUUACUCGUGUUUAGUUGAACGGCAUGCUGCUGCAAUCCGUGCCAUUCGGGAUGUGGAGAUCGGGCGUUUGAUUACUGAAUUGCGGUUGCUUCGUUCGUAUUUCAACAAGGAGCAAUUGCAAACUCCUUUAUUGCAAUUCUUCGAAGAAAAACUUCCUAGGUUGUCUAUUUCGAGAACAGGCGAACAAGGAGAAAUUGAAGUACAAUGGAAGGAUACAGAGGAUGAACUACGCACCAAUCCAGCUGAUGGAAUAGAUAUACAUGCGUCUCUCCUUCACCGCCUGUCGAUAGCUUAUCCUAACUGCUCUGCCGGAAUGCGAUCUUUCAAUGGAUUCGAAUUUUCCAGUAAAUCAGGUAUCUGUAGAUUUUGGAUUUUGGAGCGCAAAAUCAUUUAGUAAGUGCCCCCUUAUACGACGCUUCUUUGCUGCAACUCACCUUCUUUUCUCUACUGAUGGCAGUGAAAACGAAUCCUUUCAUUGUCGAGAACCUGCAAAUUCCAAACUUUGUAAGUAAUAUUUGCAUAUGAUAUCUUAAAUCGUACAGUAGUAGAAUGAGUUAUAUGGUGCGAGCACACAACAUACGAUGUAGUUUGUCUAUAUCUUUUGUUUCAUGUUGUUGAUUUGUGGAAGAACGCUACUAGAAAUAAAACCGUGAACAAUUUGGUAUUGACUCAUAGAUUUGUUAACAAUUCUUGAUUUUAGGUUUUGGAGGAGCCCUCGGAUAAUUUGGUGCUCGGCAUGCCAGACAUACACCAAACUCCUGGGGUUUGUAUCUUUAUGGUUUUUGCACAUCGCUUAUUGCAUUGGCCUUUUCAUGUUAAUAUUCUAUAGCUGUCUGUUAUUGCCAUUUUUUUAGGCGGUGUUUUCACUUAAAUUAUCUAGGCACAUUGAUUGUCGGGGUCUAAGGAAUGGAAUUACUGUAGUGAUAGAUGGGUGGCUGCAAUCAAUUAUUAAUGUUUUAUUUUCAAUAAUUAACGGUGUUUUGUUUAAAUAUUUAAGGGUGUCUAAGCUAAUUCAUGUCUAUAAGUAGGGAUUUAUUGCCUCAAUCUGUCAAUAAGUUUGAGUUGUGACUUCUUGGUUAUAAGUUGGGAUCUUGUUGCCCACCAUCAGUUAAACUUUGUGGUUAAUGAAGUCUAAAUGUAGGGAAUAAGUUCAGCACAUAGUGGCCAUCCCACUACCAAAUAUUUGAAAAUCAAAGUAGAAUCACAUUAUGAUAGUUUUUUCUGUGAGGAUAGUUGAGGCUAACAAGCUGACCUUAAAGAAAACAUGGCCUUCAUAUACUCAUUAGUAAAUCGGAAAUGAACUUUGAACCUAGUAUUUGUCUUGCAAUCGGAUGCUAUUUGAAAUUUUGGAACGUUGGACUAUAGUUUUGUUUUUUCUUCUCUCUUUUAAUGGUUCAUUUUGGAUUUGAAUAUUUCUACUCCGAAACUUCAGUGUAAAUGUUCCUAUGGAUAUCAAUACCAUGAUAAAAGUUCAUAUUUAUAUAUGUUUUCUGCCAACCAACUAGGGGAGAUAAAUUAAGUUCCGAGCUAAGUUGCAAAAAAGUUAUUGGGAGCCGGGAGGCAAUAGUCGAUCAUUUCAAAAAUCAAUCAUGACUAGAUCGUAGAGGGAAUGAUGGAACACGGCUUCAUUUCUAGUAAUUAAAUAAUUUAUUUGUUAAGACAGGGAAAAUCUUGAACCCAUGAAGGAAGCUGCAAAGAUGAAUUCUAAGUACAAAGAUCGGCAUGGUUCUUACUAAAAAAUACAUGUAAAGAUUAUAUUUUAAUAACAUCUCAGGCUUGUUCGAGGGAUUAUCCCUAACAGAACUUGCUUAAGGCUGUUUUUGUCAUUGUUGCCUCUAUUUAGUGUAUUAUACUAUAACUAUAAGCUAACUAGCCUUCCUUCUACAGGUGAGUAACCAACGAUUAUCCAUUGGGAUGACUCCGAAAACCCGAAGACUGCCAAAACCAGGCGAGAUGCUUGUGUCCAUCCAUGGAUCCCCCUUGGGUGUUUACAAGGAAGACAACAUGGAAGCAAUCCAUGGUAUGCUCAUUUAGGUCAUUUCCAUUUCUAGACAUGGAGUAUUUUGGUGGGUUUAUAUAAAUCGUGCUUCUACAUUUUUCUAAUGGGUAAAUUGAUAUUGUGCAGAAUCGGAAGAGGGUUGAUUUGCUGAUUCAACGCGACUUGACUGCUUGUCAAUAGAAGUGAUACUCCAAAUGCGAUCAUCUCGACCAUCGUUUUACUUUUACCUGAUGUACUUUCAACCUUCUUGUCUUGUAAUCUAACCUUUUGAUUACUUCUUAAAAGUUACUCUUACGUGUAUAACUAUAAACUAGUGUGUUUUAACUCCAAGGAACGAGCAUGUACAAACACGCAAUUGCUCCACUAGAUUAUUGUUCAUUGUUAUUUGUUACGAAAGUUGACGUUGGAUUAAAGGUAAAUCUGGAUUGUUGCUUUGUCUUUAUUUCCAACAUGUUUUUUGUGAUUACCAACACAGUCUCAGAUCGCUAAUGAGGCAGAAAAAUGGUUCAGACGGUUGCUUAGGCUCUCCGAUGACAAUUGAAUCAAUUUAUAUAAUCCACAAAUACAAAGCACACUUAGUUUGUCUGUACAUCCCAAUUUUGUGAGGAGUCGGACCUCAUCAAAUCAUAAAAUUUCAUGGGAAAAUAAAUGAGCAUAUAUACAAAAUUUUGGUUUCUUUUCAAAACUCAACAUUCCUGUAAUUUUUGUAAAACUGCCGUACCAUUCUCCAAAUUUUAAGAGGAGAAGUCAAGAAGCUUCUAAAGAAUGUAGAUUGACCACAAAAAGGAAAUUCUUAAGCUAACCCUAGCUCUGGAGCAUGGUUUUCCACACCACUUUCUGAGUUUCGUGAACCUGUUCUAGUUCUUGAAGAUCUUGGUUUUUGCACAUUACUUUCUAAGUUUCUUGGACCUGAUCUAGUUCUUGAAGAUGACUGUUUUUCCACACUACUAUCUGAGUUUCUUGAACCUGUUCUAGUUCUUGCAGGUUCUGGUUUUUCUUGUGACGAUCCAAUGGUUCCCAAAGCAUCGAGGAAGAAUCUCUUAUUUGGAAUGAUGCCAGCUUUGUCCAUAUUCUUCAAGAGCUUCUCCAGAAGUUCCUUCUUAUCAGCUUUGGUGUAAGCUUUAUAAAGAAGCUUGUAUGUUGUUGAAUCUGGAAAUACCCUCAUAUUACCUGCACUCUCAAAAAGCAAAUCGGCUUCCAAGGGUAAACCAUUGAUGCAGUAAACAUCAAGCAUGGCAUUGAGGGUUGAGACUCUCACCUCCUUCCCAGAAUUAACCAUUCCAUCAAAGAUUUCUCUAGCCUUAGAAACACAGUCACAAUGACCAUACAUCAUGAUCAGGCUUUCACAAGUAACAUAGCUGGGGUCAUAUCCCAUAUCCUUCAUCUUCCUAAAAACCUCUUCAGCUUUCUCUCUAAGCCGUGCCUUCCCGUAGUUUGUGAUCAUUGAAUUGAAAGUAGGCAGUGUUGGCCUCUCCUUCGAUCGUAGUAAGCUCUUAAACACCUGUUCCAUCUUGUCAAAUAACUGUUUCUUCCCAUAUGAAUCAAUCAACAAGUUAAAGGAUAUGAUAUCUGGUUUAAUUUGAUUGCUUUUCAUGCGAGCAAGCAUCAAUUCCAUCUCUUUAAUGUUCCCAUUUUUCCCAUAUGCAUCCAUCACUCCAUUAUACGUAUAUAUAUCAGCUGAAACAACACUCUCAUCGAGAUCUUUAAACAAUGUAUUAACUUGAUCCACUUUUGCAGCUUGAGCAAAAGCUCUGGUAAGAAUGUUGUAAGUAACAAUGUUUGGCUUACAUCGUUCCAUUCCUUUCAUCUUCUCGAAGUACGAAAGGACUUUAACUAAAGCUUUAGCUUUGUCCUUAGAAUGAAGAUGUGCUGUGAUAAGUGCAUUGUACACAGAAGUAUCAGGUCGACACCCACUAUUUCGCAUCUCAGAAAACAACCACAUAGCCAUCCGAAUUUGACCCUUCUUUCCCAUAAUAGAUAUUAGUUUAGAAUAAACCCCAUUGUCAGCAAUAUACCAACGUUGUUUCUGCAUCCAUCUGAAGACCUGGAGAUGAAAACACAUCAAUAAAACAUAAUAGCAGAAAAAUGUAGACUCUCCCUUCUUCAUCUAUGCCUAAAUAGAGCUUGAACUACAGUGAAAAUUCAAUUAAUUCUGUGUAAUGUUCACAAAUUGAAAAUUCAUAUCCUCGAUUUCAAAUUCAAUCAACCGUCUUUGAGCAUUUUCACCACUACCCAUCAAUCCAAGUUCCAAAAGUCAAUACCCAUAGGCUCAAAUUCAGAGUUCAAAAGAAGAGAAGCGAACCUCGAGACAUUCAAGCCAUUUAUCUCUUUUCCCCAAUUCCUCAAAUAGAAGAAAACAGUGCUCAGUUCUCAUAACACGAACGUAUUUGUCCAGUGUCUUGAGCAAUGGUUCUUUGUCGCUGAAAUUUCUAAUUAUACCUCGAACCAGUUCUUCAGCCUCGGAUCUGUCGGUUUUAACCCCAAAUUUCCUACUGGGUCGAGUCGAAAUGCAGACCACUCGAGUCGAAACGGCUUUCUUUAUAGAUGAAGGGAGUGGAAGCCAUAGCCGGGAGAGUUGGGAAGAAGAAUAAGAUGGAGUGAAUGUGGGAGAAAAUUGCAGAGAAAAUGAAAGAGGCAUUGGAGAAUUUGAAGUACCUUGGAGUUCGACAGGGAGAGAGGAUAGCAAAAUCCGAUGAAGUAAAUGGUUGAUUUUGUAAAUUCCUCGCGUUGGAGAAAAAAACAAAAAAAAAACAAAAGAGGGAAUUGAACCCGACGUGAAUCGAACACGCAACCUUCUGAUCUGGAGUCAGACGCGCUACCAUUGCGCCACGGAUCCACUUGUUGAUUUCAUAAUUAAGUAAAAGAAUUAAACCAAUAAUAUUUUCAUUGUAAGAAAUAAAAAUGAUCUAAACAUUAAGACUAAAGUUUGGAUAAUUUUUUUGAAAAUGUUCUCUUUGUACAAUUAACACGAUUCUUGAAAAAUCAUUAAGCUACAUUGUAACAUCUUCAAUAAAUAAUUUUAUUCUCCACAACUAUCAUCUAAUUUCCUCGAAAUUUAACAAAAAAAAUUGGAGGUUAUGAGUAAAAGGAGGGUGUCAUUGUUAAUAAAAAAUGUAAAACUGUGGGUUGGAUUGCCUCUACCACAAGGAGAAAUAGAAAAAGACGUGUGUGGCGGUUUCUUCCUGCACCAAACCAAUAAUGUUUGACCAUUACAACCUAAGCCUUCUUUGAAAUUAAUGCAUCUCCUAAGGAUUUGCCAUUGAAAAAAUGGUAGUUUUGUAUUCUCUUUUUUUUUUUUAAUAACAUUUUAAAAUUUUUCUGUGUGUAGCCCAUGAAAUUAAGUGCAACAAUCCAUUGCUUUUUUUUUUUUCCUUAAUGUGUGCAACUUUAGAAAGCUAUGUAUAGGUGAAAGAAGAAAAAAUAAUUUUCAUUGUUGUUUCAAAAAAAAAAACGAUCCAUUUCUCGUUUCUAUUUUUCUUUUUCCAUUUAUUGUUAAAGGAAGGAAAUUCUUUCAAAAAACAAAAGUAAAAUUGAAUUAUCGAGUAAAGGCCGUGACAGAAGAGAAAUUAAUUUUCGUAGUUGCAAGGUUAUUCUUAUUGUCCUCUUACCUUUUUUCUUUAUUAAAAGAGAGAAGAUUAGAAGAAAGAAAAGACGUGCAAGAAAUGUUAGCUUUUCUAUCCAUAAAAUAGAAAACAAAAGCAGAGAAGAUUUUGAAAAUAAACAUAGAUUUUUCUUUUCUUUUUGGAUAAAGUUAUAGAGAGAAACAUCAUAUAAAAUAAAAAAAAGUGUGAGAAAAAUGAGUUAGCACAUAUGCAUGGGAGACUGGCCGGAGAUUCGCCAAAAAGAUGGACGCAUGUCACCGGAGGAAAGUUCAUCGACAAAUAUUUAACCACAGGUUAAGUCUUCUUUUUUCAAGCCUUGAAAAUUAUUAAUAAAACUAUAAUAUACGUAACCUUUCAUCACUUAUUGCAUACCAUGGCUUGGGUUUCGGCUACAAUAAUUGGGUUACUGCUUCUUCUUCUUCUUCUUCUUCUUUCAAAUUACCUCUUUGAAAUAUGGCUAUUCAAGAAUAAGAGUAAGGGCAAGAAAUUACCUCCUGGCCCGAAAGGGUUUCCCAUUUUUGGCAGUCUCAGUUUGCUCAAAGAGUUUCCUCAUAGAGAUCUUCAUCGCCUGUCUCAAAAAUAUGGUCCUAUUAUGCACAUCAAAUUGGGACUUGUAAACACGAUUGUUGUUUCUUCCCCACAAGCUGCUGAGCUUUUUCUCAAAACCCAUGAUCUUAUUUUUGCAAGUAGGCCUCUCACUAUGGUCUCUAAAUUCUUGUCUUAUGGCCAAAAGAAUUUGGUUUUUGCUCAAUAUGGAUCUUAUUGGAGGAAUGUACGUAAAAUGUGUACACUUGAAUUGCUUAGUAAUCACAAGAUCAAUUCUUUCAAAUCCAUGAGAAAGGAAGAGGUUGGGCUGUUGAUUGAGUAUCUCAAAGAGGCUGCAAGUGAUGGUGUUUCUAUUAAUAUUAGUUCAAAAGCUGCGUCACUCAUUACAGACAUGACUUGCUUGAUGGUUUUUGGGAGGAAAUUUGGCGAUGAAGAGUUGGAUGAUAGAGGUUUCAAGGCUAUGAUGCAAGAGGUGAUGCAAUUAAUUGCUGCUCCUAAUUUGGGAGAUUUUAUUCCCUUUAUCGAAAGAUUUGAUCUUCAAGGCCUGAAUCGUCGGAUGAUAAAUGUUAGCAAAGUGUUUGAUGGGUUCUUUGAGAGGAUUAUUGAUGAACAUCUCAAGUCUAUGGGCGAAAAGAAGACAAAAGACUUUCUAGAUGUCAUGUUGGAUCUAAUGAAUACUGAAUGUCUUAGUUAUGAGUACCGAAUUGAUCGAUCCAACGUCAAAGCAAUAAUACUAGUGAGAAUUCCAAUCCUCUUAAUCCAGUAAAAAAAAUGCCAUAAUUAGAAUUGAGUUACUUCAUUAUUGAACAAAGUUUCAUAAAUUUAUAACUUUUUUUAAAAAAUAAUUUAUAAAGUAAUUUCAAAUGAGCACGUAAAUUAUGAAUUGAAAUAUUAAUAUUAUUAUUUUAGUUUCUAUCUAUUUUUAACAAAUUCAUUCUAAUUAUUAGAUCUAUAUUAUUAACUUUUUGUUCAUUUUGAGAUUAUUGAAUUUUAAAGAAAAAAUCCAUUUCCAUCCAAUAAAAAUGAGGACAACUAAAUGAAUCAUUUCUUUUAAUGAAGUAUAAAAGAUCAAAAGGAAAUGAAAAGUAUGUAAAAGUAGUGCAAUAAUUUAAAUAUGACAUAAAAGAUGAAUUGGUUCAAUAUAUAUAUACUGAGUUUGAUUUUGUUGAAGGAUAUGCUUGGUGCUGCAAUGGACACAUCAGCCACAGUAAUUGGGUGGGCACUACCUGAGCUCAUAAGACAUCCACAGGUAAUGAAGAAAGUGAAAGAUGAACUUGAAAAUGUGGUGGGCUUAGAUACAAUUGUGGAAGAAUCACAUUUAAUUCACUUGCAAUAUUUAGACAUGGUCAUUAAGGAGAUUCUUAGGCUCUAUCCUCCCGUUCCAUUGUUAGUUCCACACGAAUCUCUUCAAGAUUGCGUUGUUGAUGGUUUUUUCAUUCCAAGAAAGUCUCGUGUAAUAGUAAAUGCAUGGGCAAUUGGACGAGAUCCAACUGCUUGGAUUCAUCCACUAAAGUUUCAUCCAGAGAGAUUCAUGGAUAGCCAAUUGGAUGUAAAAGGAAGAGAUUUUCAGUUAAUUCCAUUUGGAGCUGGUAGAAGAGGGUGUCCAGGAAUUCAUUUGGGUUUGACUGUAGUUCGUUUGGUAUUGGCUCAACUUCUACAUUGCUUUGAUUGGAAGCUCCUUGGUGGUAUGUCAAUAGAUGAAUUGGAUAUGACCGAAAAUUUUGGUUUGACUUGUCCUAGAGCUCAAGAUCUUAUUCUCAUUCCUGUUUAUCGACUUCAUAUUUGAAUUUAAUUAUUCUUCUCUCAUGUCAAUUUGAAAGUUUAAUAAUAUGUAAAAGAAUCAUAGUCGUUCAAUAAAAUAUCACGUGUACCAUGUAAUGAUUGGUUAACUUAAUCCCAAAUUUUGAGUUUAAAUUUCAAAUGGGAGGAAUCAAAUGAUUUAUUGUAAAAUUUAAAAUUCUUGAAAUUUAUAAAUUGGAAAAUCAUGAAAUGAAUUUUGUAAAUUGUGUUUUAUACAGUUCAAAAUGAAAUUCUUUUACAUAUUAUUAAUUUAGAGGAAGGAUCUAUAUGUAAUUUUUUUCAGUAUUUCUUUUUAUUGAAAUGACUAUAUAAUUCUUUUACUUAUUAUUAAACUCAACUUGGCACAAUGAAAAGGGUAAUUAAAUUCAAAUAUGAAGUCGAUAAAUAGGAAUGACAAUAAGGUCUUGAGCUCUUGGACAAGUCAAUCCAAAUUCUUCGGUCAUAUCCAACUCAUCUAUUGACGUACCAUUGGGAAGCUUCCAAUCAAAACAAUGUAGAAGUUGAGCCAACACCAAACGAAUCACAGUCAUACCCAAUUGAAUUCCAGGACAUCCUCUUCGACCAGCUCCAAAUGGAAUUAAUUGAAAAUCCCUUCCCCUUACAUCCAAAUGACUUCCCAUAAAUCUUUCGGGACAAAACUUUAGAGGAUGAAUCCAAGCACUUGGAUUUCGACCAAUUGCCCAUGCAUUCACUAUUACACGUGAAUUUUUUGGAAUGAAAAAGUCUUCAACAAUGCAGUCUUGAAGAGAUUCAUGUGGGACUAGCAAUGGAAGUGGUGGAUAGAGCCUAAGAAUCUCCUUAAUGACCAUAUCCAAAUAUUCCAAGUGAAUUAAAUCUAAUUCUUCCACCAUUCUAUCUAACCCCACCACAUUCUCAACUUCAUCUUGCACUUUCUUCAUCACAUCUGGAUGUCUUAUGAGCUCUGCUAGUGCCCAUCCAAUUACUGUGGCUGAUGUGUCCAUUGCAGCACCAAGUACAUCCUAUUCAUGUAUAUGGAAUGUAAUAAGUGUAUUUUAAAACACAAAAAAUUACAAAACUACAAAAUAUAACGAAAUUUUAGAUAUAUCAAAUAUAGGUACCGAUCAAAUCACAUUUUUAAAUAUAACAAAAUGAACCAAAAUAUUUACAAAAAUAUAACAAAAUUUAAAUUCUAUUAAAGAAAAUUGUAAAAAAUAACAAAUUUAACAUAAUAUUUAUAACGUAUAGCAAAAUUUUCAGAUUUUAUCAAUAGUAGACAUUAAUAAACAUUUAUAUGCAUCUAUUAGCGACAUUAAUAGAUAGUGGUAAAAGUCUAUCAAUUUAAAAAUAUUUAAAUACAAUAUUUUAAUUAACAUAAGACAAAAAUGGACAUUAUUAAUAAUUCCAAUGACCAAAAUAAAUAUUUUGAACCAAAUAAUCCCAUAUUCUUAAAUUACCAAUUGAACUAACAUAAUUUGAAGUAUAAAAAUAAAUAUGACCACUAAAUAAAAAAUACGGGACGUGAAGAGGCAUUCAAACCUAAACAAUAAUAAUAAUAGAUUUUCAUCUACAAAACUAUGAGCUCAUCUGAAAUUACUUUAUAAGUCAUUUAAAAAGAAGUAAUUUUAUGCACGAAAAUAAAUAAUUCUUCAGACAAGAACUAACUCAAUUUUUGACCUAGUUUGAUGAUUAAAACAUUUAAUUAAAUGUCUUUAACUAGAGAUCAAAGGAUUUAAAUUCUUACCAAUAUUAUUGCUUUAACACUGGAACGAUCAAUUCGAUACUCAUGAGUAUCUUCAGACUUCAUUAGAUCCAACAUGACAUCUAAAAAAUCUUUAGUUUUUUUUUCACCCAUGGACUUAAGAUGUUCAUCAAUAAUCCUCUCAAAAAACCUAUCAAACACUUUGUUAAUAUUUUUCAUCCGACGUGUCAACCCUUGAAGAUCAAACAUUGCAAUAAAAGGAAUAAGAUCUCCCAAAUUAGGAGCAGCAACUAAUUGCAUCACCUCUUGUAUCAUAGCCUUGAAACCUCUAUCAUCCAACUCCUCAUCCCCAAAUUUCCUCCCAAAAACCAUCAAGCAAGUCAUGUCUGUGCUGAGUGACACAACUUUUGAACUAAUAUUAACAGAAACACCAUCAUUUGCAGCCUCUUUGAGAUACUCAAUCAACAACCCAACCUCUUCCUUUCUCAUGGAUUUGAAAGAAUUGAUCUUGUGAUUACUAAGCAAUUCAAGUGUACACAUUUUACGUACAUUCCUCCAAUAAGAUCCAUAUUGAGCAAAAACCAAAUUCUUUUGGCCAUAAGACAAGAAUUUGGAGACCAUAGUGAGAGGCCUACUUGCAAAAAUAAGAUCAUGGGUUUUGAGAAAAAGCUCAGCAGCUGGCGGGGAAGAGACAAUAAUUGUGUUUACAAGUCCCAAUUUGAUGUGCAUAAUGGGACCAUAUUUUUGAGAUAAGCGAUGAAGAUCUCUAUGAGGAAACUCUUUGAGCAAAUUGAGACUACCAAAAAUGGGAAACCCUUUUGGGCCAGGAGGUAAUUUCUUGCCCUUACUCUUCUUCUUGAAUAGCCACGUUUCGAAGAUGUAAUUUGAAAGAAGAAAAAGUAAUGCAAUUAUUGUAGCCCAAAUCCAAGCCAUGGCAUGGAGUUUUAUUUGUCCCAGCUAAUUAAUGAUGAUGAUAUUGAAAUAAAAAUGGGAUUUAAUAAUAAGCUUUGAUUGUUAUAAUUAAUUGAACUAUCUCCAACCCUUUUUAAAUGAUAGGCAUAGUUGUUAGAUGGUUUUGUUUUGUUAAUAUUUUAAAGCCACCAAGAAAAUUUUCAAAAUUUCAAAUUCAACUUUUGCUAUAUACUCUAGGGAAAUUCAACUAGUGGAGGUGUGGGUAGGAUGGUUUUCAACGAUAUCGGAGAUCAUGUAAAAUUAAAAAAAUUCUCCUUGUUAAUUUUUUCUCCAAAGAUGUACGAUAUUAUAUUAGAAGUAGAAUGAUUUUCAAAAUAUAAUUUUGGAUUGUUUUCUUCAAUAGAUCAUACAUGCAUGGUGUGUAUUUGUAAUAAUUUUGGAAUGUCAAGAUUGGGGUGCGGCCAGUAUAAGUUUGAAGAUGCAAAAAUAAACUAAACUUCCUUUUAAAUAAGACAGUUGAGUUCAAACUAUUCAUUCUAAUUAUUAUUAUUUAUUAUCUACAAGAUACUAAUGGGAGAGAGGGACAACUGCUCAACUGGAUUUUUUUCUAGAAAGUAGACAAAUUACUUUGGAGUUUUGUUAUUAUAAAAAUAAAUGGAAACAGGAAAGAGGUAAUGAAAUUAAAAAAGGGAGAUGAGUAUAAGAGUGGCCAAAAGUCCAAGCCAUGCCCAAUCUAAUGAUACAUUUGUAAUUAUGCUUGGACAAAGAAAGUAUUUGGCAGUAGUCUAUAUAUCACAAAAGAGUGUAGCUUUGUAAUUAAUAUAUAUCUCACGAACAUACUUUACACAAAAUAUAUCAAUCAUUUAUUUUAGCCCCGAGCAUCAAGUCAAAUCUUUAUCGAUUUAUUUCAAUUCCAGUACUUUUAAAUAUUGAAUUAUUAUUGUACAUUGUUAAUUAAAAUGACGUCUCCAAUUUUUUUUUACUAAAUUUACAUGGUACAUGAAUUCAAAACAAGCAAUACAUAAUUGAAGACACUGUUUUCAUUCAUAAUGAAAAUGUCUACUAACUAAAUUCAAUAAAAAUAAAAUGAAAAUGAAUAAAAAGUUUAAAUGUAGUUGUGGUAAAAAUUAUUGAAGUGAUAGACAAUUGAAAUUACAUCCCACUCGAGACUUCCAACUAGAUCUAGCAAAUCUGAGAUAGAUAUUAUUUUGAUAGUGAUUGGGUGUGUUGGAGUUUAGCAUCUCAAUUAUGAUGGCUCAAAAGUUGUUUACGUCGUCCAAGUCAACUCCAGAACAGUUGAAUAAAACCCAAGACAAUUUUUCAUAUAAAUGUUAAAUAUAAUCUUAUACUCUCCUUCUAACUAGAUCAACAUCUAAUUUUAAACUAUACAUUACAUUUAUUUGAGGUUAGAUGAAUAAUUACUAUUUUCAUUAUAACAAAUUACAUAUUCAAUCAUAAAAAAUAAAAAAAAUACUCUAGUCACUUUACUCAUUCAUAUAAAAUAUGUAGCUGUUAGUGAAAUUCUAAUUUUUUAAGUUACAUUCAUAAAGGCAUGUUGGUAAAAUAUUGACGUCAAUAAUUAAGUUACUAAAUAUUGGUUGAUGAUGUUUUUAUUUGUUUAGACAUAAAUAUAGAUUGAUGUUGAACUAUUAAAAUAAGCAACAUUGUUAAAGCAAUGUGGGAGGACCCAUGGCUAUUAUGUUAUGGGAUGUUAUUAACUUUAAUUUAAUUAAAAAUUUGAUUGGAUUAGAUUAGAUUAUAGUUUCCUAUACAACUAUCAAAUUUCAAGAAUAGAAAGUUAUUUAGUGACCACUACAAAAAAGUAAGUAUAAAAAAAAAUAAGAUAAAUGAAAGUUGACAAUAAUUAGACGUAGGUAUAGCAUAAGUUGCAUGAUAAUUUAUAUCAUGUAUAAUAUUUUUUAAAAUUACAUCUAUCUUUAUUAAAUUAUUUUUUGGGAUGCAAAAUGAUUAAUUUUGUUUAAUCUGUGUUUUGAUGGCCGUAAUUAAAGUUAGGUCACAAACAAUUAAUCCAAGAAAAGGACAUGCAUCCAUUGUUAUCAAUGUCUAUACCAAACGAAAAAUACCCAUCAGCCAUUUCUCAAGUAAAAAUUAAAACCCAAAAAUACCCUCACCAGUCACCACUCAACUCUUCCAUUAUUGCUAACGUCCAACGCAAAUUUAAAUAAAUAUAUUGAUUUUUUAGUUUCAUAGUUAUAUCACAAAAUAUCUUACAUGCUUUAAAUUUUAUUUUCUUAAAAAAAGAGAAACAUUAAAUAUUUUAAUUUAUUUUAUUAUUUUUCAUAAGAAUAAAGAUAGACCAUUUGAGAUUGAUUUAAAAUAAUUUAAAUCACACUGUAAUCUAGUUUAUUUUAAAUUAUUCUAGAACACAAUUUUACAAUUUCAGGUUGAAUUUUACCGUCUUAAUCCAAAAUUUUCACACUAACAAAAUUAAAAUUCAACUAAAAUACUUUUUCUUAUUUUCAAACAUGGUUGAUAUUUGAUCCAUACCUUUAUUAUUUAACAUUUAUCCUUUUUUCGCACAACCCAACCCACCUAUUUAUAAUCUCAACAACAUAUCCAAAACCCCAACACUCUCAUCUCAUUUGAACAAAAUCUAAGCCGUUCCAACAGUAGAGAGAAACUAAGAAAAAGCCUAUGGCUUUGAUUUUGGUCGUCGUCGUCCUCAUCACUCUCCUCCUUGCUCUUCUAAUCUCACACUCAUGGCUAUUCAAAUCCCAAAUCAAACCCAAAAAAUCCCCUCCAGGGCCAAAAGGGUUUCCCAUUUUUGGUUGCCUUCAUUUACUAGGAAAACUCCCUCACAGAAAUCUCCACGAAUUAUCCCAAAAGUAUGGACCCAUAAUGAGCAUGAAACUAGGGCUUGUUCCCACCAUCAUAGUCUCAUCCCCUCACGCCGCCCAACUCUUCCUCAAAACCCACGACCUCAUUUUUGCAAGCCGCCCCUCUUCACAAGCUUCAAAACACAUCUCUUAUCAACAAAAAAAUUUAGUCUUUGCUCCAUAUGGUCCUUAUUGGCGCAACAUGCGUAAAAUGUGCACUCUUGAAUUGCUUAGUAACCUUAAAAUCAAUUCUUUCAUGCCUAUGAGAAAACACGAGCUUGGUUUGUUGAUUGAGUACUUAAAAGAAGCUGCUCAUAACAAAGCUGUUGUGAAUCUGAGUGCUAAAGUUACGUCACUUACAACUGACAUUAUUUGUUUGAUGGCAUUUGGAAAGAAAUAUGGAGAUGAAGAAAUUGAUGAAAGGGGUUUUAAGGCUGUAAUACAAGAAGGUAUGCAGUUGUCUGCUGCGCCUAAUUUGGGGGAUUUUAUUCCGGCAAUUGCUUGGCUUGAUCUUCAAGGAUUUACUCGUAAAAUGAAACGUGUUCAUAAGGUGUAUGAUGAAUUUCUUGAAAAGAUUAUUAAUGAACAUCUUGUGGCUAGAGGUGGGAAGAAGACUAGGGAUUUUGUUGAUGUUAUGUUGGAUCUUAUUGGUUCUCAACAAACUGAGUAUCAAAUUGAUCGUUCUGCUAUUAAAGCUAUAAUGCUGGUAUGCCUACCUCUUUCUUCUAUUUCUAUCUUUUCAAUCCUACGUCUUCUCAAACUUUUUAUAUUUUUAUUUUUGUACAUCACUUACCUUAAAAAGAAUAAUAAAUUGCUAUCCAAUUAUAAUGAAAGGUUAAAAAAACAAACGUUUUUUUUUGUGUUUUUUCUUAUAUUUUUUUAUUAACCUAACAAAUGUGGUGGGAAGGUUCUUUAACAUAUGUGCUGAAGAAAGGAGAUUGUUAUGAAUUUUGUGUUUGAUUUUGAUGAUUAUUGUUUAAUAAAUCUUUAAAAUAAUUUUGUGUCAAUUAUUGAUUAUUAAAAUUUUUAUUUAUGUAUUUAAUAUAGGUCAUUAACCUAUCAUAUUCAACAUUUUUAAAGUUCUAAUUUAGUUUAUAGUUAUAUUAAACAUGAAAUUUAAAUUAGUGUCGAUUGAACAACUCAUUUUGAAAAUUUUUACCUGUCCAUGUUGGUUAAAGACAUUUAAUCUUACAUUUAAUGUAAAAAAAAAAAAACAAAAAACAAAAAAAAAUUAUCAUGGAGACACUUACUUUACAUUAAAUUAUAUUAUCCCCUAAUUAAUGAACUAAGAAAAACAGUAUAUUUACUUUUUAUCGGUGCAAUUAUGAGGAUGGCUGAAGAGCGAUAGAACAGAAGUGGACAGAUAUCUUUGAAAUAUAAAAGAAAUCACUAAAUAUUUACCCAAGAAUAAAUAUAUCACUAAAAUUCAAAAGUGAUUUACAAACCAUUUUUUGCUUUUGGAUAAAUAUUUUGUCAAUUAUUGGAUACUAUUUUUAGAAAUAAUAAAGGUGUAUAAUAACAUUACUAAAAAAUUUAAAAUAUAAUGGAGUUUGUGAUUUAUCCCUAGAUUUUCACUGCUAUUUUUCAAUAAACUUGUACUUAUGAUAUGAUUUAGAUUUUGAAAACUGGUUGUUGUAAACUUUUUUCCUUGUUCUACAUUAACUUGUCUAUUAUAUGAGAUCCACUAACAUUGAUUUAAAAUUUAUUGAUAUUUAUGUAAUGAAAUAUAUAAUGUGAAAGAAAAAUAUAUGGUAACCAUACUUGUGAAGGUCGGCAUUCAAAUUAUCUUUAUUAUUUACCUUUAUUGAACAACACAAAAGAAUAUUCCACAAAUAUAGGGAAAAAAAACUUGGUUUAUCUUAUUUAUUUAUUUGGUUGUUUGUACUAUUAAAUGCAUUGUCAUCCCCAUACUCUAUCCCUUUAGUUUAUAUUUAUUGUGUUGGGUACUUCUUGUAGGAUAUGCUUGCAGCAGCAAUGGACACAUCAUCAACAACAAUAGGAUGGGCAAUGUCAGAGCUAAUAAGACAUCCAGAUGUAAUGAAGAAAAUGCAAGAUGAAUUACAAGAAGUUGUUGGUUUACACAGAAUGGUUCAAGAAUCUGACUUAGUAAGCUUAGAGUACUUAGAAAUGGUAGUGAAAGAGAUUAUGAGGCUAUAUCCAGCAGGUCCAUUAUUGAUUCCACGCGAGUCUCUUGAAGACUGCACUGUCGAUGGGUUCCAUAUUCCCAAGAAAUCAAGAGUAAUGGUAAAUGUAUGGACUAUUGGGCGAGACCCGAGUGUUUGGAAUGAUCCACACAAGUUCUUUCCUGAGAGGUUUAUUGGUAGCAAAAUAGAUUUGAAGGGUAAUGAUUUUGAAUUGAUUCCAUUUGGUGGUGGGCGUAGAGGAUGCCCUGGAAUACAAUUGGGCUUAACUAUGGUUCGGUUAUUGUUGGCUCAACUUGUGCAUUGUUUUGAUUGGAAGCUUCCAAAUGGUAUGUUGCCAUCUGAAUUAGAUAUGACCGAAGAAUUUGGAUUGACUUGUCCUAGAGCAAAAGAUCUCAUGGUUAUUCCUACCUUUCGUCUUAAUGAUUCAAUUAGUACUAAGAAUUUGUCUUCUUGAAUAACCUAGAUAAUAUAUAAGUAAUGAUUGAUAAUAUAUAAUAAUGGUCAAGAUAAAGAGUGAUUGAAAUACUCUCUUUAUAUAAAUAAUAAUAUACAUAGAAACUUUUAUCAUCCUUUACCACUUCUUCCCGUUAGUUGAAAUAAAUGAAUAACAUUCGUCUUAUUUGAUAAUUAUUUGAUUAUUUAAAUUAAAAAUGAAGCUCGUAAAAUGAUAUUUUACGUAUAUAGUUUUGAAAACUUUUUAAAAAUAUACAUGGUCUUUUUGUUCACAAAUUUUUUAUACAAAUUACUUUGGAAUUUUGUUAUUGAAUUUUGAUUUAUUUUUAUUAAAAAAAUAAAUGGAAACAGGAAAAAGGUAAGGAAAUUAAAAAGGGGGAUGAGUAUAAGAGUGGCCAAAACUCCAAGCCAUGCCCAAUCAAUGAUACAUUUGUAAGCAUGGACAAAGAAAGUAUUUGGCAGUGAUCUAUCAGUACAAAGAAUUUGUUUUUGUAAUUUAUAUCUCACAAAGACGUGAACAAGAGUGUACCAACUUUACACAAAUCAUAUUGACCAUUCAUCAUAAUUAUCACGACCAUCACAUCAAAUUUUUAUGGGUUUAAUAUUUUAAAUAAAAUAUUAUUUCGAUUCCUAUACUUUUAAAUAUUACAUUUUUAACAAAUUUAAAAUAAACUCAUCUCUUCUGUUUUUGGUUAAAAUUAUGUACCCAAACUGUUACAUGGUAAAUAAAUUCAAAGCGAUAAACAAUUGGAACAACGUCCACCAUGGGUGUUUGAACUAGAGUGAGAGAAUGUGGGAUGGACUUUACUUUGAACAUUUAAUUUUGAUAGGGAAUGGGUGUGUUGAAGUUCAGAACAGUUGGAUAAAACCACAACAAUUUUUCAUUUUCAACUCACAUAAUUUUUUCUUCAUUUUAUUCAAAACAAAAUAUAUGUACUUUAAUAAAUGUUAAAUAUAAUCUUAUAGUCUCCUUGUAACUAGAUCAACCUCUAAUUUUAAACUAUACAUUAUAUAUUUAUUUAAGAUUACAUGAAUAAUUACUAUUUUCAUUAUAAAAAAAUUAACAUUAAAAAAAAGAAUCUUUUUUUAUGGUGAAGAAAGAGAUCGUAUUCAUAUUCCAUGUUGUCAACAUUUGAUGAUAAAAGAAUACACAAAAAAAAAAGAUAUUCUCGUCACUUCACUCCUCUAUGUCAUCGAAUAUAAAAUAUGUCGAUGUUGUUAGUGAAAUUCUAAUUUUUUAAGUUCUAUUAAUAAAAUAUCGACAUCAAUAAUUAAGUUACUAAAUAUUGGUCGACAUGUUUGUUUGGACAUAAAUCCGGAUGGAUGUUAGAACUAUUAAAAUAAGCAACAAUGUCGGAGGACCAAUAAUGUCUAUUAUGUUUUGAGAUAUUGUUAACUUUAAUUUAAUUUUAAUUUUGAUUGGAUUAUGCUGUAUUGUAGCUUGGCAUGAAACCAUAAAAUUUCAUGAAUAAAAAGUUAUUUAUUUAGUGGUUGCAACAAAAAGUAAGUAUGAGAAAACCAAGAUAAAAGAAAAUCGACAAUAAUUAUGUGCAAAAUAGGUUGCAUUUAUAUCAUGUAUAAUCUUUUUUAACAUAGUAAAAAAUAAUAAUAAUCAAUUUCUUUAAAAGAAAUUAAAACCCAAAAAUACGCUCACCAUUCACCAAUCAUCACCUAAAGACACUCCAAAGGUUAAAAUUAAAAUAUGUCUAUAUUGAAAUUUUAAUUUUAUAGUUAUAUUGAUAAAAUAAAGGUAGAGAUCAAAGAAAGUGUAGGUUUGAGAUCGAUUUUAAAAUAAUUUAAAGCACUUGUUUAUCUAAAAUUAUUCUAAAACACAUUUUUUUUUAAAAAUUUCACGUUGAAUUUUACCGUCUUAAACCAAAAUUUUCAUACUAAUAUAAUUAAAAUUGAACUAAUACUUUUUCUUAUUUUCAAAACCACUCUCAAUCUUAGUUGAUAUUUGAUGCAUAUCUUUAUCAUUGUUUUAUCCUUUUUCACACAACCCAACCCAUCUAUUUAUAAUCUCAACUACAUAUCCAAGACCCCAACACUAUCAUCUCAUUUGAACAAAAUCUAAGCCGUCCCAACAGUAGAGAGACACUAAAAAAGAGCCUAUGGCUUUGAUUUUGGUCGUCGUCGUCGUCAUCACUCUCCUCCUUGCUCUUCUAAUCUCACAUUCAUGGCUAUUCAAAACCCAAAUCAAACCCAAAAAAUUCCCUCCAGGGCCAAAAGGGUUUCCCAUUUUUGGUUGCCUCCAUUUACUAGGAAAACUCCCUCACAGAAAUCUCCACGAAUUAUCCCAAAAAUAUGGACCCAUAAUGAGCAUGAAACUAGGGCUUGUUCCCACCAUCAUAGUCUCAUCCCCUCAAGCCGCCAAACUCUUCCUCAAAACCUACGACCUCAUUUUUGCAAGCCGCCCCUCUUCACAAGCUUCAAAACACAUCUCUUAUCAACAAAAAAAUUUAGUCUUUGCUCCAUAUGGUCCUUAUUGGCGCAACAUGCGUAAAAUGUGCACUCUUGAAUUGCUUAGUAACCUUAAAAUCAACUCUUUCAUGCCUAUGAGAAAACACGAGCUUGGUUUGUUGAUUGAGUACUUAAAAGAAGCUGCUCAUAACAAAGCUGUUGUGAAUCUGAGUGCUAAAGUUACGUCACUUACAACUGACAUUAUUUGUUUGAUGGAAUUUGGGAAGAAAUAUGGAGAUGAAGAUUUUGAUGAAAGAGGGUUUAAGGCUGUAAUACAAGAAGGUAUGCAGUUUGCUGCUGCGCCUAAUUUGGGGGAUUUUAUUCCGGCAAUUGCUUGGCUUGAUCUUCAAGGAUUUACUCGUAAAAUGAAACGUGUUCAUAAGGUGUAUGAUGAAUUUCUUGAAAAGAUUAUUAAUGAACAUCUUGUGGCUAGAGGUGGGAAGAAGACUAGGGAUUUUGUUGAUGUUAUGUUGGAUCUUAUUGAUUCUCAACAAACUGAGUAUCAAAUUGAUCGUUCUGCUAUUAAAGCUAUAAUGCUGGUAUGCCAAUUCUUCUAUUUCUACUUUUUUUAAUCCUACGUUUUCUCAAACUUUUUUAGAUUAAAAGAAAAAUAUAUUAUAUUUAGGGUAAUAUUUGGAUGCAUAUUUAUUUUUGUCCAACACAUACCUUAAAAAAAUUAAAAUAUUUCAAAAAUGAACUAAGUUGCUACGUUAUUAUAUGUUAUAAUUGGAUAAUUUGGUGUACCAAAACAAAUAUAAUCUUUGUGUUUUUUCUUAAAACAAAUGUGGUGGGAAGGUUCUUUUAACAAAUGAACUGAAGGAAAUGAGGGUGUUAUGAAUUUUGAGUUUAAUACUGGUUAUUGUUGUUUAAUAAAUCUUUAAAAUAAUUUUUUGUCAAUUGAUUACUGAUUUGUUUUAAUUAUUUAAUAUAGGUCAUUAACCUAUCUUACAUUUUCUCAAAAAAAAAAAAGAAAAAAAAAGAAAAGAGAAAACAUCAUGGUGACACUUACUUUAAAUUAAAUUAUCUUAUCCCCUAUUUAAUGAACACUAUAUUUAUUGCUUAUCGGUGCAAUUAUGGGGGUGGCUGAAGAGAGAGAAAACAUGUGGACAGAUAUCUUUGAAAUAUAGAAGAAAUCACAGAAAUAUUUACCCAAAAAAACAUCACAAAUUCAAAAGUUAUUUACAAACCAUUUUUCUUUACAAUUUUAGAUAAAUAUUUUGUUGAUUUCAUCGAAAACUUUUAGAUAUUGAUGAGGUGAUGUUUUAGAAACAAUAAUUAAGUGUAUUAUAGUAUUUUAAAAUUAUAAAUAUAACAUAGUUAAUUUAUAUUUAUUUUAUACUUUUAUAACUUUUUUUUGUUUGAAAACUGGUUAUUUAAUUAUUAUUUUUCUUUGUUCCACAUCAACUUGUUUACAUUGAUGUAAAAUUUAUUGAUAUUCAUAAUGUGAAAAAAGAAAAAAAAAGGGUAAACAUACUUGUGAAGGCCGGCAUCCAAAUUAUUAUAAUUAGUUAAUUUUAUUAUUUAACUUUGUUUAUGGAAGAACACAAAAGAAUAUUCCACACUUAUUGAAAAAUAAUACUUGGGUUUCUAUUUUUUAAUUAAUAGUAUGAAAGAUUUAAUUUAAAAGUAGAGAGACCCACAAUAAUAAAUUAGAAGUAAUGAAAUCAAUUGUUAUUAAUAGUUUUACUUAAUUACGUAUUUCUGUUUUUGGUUGGGUUCUUUUAGGAUAUGCUUGCAGGAGCAAUGGAUACAUCAUCAACAACAAUAGGAUGGGCAAUGUCAGAGCUGAUUAGACAUCCAGAUGUAAUGAAGAAAAUGCAAGAUGAAUUACAAGAGGUUGUUGGUUUACACAGAAUGGUUCAAGAAUCUGACUUAGUAAACUUAGAAUACUUGGAAAUGGUAGUGAAAGAGAUUAUGAGGCUAUAUCCAGCAGGUCCAUUAUCCAUUCCACGCGAGUCUCUUGAAGACUGCACUGUCGAUGGGUUCCAUAUUCCCAAGAAAUCAAGAGUAAUAGUGAAUGUAUGGGCUAUUGGGCGAGACCCGAGUGUUUGGAAUGAUCCACACAAGUUCUUUCCUGAGAGGUUUAUUGGUAGCCAAAUAGAUUUGAAGGGUAAUGAUUUUGAAUUGAUUCCAUUUGGUGGUGGGCGUAGAGGAUGUCCUGGAAUGCAAUUGGGCUUAACUAUGGUUCGGUUAUUGUUGGCUCAACUUGUGCAUUGUUUUGAUUGGGAGCUUCCAAAUGGUAUGUUGCCAUCUGAAUUGGAUAUGACCGAAGAGUUUGGAUUGACUUGUCCUAGAGCAGAAGAUCUUAUGGUUAUUCCUACCUUUCGUCUUAAUGAUUCAAUUAGUACUAAGGAUUCGUCUUCUUGAAUGAUGUAGAUUAUAUCUAGGUAAUGGUUGAUAUUAUAAUAAUGAUUAAGAUAAAGAGUGGUUGAAAAGCUCUCCAUAUAUAUGAAUGAUAAUACACAUAGAAAAUUUUAUCUUUCUUGCCACAUCUGGUCGUUAAUUGAAAUAAAUGGAUAAUAAUAAUCAUUUUAUUUGAUUUUUUAAAUUGAAAAUGAAGCUUGUAAAACGAUAAUUUUAUCUAUAAGUUUAUUUAUUUCAUAAUCCACUUUUAAUCAUUUGUUUAAACAUGAAGUUAUCUAGUUUCAAAAACUUAUAGAAAGAGAUACUGGACUAUUCUGUUCACAUUUAUUUUUAGUUAUAGUUUCAAAAACUUAUAGAAAGAGAUACUGGACUAUUCUGUUCACAUUUAUUUUUAGUUAUAGUCCACAUUUGUUUUUAGUUUGUAUAAAUAACUCAACUUGCUUAUAUUUAGUUUGUAUAAAUAACUCAACUUGCUUAUAUUUAUUUGGAUAACUUGUUUUCUUUUACACUUCACAUGUAUUAAGGAAAAUGAUUUUCUAACUUCAACCUAACUUCAUACUUACUGUGAAUUUAAAUACUUACCUUAAGAAAGAUGACGACUCCAACAUCCAAAAUGGGUAAUUUUUUUUCUCUCUCAAGUGUCCAUUUACUUGGGUUGAACUAUUAGUUUGAUUUGAGAUGACAUUGAGUGUAGAUUUAUAAAUAAUUACGACAAAGACGAAAAAUGGGAACCACCUUAAGAUUUUGGGCUCUAGGACAGAUCAACCCCAAAAUUUCUGUCAUGUCCAAUUCAAGGGGUGACAUACCAUUGGGAGGCUUCAAAUCAAAACAGUGUACUAAUUGAGCCACUACAAGACGAACCACAACCAAAGCUAAUUGUAUUCCAACACAGCCUCUUCGACCCGAUCCAAAUGGAAUUAGUUCAAAAUCUCUUCCUUUCACAUCCACUUCACUUUCCAAAAAUCUCUCCGGAUCAAACUUGUGAGGAUCAACCCAAGUAUUUGGAUCUCUUCCAAUGGCCCAUGCAUUUAUUACUAUUCUUGAUUUCUCAGGGAUAUGAUACCCAUUUAUAUUGCAAUCUUGUAUGCAUUCUCUUGGAAUUAAUGGAACUGGUGGAUGCAUUCUCAAACUCUCUUUUAUUACCAUCUCCAAGUAUUUCAAGUUACUUAAGUCUGAUUCUUCCACCAUUCUAUUCAGUCCUACCACUUUUUCUAAUUCUUCUUGCAACUUUUUCAUUAUGUGUGGAUUCUUAAUAAGUUCUGAUAACAUCCAAUUGAUUGUUGUUGUUGUACUAUCCACGGCUGCAAUAAGGAAAUCCUGCAAAAAAAUUAAGAAAUAUUCUCAGGUUUAGUUAUACAUUCUUUAAAAUAAUUUAAAAUGAGAGUUUAGCAAAAUUUCAUCUAUUAUAGAGAUCUAUCCAUUUUUUGGCUUAUCACUAAUAAACAAUAAUUUCUUUUUGCUGUAUUUAAAAACAAGCUCUUUCAAAUUAAACACUAAAGAAAAAAGAAAUCCAAGAUACACUCUCAAUCAAUCAAUUCACUUACCAGGAUUAUAGCUUUGAUAUUUGAUCGAUCAAUUUGGUACUCUCGAGAUCCCAUCAAAUCCAACAAAACAUCCACAAAAUCCUUGUCUUUAUUAUCCCUCUGGAACACAACAUGUUCUUCAACAAUCCUCUCUAAGAACCCAUCAAAUAUUUUCCCAACAGCUUUUGCACGACCCCCAAAUCCUUGAACAUCAAACCUUGCAAUUAAAGGAAUAAAAUCUCCCAAAUUAGGAGCUGCCGCUAAUUGUGUAGCCUCUCGUAUCAAACCCUUAAACCCCUUUUCAUCCAACUCAUUAUCUUCAUAUUUUCUCCCCAACACCAUUACACAUAUCAUAUCUCCAAUAACACAAGAAAUUUUAGAAGUAAGAUCCACAGCCACGCCAUCUGUAGCAGCCACUUCAAGACCUCAAUCAACGAACCAACCUCUUGCUUUCUCAUUGAGGAAAAAGAGUUGAUUUUUAAGGAGCUAAGCAAUUCAAGAGUGCACAUCUUGCGAAUAUUGCGCCAAUAAGGACCAUAUUGAGCAAAAGCUACGCCCUUUCUACCGUAAGAAAUAUGGUUGGAAGUGAUGGUAAGAGGUCGGCUCGCAAAAUGAAGGUCGUGAGUUUUAAGGAAGAGCUCGGUUGCUCUAGGGGAGGAGACGAUAAUGGCGGGGAGAAAACCUAAUUGGAUGUGCAUUAUGGGACCGUAUAUUUGGGAUAAGUAAUGAAGGUCUCUGUGAAUGAGUUUGCCUAAUAGAUGAAGGCUUCCAAUAAUUGGAAACCCUUUUGGGCCAGGAGGGAGUUUGUUGCAUAAGGACUUGGUCUUGAGAAGCCAUUGUUGAAAGAGGUAAGGGAGAAGGAAGAUGAGUGUAAUUGUGGUCAAAAUAAUCCAAGUCAUGGCAAUUAUAUUAGAGAUGUAUUUGUGAGGUUAUGUGUAGGGUUUAUAAUAUAUUGAUAUAUUUCUAUUUAUAAAACGUUUUUCAUCGUUAACUGACCGUUUUUAGUUUUUGGUUUUGAAAUUUAUGAUUGUUUUAUCCCAAUUUUUUAAAAAUCGUUUUGGUUUUUCUUUAGUUAGAACAAAAACACUUUCUUUUUUUUUAAAAAAAUUAAAGUAAGAUCUAACUUUUUUACAUUUUUUAAAAUUAGUUUUUAAGGCUACAUUAAAUAAUUACCGUUUGAUUUUUGAAAAUCAAAGUUUUCUAGGAAUUGUUGUCUAUAUUUUAUGACUAUUUUCAAAAUCAAAACCAAAAAGUUGAAAACUAAAAAAGUUGGUUCAUGUUAAUUGAUCUAUAGCUCGCGUUAUAAUUUUCGCCUUCACAAAACAUUAUCAUAUUGAUUAUGCCGCACAUAUUUUUAAUUUCUACAUUAAAUAUGGUAACUGACCUACUAGUUUCUAUUAAUAAGCUAAUUAAUUACUCUAAUAACGGCUUAUAAAUUAAAAUAUUUACAAAUUAUAAUAAAAUUUUAGAUUUUUUAUAUUCGUUAUUAAUGUCACUCAUAAACACAUAUAAAUGUCUAUUAUUGAUAUAUAUUGAAAUUUGACAAUUUUCUUAAAUUAAAAUAUAAUUGUGGUCAUCACAAGAUUAUCAUUUAUAACUAUAUUUGUCGUAAUAAGUAUAUAUACCCUUGCUCACAAUGUUGAGUGCAAAGUUUGAGGUUGGAUUUACAUCCCCAUUUUUGUUACCCUGGAUGAUUUUUUUGCUUAUGUCUUGUGAUGUUUAACCGUUUCUCGUGGAGCUUUUGCCUCUCUUGCAAUAUGUCUUAAAAAAAGUGAGUUUUCAUAUGUAGUAAAUUUUUCAGGUAGAUUACUUAUGAGUUAAAACCAUAAUAACCAAAUUGUUAGAUAUUAUGUUAAAUUUGUCUUUAUCCAUAAGUUUAAAUAUUUAGGUCAAUUGGUGAUUUAGAUGGAUAAUUAGAACAUGUGGUCUAGGAAAGUUAUGUUUUCAAGUCCAUGUGUAGUUUCUUCUCCGAUCAUUAUUAAUUUUCACUUCAAAUUUUAAGCUCAUAAAUGAGAAGGAAAGUUAGAUAUUAUAUUAGUUUUAAUUAUUGACUAAACUUAAAGUUUUGAGUCGAAACUUUAUAAAUCAAAAUAUAUAUAAAAUAUAUUUUACCAAAUUAAAACUAACUUGGAACAGUAGGAAUUAAAUUGAAAGAAAAACUCUGAAAUAGUUAGAAGAAAAAAUUAAUUAAAGACUUAACAAGAUUAAAAAGUACUAUAAAAUAUUUUCUAUGGAUAUAUAUGCUUGAAUGUUUACCUUACAUGUUAAAUGAAAAAAUAUACUUAAACUUUCCUUUAAAAAAUAUUAAUUAUGAUUUGAAAAUUAUAGAAAAAUUGUCCAAAAAUAUUUAAAUUUUAUAAUAUAAAAUUUUGUUAUAUAUUUGUAAAAAUUUAGUUUUUAGAUUCAAUUUUGUUAUAUUUUAAAAUGGUUCGGAAUUCUUUUGCUAAAAUAUUGAAAUUAAUGAGGUCAUUUAACUAAUUGACUACGGCGAUUUCGUAUUUAUGGUCCUUAUUUGGAAAUUUAAUAACUUAAAAUCUAAUAUCAUAUAAUUAAUAAUUAGGUAUGCACUUAAUUAUGAUUCACGAGUUUUUGUACAAAAAUGAUUGAUGGAGUUUCAUUUCAUCGAUUAAUUAUUGGUGGGGUUUUACAAAUUAUGAUUGCCCUUUGAAUAUAUAGCUCUACUUUUACUAACAUGUGGUGUUGGUGCAUUCAACCUCUAACUAAUUCCCUUAAUAAUACAAACACCAUUCAAUUUCAUGAAAUUAUAUUUCUUUACUUUUCAUACCCACCUUUUUUUCUCCCAUUUUCAUUCAAUAAUUUUUUAAAGAUUCAUAUUAUCAUACUUUUAGCUCAGUUAAUGUGAUGUUUAUCUCCGUGAUUAACGGUUAAGUUUACCUUUUUUUUCUUUACAAAGUUUUAACUUUAGAUAUUACGAUACAAAGUUGAUAAAUAUAACAAAAUUUAGAUUUAGCUUUCAAAACAGUCUAUCAAAAAUGAUGGUUUGAAAGGCUAUCAGCAGUGGUUAUUGAAAAAUGAUUGUCAACGGUUGUGGCAUGAAUAGUGGUUGGAGGUUGGCUAGUGGGGAUCAACGAAAGUGGUGACUAAAUUUUUUUACACAAAUUAGAAGAGAUUAAAACCGUUAAAACAUUCCAAGUUUAUUUUUCUAAAAGUUGGUUUGUAAACAUUUACCCUAAAAUAACUUAUUUUAUAAACUUGAUUUUUCAAAAUUUAUUUUAGAUAAUUGUCAAAUACAUGAAUUUUUUUUUUCUUUAAAACAACUUAUUUUUUAAUUUAAACAUUUGGAAAAGACGAUCCAAACCCACAAUCUAAAUUACCUUAAAAGGUAUGGGAACGCACUUUAGUCUUUUGCUUAAGUUGCCUCUUGAAAUCUUGUAUUUGAAUGGAAAGCUGAACUAAAAUUAAAUUGAAACAAAAAAGACUUUGUUUCUAGCAACCUUGAUUGUAUUUUCCCAAGAUUUUGUUCUUUGCAGAUCAGCUACGUAGUACGAUCAAUUGGGUAUUUGGAAAAUAGUUGCGGUUCAAAUUCAUCCACUCUGCCAAAGAAAAAACAAAAACAACAGAUCAGUAUCAAUAAAUCAAGUAGGGCCUAAACCAAAAAGAUGUUUAUCUUGACAAUUAGCCCAACCUAACUUUCAUCUCUAUAUCCUUCUUCCAUUCCAACACCAAAUCCCCCAAACACUGAAGUCUCCAAAAUUUGGUUCAUAUGGCUUUGAUUUUUGCCAUUAUUUCUACAUUAGCUCUUCUUGCUCUCACUCUUCUCUUCAAAUUCUACCCCUUCAAAGCCCAAAAAUUGCCUCCUGGUCCUAUAGGAUUUCCCUUUGUUGGUAGUCUCCAUUUAUUAGGAAAGCUCCCUCAUAGAGAUUUUCAUAUAUUAUCCCAAAAAUAUGGACCCAUUAUGCACAUAAAAUUAGGUCUUGUUCCCACAAUCAUAGUCUCUUCUCCUAAAGCUGCUGAACUCUUCCUCAAAACUCAUGACCUUGUUUUUGCAAGCAGGCCCCUUUUAGAAGCCUCAAAGCAAAUGAAUUAUGGGCAAAAGAACUUAGUUUUUGCCCCAUAUGGUCCUUAUUGGCGCAACAUGCGUAAAAUGUGCACUCUUGAAUUGCUUAGUAACCUUAAAAUCAACUCUUUCAUGCCUAUGAGAAAACACGAGCUUGGUUUGUUGAUUGAGUACUUAAAAGAAGUUGCUCACAACAAAGCUGUUGUGAAUCUGAGUGCUAAAGUUACGUCACUUACAACUGACCUUAUUUGUUUGAUGGCAUUUGGGAAGAAAUAUGGAGAUGAAGAGAUUGAUGAAAGGGGUUUUAAAGCUACGAUACAAGAAGGUUCACAAUUAGCUGCUACUCCUAAUUUGGGGGAUUUUUUUCCUUUUAUUGCAAGGUUUGAUGUUCAAAGAUUGAAUAAUCGAAUGCAAUGUGUUCAUAAAGUGUUGGAUGGGUUUCUUGAGAGGAUUGUUAACGAACAUCUUGAGGCUAAGGGUGACAAGAAGACUAAAGAUCUUGUGGAUGUUAUGUUGGAGCUUAUGAAUUUCCAAGAAGAAACUGAUUAUCAGAUUGAUCGCUCUGCUAUUAAAGCUAUAAUGCUGGUAUGGAUCCAUGCUAUAUAUAUAUAUAUACAUAUAUUCAUUCAUUUUAAUACACAUUUACUCCCUAACUUACAAACAAAUGUUAUGAUAGUACGUGAAAUAAUUCUAAUUUUGUGUUCAACAACUCCAACAACUCCUUAAUAUAUUUGAAAUUUUAAAAAAUUAGAACUCAAUUAGCAUAAUGUAUUGACUUGGUGUGCUCUCUUAAUUUAAUCUACUUUGUUUUAUUGUGUUUAAUUAAACGAUGGUUGCUUGGAUAAAGGAAGAGAAAACAAAUUUCAGGUAGUUUCGUUAAAUAUUACAUUGUAGGAAAAGCAGAGCAGGAAUGAUAUAUGUAAAAGCUCAAAAUCUUUUCUCUCUUUUUUUUUCUGAAAAAAGGUAAACAUUAUAUAUAUAUAUACACAUACAUAUAUAUAGUGUAUAAUUAUGUUGAAUAUAUAAUAUUUUUGUAUUAUGUAUAGGAUAUGCUAAGUGCAGGAAUGGAUACAUCAGCAACUGUGAUAGGAUGGGCAAUGUCAGAGCUAAUUAAACAUCCACAUAUAAUGAAGAAACUACAAGAGGAAUUAGAAAAUGAAAUUGGUUUGGAUAAGAUUGUGGAAGAAUCAGAUUUAGAAAGAUUAGAGUAUUUGAAAAUGGUGGUUAAAGAAAUUUUCAGACUAUAUCCACCAGCCCCAUUAUUAUUACCCCACGAAUCACUUCAAGACUGUAUUGUUGAUGGCUUUCAUAUACCUAAGAAAUCACGUAUAAUAAUCAAUGUAUGGGCCAUUGGAAGAGACCGAAAUUCGUGGAUUGAUCCUCAUAAGUUUGAUCCUGAAAGGUUCAUAGAUAGUCAAGUGGAUGUGAAAGGAAGAGAUUUCCAAUUGAUUCCGUUUGGAUCUGGUCGAAGAGGCUGUCCUGGAAUGCAAUUAGGCUUAACUUUGGUUCAAUUUGUGUUGGCUCAACUUGUACAUUGUUUUGAUUGGAUGCUUUCAAAUGGUAUGCCAGCUUCUCAAUUGGAUAUGACUGAAGAAUUCGGUUUAACUUGUCCUAGACUUCAUGACCUUAUAGUCAUUCCAAGAUACCGUCUUCGAAUUUAAUAUGCUUUUUUCAAUAAUGAUAGCUUUUAACUUUUAAAGUUGUGUAUGUUCCAAUUAUUCAGUUUCUUUCCUCUUUCAAUCAAAAAAAACUUUCAAAAUUGAAUCUCCCCAUUUACAGGUGAAAGAUGCAACGUAACAAAAGAAUAUCGGAUGGUUUCACAAGUUGUUGUAUCUCAAUUAAAAAUAAAACAAAAAACAAAGAAAAUAGCAAACCACAAUCUUUAAUUACGUGACUUUUUUAAAAAAUAAAGGUCACAAUCGAUGAAGGGAGAAGACAAAAAAUCAUAUGAGUGUGUGUGAUCAAAUGUAAUUGUUGGCAGUGCUUAUGAAGAUACCUUGAGAUUGUAAGAAUGACGAGAACCACAAGGUCCUAAAAUGCAACGUGAUUUUCUACCUCCAUUUGUUUCAAUCUCUGUUCAUGACCACAUAUAACAUAAUAGGGUACGAACUAUUCUAGAACGAUAAUUUACACACAUAUUAUAAACACAAACUAGUGAUAUAAAAUAAAAUUCACAAUUAAGAUUCUCAACCCAUAUAAUUGCUUUAACAUGUUUCAUUUGAAGCCACAUCUUAGAAAAGAAAUUAAUAUAUAUCAUGGAGAUAGGAUAUAAACAUCUAGCUAAUACAAAAAUGUAUAAAAACUUGUGAUCGAAAUCAGAGAUUUUAUUAAACAUCCAAACAAAAAAUGUAGCCAAAGUAUGUAAGACCUCUAAUAUUUAUAAAAUUGAUAGAAAUCUAUCCUUGUCUACCAUAAAUAAAAUUCAAAAUUUAGCUAUAUAUUGUGUAUAUUUUCUGCAUUUUUGUUAUUUAUAAUAAUUUUCUUAUAUAUAAUUCUCAAAUGAAAAAUAAUGGAGCUUGUUUUAGACGGAAAGCAUGGCUUGGAUUUGGGUGAUCGUCGCUAUUACAAUAAUUGUUCUUGCGUUUCUCCUACAGUACUCGUGGGAGUUCAAAGGCAAGAAUUUGCCUCCUGGUCCAAAAGGGUUUCCCAUUUUUGGAAGCCUUCAUUUGAUAGGAAAGCUUCCUCAUAGAGAUCUUCAUCGUUUAUCCCAGAAAUAUGGACCCAUAAUGCACAUGAAAUUAGGCCUGGUUCACACCAUCAUAGUCUCAUCUCCUCACGCAGCCAAGCUGUUCCUCAAGACCCACGACCACGUAUUUGCAAGCCGGCCCCUAAUCCACACUUCCAGCAUUAUGACAUAUGGUAAAAAAGAUUUGGUAUUUGCUCCAUACGGUUCGUAUUGGCGCAACAUCCGCAAAAUGUGCACGCUCGAAUUGUUCAGCUCUCUCAAAAUCAACUCAUUUAAAUCCAUGAGGAAGAAGGAGGUUCGGGAGUUGAUUGAGUAUCUUAAAACAGCUUCGACAGACCGCAUGGUUGUGAGAUUGAGUUCGAAAGUGACUUCUUUGAUUGCUGACAUGACUUGUUUGAUGGCGUUUGGGAAGAAAUAUAGAGAUGAGGAAUUUGGUGAGAGAGGGUUUAAGGCAGUGAUACAAGAAGGUAUGCAAUUAGUAAUUGCUCCUAAUUUGGCGGAUUAUAUUCCUUUUGUUGCUCCAUUUGAUAUUCAAGGCUUGAAUCGUCGUGCUACUUUUGUUCUGAAGGAAUUUGAUGGGUUUUUUGAGAGGAUUAUUGAAGAACAUAUUGAGUCCAAAGAUGGAAAUAGAAACAAAGAUUUUAUGGACCAUUUGUUGGAUAUCAUGAUGUCCUCACAAGACCCUGAUGGAUAUCAAAUUGAUCGCUCUAAUAUUAAAGCUAUUGCUCUUGUAAGUACAUUUCUUUCCAUCUAUACUUUUUUUUUUUUGGGUAAAAAUGAAUUUGUAUUGCGUAAACCCCUCAAUUAAAAAUCUAAUUUAUUCCAAAAUAUUUUUCGUUUUAGACUUGUUGAUGCAUUUCUAUAACAUUUUCAUAAUUUUCUUCUUUUAUAAUGUUGAUAUAUAGCAACCUCAUUGUAGAGAGCCCUCAUGGGACAUAAUUUGAAAGUUGAAAUUCUCUUAUGCCAUAGGACUUGUCUAUGAGGAAGAUAAAUAUUUAUAAAGUACAAAAUUUUUGCAAAUACGAUUAACAUGUUUCUUUAAUGUAUCCAAAAGAGGCAUUUUAAUAUUAAACAAGAACUAUAAUUAAAAAAAUAAAAGUAGUGGAAUGCAUCUGUCUCAUUUCGAAUUUUCCCCCAUUUUUGAUCUCAUAUUAAAAACCUCACCAUUAAUUAUUACUAAAUAAAUAUGUAUAUAUUUAGGAUGUGCUGUCGGCAGCAAUGGACACUUCAGCCACAGCAAUUGAUUGGGCACUAGCGGAGCUCAUCAAACAUCCACAAGCAAUGAAGGAAUUACAAGUGGAAUUAGAGAAAGUGGUUGGUUUAAAUAGAAUGGUUGAAGAAUCUCAUUUAGAACACUUACAAUAUUUGGGAAUGGUCAUUAAAGAGGUUUUAAGGCUGCAUCCACCUGCUCCCUUGUUAGUUCCACACGAGUCUCUUGAAGAUUGUACGGUUGAUGGUUUUCAUAUUCCUAAGAAAUCGCGUAUAUUUGUCAACGCUUGGUCAAUUGGGCAAGACCCAAAUGUAUGGAUUGACCCACAAAAAUUCUUUCCGGAAAGAUUCAUCCAUAGCUUAGCUGAUGUGAAAGGGAGAGACUUUCAUUUGAUUCCGUUUGGAUCAGGUCGUCGAAGUUGUCCUGGAAUACAUUUAGGAUUACUUAUAGUUUCACUUGUGGUGGCUAAUCUUGUGCAUUGUUUUGAUUGGGAGCUUCCAAAUUGUAUGUUGGCAACUGAUUUGGAUAUGGAGGAAGAAUUUGGUUUAACCUGUCCUAGAGCUCAGGAGCUUAUGCUCAUUCCUACUUACCGUCUUCGCAACUAACAAGUUGAAGUUAAACGUGAUUGUUGGAGUGCUGCACACAUCCAUUAUAUACGAACAAAAAGUUGGAUUUGGUUUAAGUAUUAUUGGAUGUUUAGUCGUGAAUUUUUAUGCUAUUUUUCUAUUUUAUGUCUAAUAAUUAUUCUUAUAUAUACUUUCAAGCACAUGUAUAUUUGCUCAAAAUAGCAUAACUAUUGAAAACUAUGGACCUUUUUAGGCAACGUAAACCUGCACAAAAUAUGCAUUCUGGAGUUGCUUAGCAGCCACAAAGUUAAUUCUUUCAAAUCAAUGAGAGGGAAAGAAAGUGGAGUUAUUGUUGAUUAAGGAGCUACGUGAGGCUGCAAGAAGUGCACAUGUUAAUGGUUUUUAGAAAGACAUAUGAAGAUAAAGAACUUGAUGAAAAGGGUUUAAAGUAGAUCGAUGGUAGAAGAGGCCUUCAAAGUAACUGGAGCUUUUAACUUGGGGGGAUUUCAUUCCUUUUAUUGCUGCUCCUGAUCUCCAAGGAUUGAGCCGUCGGUGCAAAAUCUGUUCAUAAAGUAUUUGAUAGUUUUCUUGGAAGGAUCAUAGACGAACAUCCUUGAAUAAUCCAAGAAUAAUAAUAACAAUUGAUAACAAAGAAGACGUAGAUGCCAUGUUGGACAUCAUGGAAUCUCAAGAAACCGAGACUACCCUAUUGAUCGAUAUGAUCCACCAUCAAAGCUAUCCUGCUGGUAAGUAAUUAAACAUGACUGUUUAGUUUCCACUAAUAUAUUCACUUUUCAAUUGCUAAAAUAUAUGAUUAGACAUAUGAAAAUGUAAUUUCCAACAAAACUCCUUAUCACUACUCAGAUUUUAAAAAAAAAAAUGCCAAAAUUUAUCACAUGUCUAGUUUUAUUAUUUUAACAAGUUUAUUAUUUGGAUUAGCUCAACUUUUACAUUGUUUUGAUUGGAAGUAGCUUUCAAAUCUUCCAAAUUGUAUGUUGUUAGUUAACUUGUCCUUUAGCUCAAGAUUUGACAGUUACUUCAAUUUACCAUCUACAAAAUUAAAAUGAAUAACACUAACGAUCGUAUUAAUUAUCACUUACUAUGUUAGUAUGCUUUUAACAACAGCACAGAGUCAAUCAAUACUUAGAAAAUAAUAUUUACGAAGUGAAGUUAGGUUUUUAUGUGAAUAGAAAGAGUAGGUAUACUCUUGUGAUACCAGAAAAUUACCGUGUGUUAUGGGCUUCGUUGCCUUUGUGUACCCUAGCUCUAGUAAAACUCAUAUCAUGGACCCUCCUUGCAUAUAUUAAUUUGAUUGUUACGUGUAACAUAAUGUAAUUUAAUGAAAUUAAUAUUAUAUUUUUUUUUGCGAGUAACUACUUAAUAAUAAUAAUAACUUUCAGACUCUUAAUAGUAAUACCACCAAUAACAAUAAACCUUUUUUCUCUCGAUUUUACUAUAUUUAUAAAUUUGUGUAGUUACUACCAAAUAAUAGCAAAUUCAUGUGUUUUAAAGUGGGUAGACUACUUGAAUUAGAUGAAAUUACCAAUAUUAUCUUAUUUUGAUAUUUGAUAUAAUUAAUAUAAAUUUAAGACAGGAUGAUUUUAUCUCUCACCGCCGUCGAUUUCGAAUUUCCUUUUGAGCUUUAUAAAUGUGCUACAGAAUUAAUAACCCAACUUUUAAAACUUCAAGGAUGCAAUCAAUACUAUAUUCAAAUUUCAACCAUUUAAGACCUCAUUUAUGUAACUUUUUAAAAGUUCAUUCAAAUUUAGAAUUGGGUGUAGCGAUUUAGAAGUUUAAUUUCAAAACAUAAAUUUGGAAUUAAGAUAUAUUUGAUAAAAACAAAAGUUGUAUUUUAUAUUUUUGUAUAUGUGUUUCGUUCUAGAUUUAGAAAUUAAAUUUUAAUUCAAACAAUUGUUUAAUAUGUGUUUGUGUCUAUAUUUAUAAAUCAUAAACUAGUUAUAGUUGUUUGACAAUAAAUUGUUAUUAGUUUAUUUAGUAACAUUUAUGUUAAAAGAUGGAGAAAUUCUCAUGGAUGACAGAAAAAAAAAUUAUAUUUAAAAAAUAAAGCAAAAAAACUUAAUAAGUUUUGGAAAAAAUGAUAGAUUUCGUAAAAAGAUUUAUAUAAUUAUUACAUAAUAUAAUGUUAUAUAAUUUAUAAUACAUAUUUUAACUUUUGAAAAUAGAUUGAAUUUGUAACAUGAUAUAUUAUGUUUUUAAAUGUUUGUAUAUAUUUAUUUAUUUUAUAUAAAUCUGCAGUUUAAAAUUUAAAAUUUAAAAUAUAUAUGAAUUCAAUGAAAGCGUUGACAAAACUGUUCCUUACGGAAUUUGAAGUGUUUAAACCAUAGAAUCUAAAGAACAGUUUGCAAAAACAAAGUUCGUGAUGUCUGCUAAAAAUGGAUGACUGAAGUUCCCAACAAUGCGUUUGUGUAUCAUUAUUAAUUGAGGUAAAGCCUAUCAUUAUCAUCUCUUGACAUCAUAUGGAACUAAACAACAUACAUUAAAGACAACCUCCUUGGCUCCUUGCUCUUCAUCUUGUAGGAAAAAGUACAAAACAAAAACUAGGUGAGAUACAUUGAUUAAAUAAGAAACAAAUAAUUACAAACAGUAAGUUUAAAGUUUUUUAAUAAAAUAUAAUGAAAAGGCAAAAUUGCACUAUAAAAGCCUCAUAUAUAUUACUUAUAAAAGUUAUAGUAUACUAAUGUAUUUGUCAAAUAUAUACCAUAUAUCACGAUAAACCAUCCCAAUAAGGAAACAUUCUUGAUUAGAAUUUCCCAUGCAUCCAACAACAUAUCGAUCACAGAGGUAUUAAUAUCAUUUAGUUAACUUUUCCUUCUUUUAUUGUGCAUUGAAACCAUCAAAUCUGAUAUCAGAAUAUGGAAGACGUGACAAACUCUGAUCCUUGUACUCAUCACUUGGGCGGCCAUUCUGCUUUUAAAAGAACCCAAUCUCCAAAAGCCUUGUAUGUGUGAAAUUUUACCUCACCACAGAUAGGGUUUGAGGAAUAAAUUUUUCCAAUCUCCUUAUGGCUUGGUAUUUUCUCGCUGUUGCAUUAGUUGGUCUUGCUCUUCUGUUGAGAACAAGGCUAUAUAGAAGUCCUAACAAAUUGCCUCCUGGUCCUAGAGGGUUCCCUGUUUUUGGUUGCCUUCAUUUGCUAGGAAAGCUUCCUCAUAGAGAUCUUCAAAGUUUAUCUGAAAAAUAUGGAUCCAUUAUGUACAUGAGACUCGGCCUUGUACCCACUAUCAUCGUCUCUUCUCCUCAUGCAGCUGAGCUCUUUCUCAAAACCCAUGAUACUGUUUUUGCAAGUCGCCCAUUUGUUCAGGCUUCCAAGUACAUGGCAUACGGUCAAAAGAACUUGGCGUUUUCUCAGUAUGGCCCUUAUUGGCGUAAUCUGCGUAAAAUGUGCACACUCGAAUUGCUGAGCAGCGUGAAAGUUAAAUCUUUCAGAUCAAUGAGAAUGGAAGAGCUAGGUUUGUUCGUUGACUAUCUUCGAGAUGCUGCAAGAAAACGUGUCAUUGUAAAUCUCAGCUCCAAAAUCUGUUCUCUCAACACAGAUAUGACAUGUUUGAUGGUUUUUGGAAAGAAAUAUAAAGACCAAGAGUUUGACGAGAGGGGUUUCAAAUCUGUGAUACAAGAGGCCAUGCAGAUAGUGGCUAGUCCUAACUUGGGAGAUUUUAUUCCUCAAAUUGCAGUACUUGACCUUCAAGGGUUGGACCGUCGCUCAAAAGCUGUUAGUAAGAUAUUUGAUGAGUUCUUUGAGAGAAUUAUUGAUGAACAUCUUGAAUCCAGGUAUGAGAAUAAGACUAAGGAUUUUGUGGAUGUCAUGUUGGAAAUCAUGGACUCUCAAGGAACCGAGUAUCAGAUUGAACGGUCUAACAUCAAAGCUAUAAUCCUUGUAAGUAAACUUCCUACGUAUUAAAUAAAGGAGUCGAGAAGGAUAUGGCUUACUGUGGUCAUGAUACAAUAGCAUGCUUUUCUGAUGUUUCCUUCUUUUUUUUUUUUUUUUUGAAAAAAUAUAAUAUAUCUCUGAAUACUGUCACCAAAAAGUAUGCAUAAAGCUAAUUGCUCCUAAAUUUUAGUAACUCAUCGGCUUAAGUAAAAGAAAUUUCAGUUAUUGGUUCUAAUUAGCUUGACCCCAAUUUUAGGAUAUGCUAGUGGCCGCAAUGGACACUUCUGCCACCACAAUCGGAUGGGCAAUACCUGAGCUCAUCAAACAUCCACAUGUGAUGAAGAAAAUGCAAGACGAAUUACAAAAAGUGGUGGGUUUGGAUAGAAAGGUGGAAGAAACUGACUUGGAUCACUUGCAAUAUUUGGACAUGGUCGUUAAGGAAAUUCUCAGGCUACAUCCACCAGCUCCAUUAUUAGUUCCACAUGAGGCUCUUGAAGAUUGCAUUGUUGAUGGUUUCUAUAUUCCUAAGAAAUCACGUAUAAUAGUAAAUGGAUGGGCAAUUGGAAGAGACCCAAACUUUUGGAUUGACCCAGAAAAAUUCUUUCCUGAAAGGUUUAUUGGUAGUCAAGUGGAUGUGAGAGGGAAGGAUUUUCAAUUGAUUCCCUUUGGAUCCGGCCGAAGAGGUUGUCCUGGCAUGCAAAUGGGUCUAACAGUAGUUCGUCUAGUGAUAGCACAGCUUGUCCAUUGCUUUGAUUGGGAGCUUCCAAAUGGCACGUUACCAGUUGAAUUGGAUAUGACAGAAGAAUUUGGAUUAACUUGUCCCAGAGCUCAAGAUCUAAUGGUUACUCCUAUUUAUCGCCUUAACAACUAAACAAGCCAAACAGUUGCACAUAACUUUCAAAUAAAUAAAGAGUUCAAUAUAUUAUCAGAUUGUACGUGUGAAAUCAAGUGAAAGAUGUGCAUGGUUUGCAAGAUUCAGAAUUCCUGUCAUAAGAAGAGAAGUUAAUAAAUUUGUGCUUGUAUGCUUAGCAAGUAGGUCUGCUUUUGUUGGGUCUCAAUGAAUGGGCCAUCCGCCAAAUGAAAACUGUGUAUUUUAUAGACUCAAACCCUAUCUGUGUUGUCCCGGAAGGUAACCAUAAGCCAUAAUUGCAUUAAAGACAUGUUACAUGAACUAAUAAACAACGUUCGCAAAUGAAAACUAAGUCUAAGUAAUAUUCUAGAGUAACUCACGGUACACAAAAUGAUUGUUACUCUAUUAUAUUUCAUUAAUGGUGACGUACAUGCAACGACGCUCAAAAUGCUUCGUACUUCAAAAAAAUGAAUUGAAGACAGAAGGUUGGUGGAGAUUCUCCAUCUUAAUUAUCAAUACACAAUAAACUUCAGGGUUGCGUACUGAUCAAAACACGCUCUCAAGAUAAAAUACAUCCCAAGUUCAAUAUAUUUUCUUUGGAAGAGAAUACAAGAAAAGUUCGAGAAAAUGGUGGAUUAGGACACAAGACGGUGGACAAAUGAGAGUUGGGUUACUUCAAAGUAUCGGGAAGUGGUCACCCAGAAAAUGCUCGACUCAAGUCGUUGCAUCUACCAUUCUAUUGUUAGUACUACUUUAGUCUAUCGUAGGUAGUAAAAUCAAUCGCUUCCCAUACUCCCAGAAAGUGCACGUAAAUAUUAAACAAAUGGGUGAGUUAAAAGUGAUCUUUGAAAAAUAUUGACUCUCUUUUUAAUGUUUGGUAAAACUGUUUGUUUGUAAAUCUACUGAAAUCACUUCUGGAGAACAUGCUCAGUUUUUAGGAUCUUUGAAGUAUGUUUUCUUAAUUUUCAGAAGGUUAUUUACGGUUUCAAUUUUCAAUUAUAAAAUUCUACUCUUCAAAAAAAUUAAAAUUUAUUAAAUCAUACAAUUUUUUAUUUUAAAUAUAUAUAUAUAGAGUAAGAUGACAAUUUUAAGUCAAAUGUAUAAAUUUAAUUCAUAUAAUUAUUAUCAAUUCAGUUAGUCAAACGUUCAGAUCGUUAUUUAAAAAAAAAUAUUGAGUAAUCCAUGGACAAUAAUUUUAAGAAUAAUAAUAAAGUAUAUAAACAUCUUUUAAAAAAAUGUGAAUGUAACAAAAUCUGUAAAUGAUAGACGUAUAUUACUGAACUUACAAAUAGCAAAAUCUACGUCACAUAUCACGUAUAGUUGACAGAUUUUCUUAUUUUUACAAUUCUUAUAAAAUAUGGUUAUAGACUAAUAUUUUAAAUUUAAUUAUUAUAUUUGUUAUAAAUAUACGAAAUAAUAGCAAAUUCAGUGAGUCAACUUUUUAUAAACUUCAAUUAAAUGAAAUUGUUAAUAUUGUCUUAUUUUGACUUUACAUAUAAUUAAUAGAAAUUUAAGUACAAUUAGAUUACACAAAAGGUGAUAUUGGCCGACGCAAAUAAAUUUUUUCCAAAAGGACUCAUCGGUAGUGAAAUAGACCUAAAAGGAAGUGACUUUAAAGUAAAUAUUCCAUUUGGAUAUGGAAGAAGUUGUGUUGUAAUACAAUUCGGUUUACCUUACAAUUCGAUUUGUUUUAUCUCAACUUCUACGUAGUUUUGAUCGAAUCAAAGGCUUUCAAAUCUUCCAAAUUGUAUGUUUCCUACGUUAACUUGUCCUUUAGCUCAUGAUUUAAUGCUUACUCCAAUUUACUAUCUACAGAGUUAAAACGAAUAACACACUAACGCUUCUAUUUAUCACUUACUAUGUUAGUAUGCUUUUGAAAAAUAGUAUAGAGCAAUCAAUACUUAAAAAUAAUAUUUAUGAAGUGAAGUUAUAUAUAGAUUUUAAUGUGAGUAAAAGAGUAGCCACUCUUAUGAAACUAGAAAAUUAUGGUGUUUGUCUUUGUGAAUCUCUAGCUCUAGUAAGACCUAUAUCAUGAACCCUCCCCUGCAUGUCUUAAUUUGAUUACUGUGUGCAACAUGAUGUAAGUUAAUGAAAUGAAUAUUAUAUUUUUCUAUGCAUGCGAGUAACUACUUGUUAUACAUGUGUAAAAUAUCUUAUUUAGAAAGGUUUAAUUUGAGGAUUAGCUCAACUAUUGAAAAUGUUAUUCAAGUAAUGCGUAUGUGGGAGAAAGAUUUUAUAAAUCAUUGUCGUCCAAAACGUGUGUAACUGUCAAUAUAUAUAUAAAAGGCUUUUCGAGUUAGUAGAUCUUAAAUCUCGUACGUCUUUCUAGAGAAGAAGAGGAAGUGAAUGGGGAAAUCAGUUGUUGGAGCACCAUAAGAGUGGAAGAAGAAGAUGAGAAUUAAAUAAUUGAGAGUGUGUUGUAUCAAUCAAACUAACAAUUGUAUAGAAUUAAAUAAUUGAGAGUGUGUUGUAUCAAUCAAACUAACAAUUGUAUCAGUUUUAGACUCUAAAUUUUUACAAGUUUAUCAACUUAACCUCAAACUUAUGUAAAUCUAUUGACACAGAGGGUAUGGUGGUUCAGGGUGCACAAAAUAGAUACCUUUAGCCCUCUCAUCAUCUUUCAAGGAAUAUUUAUUCAGCACAAAGGAUAAAUACAAACAGUUUAGGGCUAGAGUUUAGAUACAGCAGACCCACCCUAACAAUAAUAAUUAUAACAAUUGUUGUCGUUAUAUAAAUUGUGUGUUAUGGGAAUACUAUGCCAAACUUAUACUUUCCUCCUCCACAUUUACCUUUCAUGAGCUAAACUUUGCUUAGCUCAAAGUCAACACAAAAAAUGGGUUUCAUUUGGAUCAUUCUUAUCAUCAUCCAUCUGCUUGCUCUUCUACUUAUCCUUUGGAAAUGGUUGCACAUGAAUAACAAAACCAAGAAAUUACUGCCUCCUGGUCCUAAAGGGUUCCCCGUUUUUGGUAGCCUUCAUAUUUUAGGGAAGUUUCCUCACAGAGAUUUUCACCGCUUGUCUAAAAAAUAUGGAGCCAUAAUGCACAUAAAACUAGGCCUUGUAAACACCAUUGUUGUGUCUUCCUCUGAAGCCGCGGAGCUGUUUCUCAAAACCCAUGAUCUUGACUUUGCAAAUCACCCACCUAAUGAUGCUUUGAAGCACAUUUCUUUUGGUCAAAGCAGCAUGGUGGUUGCAAAAGAUGGGCCUUAUGUACGCAGCGUGCGCAAAAUGUGCACUCAGAAGUUGCUUAACAGCCACAAACUCAAUUCUUUCAAAUCAAUGAGAAUGGAAGAAGUUGGGUUGUUUAUUCAAGAGCUUCGUGAGGCUGCAAGAAGCGGGUUGCUUGUAAAUCUUACUUCUAAACUCUCUUCUCUCGGUGCAAAUAUGAUAUGUUUGACGGUAUUUGGGAGGAAAUAUAAAGAUAAAGAACUUGAUGCAAAGGGUUUUAAGAGAAUGGUAGGAGAGGCCCUCAAAGUAAUUGGAGCUGUUAAUGUGGGCGAUUUCAUUCCUUUUAUUGCACCUCUUGAUCUACAAGGAUUAAUCCGUCGUGCAAAAUCUGUUCACAAAGUAUUUGAUAGGUUUCUUGAACGGAUCAUUGAUGAACAUCUUGAAUCCAAGAACAAUAAUAGUACCAAAGAUUUUGUUGAUGUCAUGUUGGAAAUUAUGGAAUCUCAACAAACUGACUACCAAAUUGAUCGAUCCACCAUCAAAGCCAUCAUGCUGGUAAGCAAACAUUAUUUUGUAGGUAACAAUCACACAAUCGUAGUAGAUUUUUCUAUAUUUGCAAUAAUGUAAAAGAGUUCUAUUACACACUUAACUAUCAAAGUAAUUUAAAGGGCCACCUAUUGCAAUUAAUUAUCAUACAACAAAUUAAAAGUACACCAAUGUCUGCUUUUCUGUUUUUUGUGUGUGUUAGGAUCUUCUUUUUGCCGGAAUGGACACUACAACGACUACCAUCGGAUGGGCAAUAGCUGAGCUCAUUAGACAUCCAGAGAUAAUGAAGAAAGUGCAAAAUGAAUUAGAAGAAGUUGUAGGUUUGAAACGAAUGGUGCAAGAAUCAGAACUGUCUCAUUUGAAAUACUUAGAAAUGGUUGUUAAAGAGGUUUUCAGGUUGCAUCCUCCAGCUCCGUUACUGAUUCCACAUCAACCCCUCAAAGAUUGCAUAGUUAAUAAUUUCCAUAUUCCUAAAAUGUCACGUGUAAUUGUGAAUGCAUGGGCAAUUGGACGAGACCCAUGUGCUUGGACCGAUGCACAUAGAUUCUUUCCAGAAAGAUUCAUCGGUAGUAAAGUGGAUGUAAAAGGAAACCAUUUUGAACUAAUUCCAUUUGGAUCUGGAAGAAGAGGUUGUGUUGGAAUACAAAUGGGUUUACUCAAGGUUCACUUUGUUUUAGCUUAACUUCUCCAUUGUUUUGAUUGGAAGCUCCCAAAUGGUAUGUUGCCUGUUGAUUUGGAUACGACAGAAGAGUUUGGUAUAAGUUGCCCUUUAGCUCAUGAUGUUAUGGUUACUCCUAUUUAUCGCUUAAAGAACUAAUUAUAUGAGUAGUACUUCAAUAUAUUACUUGUCACAUCAACAUGCUUUUAAAAGUUGUACAAAAGACAUUAAUACUUGAAGAAUGUUUAUGAAGUUAUAGAUUUUUAAUUUAUAUGAAUUAAGAAAGAGUAUGUGUAUACACACUCUCGUGAAGUUAGAAAAUUUCCAUAUGUGAUGAAUGUUUGUUGUCGUUGUGAUAUCCUCGCUCUAGUAUGACUUGUAUGCAUGAACCCUCCAAUGUGCAUUAGGGCACUAUAUAUAUGUAACAUUGUAGGGCACUAUAUAUGUAACAUUAUGUAAUAUAAUGAAAUGAAUAAUGUGUAUUCAUGUAUAUGCUAGUAACUGUGUUGUUAACAUGGAAAAAACCAUGCAAAAUAGAGUUGAAAGGUAAGUAAUAAAAAAAAAAUCCUCUUUUAUCAAAGGUCUAAUAACUUAUGUUAGAUUCUUACAAAGUGAAUGCAAAGAAAAUAAAGAAAAGACAAGAAAGAGCUUAUGCUUGUGAUAAUAUAUAGGUUGUUUAAUGAUAAUUAAGAUGAGGAGAAAGGGUAAUAUUACAACUAAGGACCCUAAUGUAUAACUAACAACAAUUAUUUUAAAACUAUAUAUGUGAGUGUGGCUCAAAAAUUGCCUUUCGUCUAUCUUUUCAUUCAAUUAAGUUUGUCGAACGUCGAUAUCAGCUACUUCCCACGUGGUUAGUUCAAAAGACAACUUCCUUGGCUCCUACCUUUUCAUCUUGUAGGAAAAAGAACAAAACAAAAACAAGGUGAGAUACAUUGAUUAAAUAAGAGACCAAUAAAUUACAAACAGUAAGUUUAAAGUUUUUUAAUAAAAAAUAAUGAAAAAGCAAAAUUGCUCUAUAAAAAAAACCCAAACAUAUUAUUUUUAAAAAAAUCUAUAGUAACAGAAGUAGUAUAAAAGAGUUGUGUAAAGACUACAAAAUACAUGAAUAAAUCAUUUAGUGAAGAGUUAAUUAAUGGCAAGGGAAUAAUAAGUAAUGGUUCCAUAUAUUACAAUACCAUAUUUGUUAAAUAUAUAUGAUAUAUCACGAUACAGCAUUCCAAGAAGAAAACAUUAUUGAUUAGAAUUUCCCAUCCAACAACAUAUCGAGGUAUUAUAUCAUUGAGUUAACUUUUCCUUCUUUUAUUGUUCACUGAAACCAUCACAUUUGAUAUCAUAGUAUGGAAGACGUGGCAGGCUUUGAUCCUUGAAUUCAUCACUUGGACCGUCAUUCUGCUUUUAUAAAAGAACCCAAUCUCCAAAAGCCUUGUAUGUGUGAAAUUUUGCCCCACCACAAAAUCUGAGUCUCCUUAUGGCUUGGAUUUUUCUCGCUGUUGCAUUGGUUGGUCUUGCUCUUCUAUUGAGAACAAGGCUAUACAGAAGUCCGAACAAAUUGCCUCCUGGUCCUAGAGGGUUCCCUGUUUUUGGUUGCCUUCAUUUGCUAGGAAAGCUUCCUCAUAGAGAUCUUCGAAGUUUAUCUAAAAAAUAUGGAUCCAUUAUGUACAUGAGACUCGGCCUUGUACCCACUAUCAUCGUCUCUUCUCCUCAAGCAGCUGAGCUCUUCCUCAAAACCCAUGAUUCUGUUUUUGCAAGUCGCCCAUUUGUUCAGGCUUCCAAGUACAUGUCAUACGGUCAAAAGAACUUGGGGUUUGCUCAGUAUGGUCCUUAUUGGCGUAAUAUGCGUAAAAUGUGCAGACUCGAAUUGCUGAGCAGUGUGAAAGUUGAAUCUUUCAGAUCAAUGAGAAUGGAAGAGCUCGGUUUGUUCGUUGACUAUCUUCGAGAUGCUGCAAAAAAACGUGUCAUUGUAAAUCUUAGCUCCAAAAUCUGUUCUCUCAACACAGAUAUGACAUGUUUGAUGGUGUUUGGAAAGAAAUAUAAAGACCAAGAGUUUGACGAGAGGGGUUUCAAAUCUGUGAUACAAGAGGCCAUGCAGAUAGUGGCUAGUCCUAACUUGGGAGAUUUUAUUCCUCAAAUUGCAGUACUUGAUCUUCAAGGGUUGGACCGUCGCUCAAAAGCUGUUAGUAAGAUAUUUGAUGAGUUCUUUGAGAGAAUUAUUGAUGAACAUCUUGAAUCCAGGUAUGAGAAUAAGACUAAGGAUUUUGUGGAUGUCAUGUUGGAAAUCAUGGACUCUCAUGGAACCGAGUAUCAGAUUGAACGGUCUAACAUCAAAGCUAUAAUCCUUGUAAGUAAACUUCCUACGUAUUAAAUAAAGGAGUCGAGAAGGAUAUGGCUUACUGUGGUCAUGAUACAAUAGCAUGCUUUUCUGAUGUUUCCUUUUUUUUUUUUUUUUUUGAAAAAAUAUAAUAUAUCUCUGAAUACUGUCACCAAAAAGUAUGCAUAAAGCUAAUUGCUCCUAAAUUUUAGUAACUCAUCGGCUUAAGUAAAAGAAAUUUCAGUUAUUGGUUCUAAUUAGCUUGACCCCAAUUUUAGGAUAUGCUAGUGGCCGCAAUGGACACUUCUGCCACCACAAUCGGAUGGGCAAUACCUGAGCUCAUCAAACAUCCACAUGUGAUGAAGAAAAUGCAAGACGAAUUACAAAAAGUGGUGGGUUUGGAUAGAAAGGUGGAAGAAACUGACUUGGAUCACUUGCAAUAUUUGGACAUGGUCGUUAAGGAAAUUCUCAGGCUACAUCCACCAGCUCCAUUAUUAGUUCCACAUGAGGCUCUUGAAGAUUGCAUUGUUGAUGGUUUCUAUAUUCCUAAGAAAUCACGUAUAAUAGUAAAUGGAUGGGCAAUUGGAAGAGACCCAAACUUUUGGAUUGACCCAGAAAAAUUCUUUCCUGAAAGGUUUAUUGGUAGUCAAGUGGAUGUGAGAGGGAAGGAUUUUCAAUUGAUUCCCUUUGGAUCCGGCCGAAGAGGUUGUCCUGGCAUGCAAAUGGGUCUAACAGUAGUUCGUCUAGUGAUAGCACAGCUUGUCCAUUGCUUUGAUUGGGAGCUUCCAAAUGGCACGUUACCAGUUGAAUUGGAUAUGACAGAAGAAUUUGGAUUAACUUGUCCCAGAGCUCAAGAUCUAAUGGUUACUCCUAUUUAUCGCCUUAACAACUAAACAAGCCAAACAGUUGCACAUAACUUUCAAAUAAAUAAAGAGUUCAAUAUAUUAUCAGAUUGUACGUGUGAAAUCAAGUGAAAGAUGUGCAUGGUUUGCAAGAUUCAGAAUUCCUGUCAUAAGAAGAGAAGUUAAUAAAUUUGUGCUUGUAUGCUUAGCAAGUAGGUCUGCUUUUGUUGGGUCUCAAUGAAUGGGCCAUCCGCCAAAUGAAAACUGUGUAUGUUAUAGACUCAAACCCUCUCUGUGUUGUCCAAGAAGGUAACCAUUAGCCAUAAUUGCAUUAAAGACAUGUUAUAUGAACUAAUAAACAACGUUCGCAAAUAAAUACCAAGUCUUAGUAAUAUUCUAGAGUAACUCACGGUACACAAAUUGAUUGUUAUUACUCUAUUAUAUUUCAUUAAUGGUGACGUACAUUCAACGACGCUCAAAAUGCUUCGUAAUUCAGGAAAAUGAAUUGAAGACAAAAGGUUGGUGGAGAUUCCCCAACUUAAUUAUUAAUACACAAUGAACUUCAGGGUUGCGUACUGAAAACACACUCUCAAGAUAAAAUACAUACCAAGUUCAAUAUAUUUGCUUGGGAAGAGAAUGCAAGAAAAGUUCGAGAAAAGGGUGGAUUAGGACACAAGAUGGUGGACAAAUGAUAGUUGAGUCACUUCAAAGUAUCGGUAAGUGGUCACCCAGAAAAUGCUCGACUCAAGUUGCAUCUACCAUUUGAUUGUUAUAUCGUAGGUUGUAAAAUCAAUCGCUUCCUAUACUCUUAGGAAAGUGCACAUAAUAUUAAAUAAAUGGGUGAGUGGACGAAACUCAACUGUCCAGAUUGAUCAAGUGAAGUUGUUUUCAGCGAGUUACGUUAGAUGCCAAGUGGAUGUGAGAAGAAAUUUAACUAAUCCUGUUGGGACUUAGUUGAAGAGGCUACCCAAGAAUGCAAAUGGGUCCAACUAGCUAAGUCUCUGCAUUGCAUUAAUUGUGAGAAUCAAAAGGAUAUAAAUGUUGAUAAUCAAAUCGGAUUUGAAAGCAGAGUUUAGAUUAACCUGUCCUAAAGCUCAACAUCUUUACGGUUAUUCAUAUUUAUCAUUUUCAUAACUAACUAAAGAGCUUGGAAUGUUGUUGGGUUCGAUAGUGUAGAAUAUAAGGUUUCGUCAGUAAGUUGUAAUAAUCCAAAGUUUCUUCUUGUCUGGAGAAACAUGACCUUUCAAUUUAUUAUUUUUUUUAUAUCAGUGAGUAUUCGGGCCAGCUUACGCGCAUCUCGACUAAUCUCAUGGGACACCUGCAUGACCCUACAACAUUUUGGUGUCAAAGGAGCAUACCUUUCAAUUUAGUAGCUAUACAGAUAGUAAAGUUCUAUCUUUGGUGAAGACAAGUACACAACGAAGAACAAUCAUUGAAUCAAUGAUUUGUAUUUUCAUUUCCACAAAGAGAAGCCUUUCUGUUAUUUUCAUCGCCUGGUCACACUGUCUUUGAUCAUCCUUAAGCUAUGCUAAUACCUUUUCAGAAACUAGCAGCAUUGUUUAAGUGGUUGAUAAUUUUUAGCUCACUUUUUUUUUUGAAGUGAUUAUCAUUGAGAUCUCUAUGGAUUAUUUGCCGUAGUGUCUUGUGCACAGUCAGACUCAGAUAUCAAGAACAUACUUAUCUGGCAUUUUAUGGGAUCAUAGGAGUAACGUCAUAAGGAGAUUUAAGCAAGAAAUUGGAAUUUGAGGCACGUAUGAGGUUUUCAAAGCAGUAGGCUUUCCUGCGUAUCUUUGAGUAAAUGCUAAAGGGAACACGGGUAUGAAAAGAAAAUGGACGUGAAAAUGACUAUCACCUUCAGAAACUUGACAUUCUAUUCUUUUAUUUCCUUAAUAUCUGUGAGUAUUCGGACCAGCUUACGUGUAUUUCAACUAACUUCGAGAAACUUGGCAUUCUAUUCUACCCUUGUGCAAUGAAGAAUUUUACUAUUAACAAUCAGAUUGAAGCUUAUGAAACAAUCUCUAAUUGUAAUUUACCCUAUUUUGAUAAGUUGACAGGAUCUUGUGGUAUAUAAAAAUGCUGGAAAGUAAAAACAAAUUUGUUAAAGAUCACACUUACAGAGAAAUAGUUCCCUUGUCACGGUUGAAGAUUAUUGGUAAACGCAGCUUCAUAUCGUAUCAAGCUCAACCCACCUCUGAGCAUGUGACGAGAAUUCUUUUUGUUUCAUCUGCAUUGCUAAAUUUCCCAACGCUUCAUAAAUAAGCAAACUGUCGUGAUGGCUUCUGUCCUCAACAAAAAACACGUGAGACAUUCCAUUCACUUGAACAACGCUUUUCCCAGGGGAUUUCCUCAUUUGGUUUGAUCUCAUCGUUUUUCUCAUAGCUGCAACUUCAUCCCAUCUUCCAACUGAUGCAUAUAUAUUUGCCAUCUCGACGAACGAAACUGCAACCCGAGGCUGUAAUUCAAAGAGAUAACGAGACACAUACUCACCGAUUUCCAUGUUGUUGUGAAUCUUACAAGCACCAAGCAAUGCACCCCAUAUGCCCUCGUCAGGCUUCAUAGGCAUAUCUUGAAUAACCUCCAAUGCUUCAAUUAGCUUCCCUUUCCGUCCAAGAAGAUCGAUCAUGCAAGAAUAAUGAUCCAAACCAGGAUUUAUACCAUAUCUUUCAGUCAUCAUCAUAAAACAUUCCCUUCCUUUCUCGAGAUAGCCUCCAUGACAGCAAGCUUGAAGAACAGCUAGAAACGUGAUAUUAUUUGGCUCUAUUCCUGACUCUGACAACAGUGAGAAGAGAUCUAAAGCUUCUCUAAAUUCCCCAUUCAGAGCACAAGCUGCAAUCAUGGCUGUCCAAGAGACAACAGUUCUAUUAGGCAAACUGUAGAAUAUCUCUCGAGCAUCAUUCAAACUCCCACAUUUUGCAUACAUGUCUAUCAAUGCAUUACAAACUACCACAUCUUUUUUCAAUUCAUGUAAAGAUGCAUAGUUGUCAAUCCAAUGUCCAAGCCCAAGUGCCCCUGUUUUACCGCAACCUGAUAUCAGGGAAAGAACAGUAACUAUAUCAGGUUUUUCUCCAGUUUCUUCCAUAGCAUUAAAUAAUACCAAGGCAUCAUCAACUCGCCCCACCUCACUAUACCCACUAAUCAUGGCCGUCCAUGAAACACAAGUUCUAAUAGACAUACCAUCAAACAAAAUUGUAGCAGAGCUAAUAUCUCCACACCUUGAAUACAUUGAUAUAAGGGUGUUAAUUAAAGAAAUAUCUGAAUCGCAUCCUAAUUGGAAACCAUGGCCAUGAAUAAGGAAACCAUAAAUUAGUGCUUCAGGUUGCUGGCAAGAAGAAAGCAAACUAAUAAUCGUACUUGCAUCAGGCUUAAAACCAUCACAGAGCAAUCCUUUGUAAGAUUUUACAGCAUCUACAUAUUUCCCAAAGUGAGCAUAGCAUGCAAUCAGUGAAUUCCACGAGACAGAAGAUCUUGCAGUCUUUUGAAUCCCAUGGAACACCAUCUUUGCAAGCUGCAGUUCACCGCAUUUGGAAUAGGCAGCAAUCCAAGUGUUAGAAACUGAGGUGUCAGCAUCUAAUCCUGUUUCAAUCCCAAUAGCAUGAACAGCUUUUAAAAACCUUAAACUUUUGGCAGAUAUAACUGCUCGAGUCAAUCCAAUGACAGUAGCUGCAUCUGGCCGAGUUCCCACUAAUCUCAUCCCCAUAAACAGAUUGAACACUCUAUCAAGUGAGCCGAUCUGAGAAAAACCAAUAAUCAUAGCGUUCCAUGAUGCAAUAUUCCUAACAGGCAUUUUAUCAAACAAGUUAUAUGCAUCAUCCACUUUACCACACUUGACAUACAUAUCAACCAUGGCCGUCUGGACAUAGAUAUCAGAGUAAAAUGGGGAUUUGACAACAUGGGUAUGGAUGAUUUGGGAGUUAGUAAGAUGGGAGAGCUUGGCGCAAGCUUUUGAUAAGAAGGGAAAUGUAAAAUUGUUUGGUUGUAGACCAUUUAACUUCAAUUGAUGGAAAAGAGCGAGAGCUUUGCUCGCAUUGCCUUGAUUUACAGCGCCUCGUAUGCUGGAGUUCCACCAAGUGAGAGUUGAUAGCUUUGAAAAGCAGUUGAGAUGUUGAGUCAACGUAGACAUCUCCACUUCUCAUGGUGUUUGGCGGGCGUCAAACAGCCGGACGGCCAUGACGAGGUAAAAUAGAAUUGAAAUAUGACUCUUGAUUUUUAGUCUUCCAAAAUUAAACCAAGAAGCUCCAACGUAUAACGUAUACCUCAAGUUUUGUUUUUUUUUUUUUUUAGGAAAAUAAUUUUCAAUUUUAAUUCUUAAAUUUCAAAAUAUUAUAAUUUUAAAUUGAAUAAUUUGUUUUAUUUCAAACAAAUUGUCAAACAAUUUUAUUCGUAAAGAGUUUGUUUCACCCCAACUUUUUAUAAGUGAAUGCUUUUUCUACUUUUCACAUUUGAAUUUUCUAUUUUUGAAUUUUGUUUUGAAGUAUGUUCAAAUUGAUUUUGCUUGCAAAGUCAAUUCAAACAUGCUAUUAAUAUCUAUAAACUGAAAAAACAAAUGAGAAUUCAUUUUGUAGCACAGUUAGGAGUUGUUUGUUUGAUAAGAAGAAGAGAAAAUGAGAGGGCAGACAAUGAAAAGUGAGCAACAUUUUUCUUCCAUUAACAUCAAACUGAAACUCUUGUAGGGGGAGAAAAAAAAUCAAUGGAUGGGGGUGGUGGUUGUCCAUUUACAAGAAAAUUUCACGGAGAAAAAAAUGGUGACAAUUAGCCCAAAAUCAGUAGGCUGAAACCAAUACGAAGCGAAAAAUAAGAAACAAAAACAAUUGGGGUCGAGGAACACUGGAAAAAAACUAAUUCCAAGACGCAUGUACACGGGGGGUUGGAAGGAUGAGGAUGAAAAUCAAACACAUAUAGCACAUAAAUCAUCAAACACUUGUCUGAUGUUAGGCCUCUCAUUUACAGGACGAAUGCACUUGAGAGAUACACCCAACAGUUCAUCCAUAGCUUUCGAAGGCUCUUCUCCAACUACGAUAUCUCGGUCUAUACAGUCCAUUCUUCGUCCUUCUUGAUCGCAUAAACGCACCCAAUCUGUGAGAUCGACGGCCCCCGAUUGACCCGAUAUUAUGUCGCCUGCACUUCUUUUGGUUAAAAGCUCCAUUAAAAUUACCCCAAAUGAAUAAAUGUCAGCCUUGAAAGAUGGACCAGGUUUUGCUGCACAAGCGAGUUCUGGAGCGCAAUAUCCAAGUGCCCCUAGAUUCAAUAUCUGCUCCGCAAUGCCUGCUGGUGUCAUCAAGCGGUGAAGUCCGUAGUCAGUGAGCCGGGCAUCGGAAUCAUGGCCUGCCAAGAUAAUAUUUGUUGGCUUUAAGUUUCCAUGAGGGAGGCCCCUAUCAUGAAGGUAUAACAGACAGCGAGCAACUUCCACUGCAAUUUUAAGUCGUUGACUGAACGAUAACCGAGAAUACCUUCGUGGUGUAGUUUCUGCAAGAAAAGGAUAUAAUACAAUCAAUUACUAGAACACAUGGUAGUAAUCUUAGAGAGAGUCAGAUUGCACGUGAAAAUACUUCUGCAAGAAGAAUACAAGCAUGUGAAGGAUGAUGUUAUUCUAGUGAUUAUGCAAAAUCAAUUCGUAAUUAUUCAGAAGGAGAAACUCAUGAUGCCAACAAGAGGCCGGACAUUCUUAAUUCACAUUCCAGAGAUAUCUUCGGCCGUGGCGGUUGUAACAAGAUAAGAAAUAUAACAAGGACACAGAAAUUGCAUCGCUGGAAACUGGCCACCAUUUUCGAUUGUAGUGCGGCCACUCAUUCAAAGAAAUAAGAAUCCUAAAUAUGCCAUUCAAACUCUUUUGUACAAGGCUUGGGAGAAAGAAAAGGAAAAUGAAUUUAACGUGGAAUGAAACCAACAGGUGCUACUUUAACUUUCCAUGUAGAAAGUACUAAAAUUAACAAAUAACAGAAUCAAGAAUCAUAAUUUAUUCAAAAAAAAAAAAGAGAACAAAAUCAUGUCAAAUACACAAAAUAAUAAUAAUAACGAUUUAUAAAUAAAUUUUAAGAUUUAAAUGGCAAUGGCAAUUUAAGGGCACGAACUACGUGAUAUACUUUUGAGGAUGAGACUAGCAGUUAUUACAUGAGGUCUAAGACUACGGCACGGAUCAUCAGAACUAACUGACAAUCAAGUGUUAACAUGGCAAAAUGGACAAAUAAAUUUUUUCACAAAUCCAAAAAAAAUUGCUGGAAGAUCUUAACACCACAAUGAAAGCAUAAGACUUGCAUCCUUUUGAACUUCCCUAAAUUUUUCAGAAAUGUUAUGUAUCAAAAGUUUUGGUACGUUAACAGCAAGUAAAAAAAAUAUGAGAUCCACCUUCUGCUUUCUCUCAAACUAACACUACAUUUAAAUUUUUCAUUGUUUUGUAUAAACAAUACACAGAAUUUACUUGUUUGGAAGUCAGCCUAAUGUACAGCUUUGUAAGAACAGGCUUCUUCUUAUGGCUGUUUUUCAGGCUAACGGAUUCUAUAGGAGACUGCCUGUAGAAAUAUACUUAAUGCGAGUACAGCUUUCUACAGUAUGGACAGACAAGGAGAUUUUUAGAUCCCUACGUCUGUGGGAAGGCUGGCUAUGAACAUAAUUAGGUAAGAAAAAAGGAACGCA